AAAUCAAUCAAAAUUUUAUACAAAUAAAAAGGGUACACCUCCUUGCCAACGUUAACUAGAAUAUGUCGAAUUUGCUCGUGCAUGAUGUGGGUCUCACGACAGAUAAAGCGCCUCCAUAAUAAACUACAAGACAAAUAAGCAUCCCAAUCAUAUCACUGGACACUACGCAUGGUUGUACACUAUGCAUGGUUGUUAGCGAACAUGGUUGUCAGUGAUCAAUAUCCAUAGGACAGAAAUAUCUAAAUGAAAUAACAAAUGAAGAGUGCAACUGAAAUAUUUCCAGACAACCUACUUGAGGCAUUCCAAUUUUGGUGCUUCAAAUGUAUUCUCUAAAAUGGUCUCAAACAGGGGGGGAAAACUUUUAUUUUAAAAAAUAAUUUUUUAAAAAUAAUAAAAUAUUAUUUUAUUUCAUUAAAAAAAACUAAAAAAAAACACGUUAGUGUCUAAAACGGUGAUUGCUCAAGGACGUGCCUGUACCAGUCAUUAGAGAAUGGUGAUUGCUCAAGGACACGCCUGUACCAGUCAUUCAGGAGCCAUGGCCCUGUCCUAAAGACUUUAUGCAUCCUGAGAAAACGAGCGGCCGUCUGAGGACCUUUUAAGUGGCCGUUUAACCUACCAGAAUAUUCCAUAACACCAACGCUUUAUUCUGUCAACAUUAUACUCAAAAAUAAAAUAAAAACACGUUUUUAUAUACAUUUCCAAAAUACAUGUAAACACCGCCGUUACAUUGACUUAAGUCGAAAAAACAAAAAAAACCCCACCAAAAUACAUCUUGCUUUAUCCUUACCUCAUUACAGAGGAUCUGAUCCCCUUGCAUCAUUAUAAAUAGACGGCUCAGAGCAACCUUGGAGUUGCUAUUACAUACCUGUCCCACAAUUGGUGAUUGGUGAUUGUUCUUGACGCCCCUGUCCCAAUCAUGAACCCUGUCCGGAAAGACUUUUUGCGUCCUGAAAAAACAAGUACCUGAUACCCUUUAUACUGGUAUGAUGAAAGAAGUUUUUCUGAAAUGUUUUUUUUUUCUGAAAUUAUAUUAAUAUAAUAUUUUUUAAUUUUUUAAAAUUUAUUUUUUACAGUAGCAUAUUAAAACAAUUAAAAAAAAAUUUAAAGUAAAAAAAAUUAAAAUUUAAUAAAAAACUUGUUCAAUCAAAAUCCCUUUAAAAAAAUAAAUAAAUAAAUCACAAUCCCAUUAAAGCUGAAAAAACAUAAAUAAGUAAAUAAACAAAAAGGAAUAGAAAGACUUUAAUAAAUGAAGUCUUGAUAGAUAUCACUAUUAUUUUUAUAAUUAUCAUGAAUGCUAUUAUUCUAUUUUGUUUAUUUUCCUAGAAAUCUUUCUAGAAAAGAAAUCUUGAUAUGAGAAGUCUCCGCCUGUCCCAAUAAUGAACCCUGUCCUAAAGACAUGAUGCAUUCUGAGAAAUCAAGUACCUGAUCCCCUUGAUACUUUUUUUUUAAACUGUCACUUGUACCAAGGUCUUCGGACGGCCACUUCUUCAAAACAACUUGUGAAAAAUAAAAACAAAGAUGACGGAGGAUCGCCAUCGCCAUGCAUUAUAAAUAAGAUGCUAACUUUAAUUUAGGGGUGUAGUUUCGGUUUAUUUCUCAUAAUUACCUCGAGAUUAUUAAAAAUUUAUAUAAUUAUUAAUUGUAGAACUCAUAAUGAUAUUGAUUAAGGAAUGCACAAAUUAACCUCAGCAUUCAUAUUAAUAAUAUAUAUAUAUACACACACUACCUUACAUUUACUUGAGUCGAAAAAACAAAAAAUCCCUACCAAACACGAAUUAACCCGCAUCUUGCUUUAUCCUUAUCUUAUUACAUAGGUGCACCAUCUUCAUGCACAAUGGCGGAGCCAUGUAGGGUUAAAAGAGGACAAUUCCUUAAUUUUUUUUUUAAUUUUUUUCAUAUUACAAUAUUAAUAUAAUAGUAUGGUGAGGGCUUGAGAGGUUGACACACGCAGAGACGCAAAGAAAAUAUUGUUGACUUGUAUUUUAAUAUAAUAAAUAAUAUAUAUAAUAUAUGUCUUAUGUUUAGGUUUCCAGCACUCACUCCAGCUCAUUUCUUAUUUCCCCAAACGUUUUCCACUCACUAUCCGAGAACUUUUCUAUUUUUUUUGAGCUGCUGUUCCUUAUACAAAUUUUUCUUCAAGUCCAAUUAAGCAAGUAACUUUUUCUAUUUUAGAUAAAUUUCCUUCAUUUUUUCUAUUUAUUUUAUUAUCUAAUUUUAAUUUUAUUAUUUUAUAAUUAAUUAUUGAAAAUAUUAAGGUUUAUAAUAAUUUAAGGGUUUUGAUAUGUAUAAUGUUUUGAAUCAAUUAAAGGUAAAUGGUAGACACAGAAAGAUUUUGAACAAUAGACAUUGAUUUGAUUGUUUUGAAUUAAUUAAAGGUUAUUUAAUCUCCAAUUGAAUUGAUUAUAAUAUGAAAUUAAACCUUUUAAUGAGAUGAACAAGCAAACAUUCCAAUUAUUAUCGGUGAGUAAAGAUUGAUAUUUGUAGAAUUAAAAUUGCUUUAGCUUGAGAUUGGUUCCUUUUAUGAUGUUAAUUUCCUUGUGUCUUCCUAUAAAAUAAUCAGGACCGAUGAUUAAAUAAUUCAUAUUUUAUUUGUUUUUUUUUCUUUUUUGUUUUCGUCAGACAAUUUGAGUUUUGCUGGAGCCUGGAGAAGAAUUAACGCGUGCGUGCAAGCCUGAUUUUAUUAAGUGCAUGUUAGUUUUUUCUUAAAGAAGGAAAGAAAAAACUAUUUUUUAUAAGUUUUUUCAUUUUAAAGGUAUUUUUAAAUUAAUUUUGUUUUAUAUGAGUUAAUAUAUUUAUUUCGAAUUAAUUUCUAACACAUGUUUAUAUAAUAUAGUAUUUGUUAGAAAUUUGUUCUGUCAAUUUAAAAAUUCUGGUCCAUGCAUCAUGAUAAAUAGAUGGCUCAUUAUGCACGAGGCACACAGCAAAAUAUUUUUAAGCUUAUUUUAUUCAAAUAAAACCGUCUUACAAGUGCGUCCCUGUGAAUAGUUGCCGAGUAAAUUGGGGUACAAGGCGGCACAGCGAGGUCAAAGUUUUCUGAAGGUUAUUUUUUAAAAUAUUUUUUAAUAAAUAAAUAUAGAAAUCAUUUUAGAAAGCAGAAUAAAAAGCCAAUGCCAAUCGAGAAAUGGCAAAAAUCAUUUAAAAAUGGGGGCACGAGUGAGAAGCCGUCAUUGUCAGUCCGCAUGUCGUAGGUGUUGCCAUUUGAAGAAAAGCAGCAUGAGACUUCAUAGGGAAAAAAAAUGAAGAAACACAAAACUUUAUUAUUUAUUUGCUCAUGUGGUGGGAUAUUGAUAGUGAGCUAGGCUUCAAGUUUCCAAUCGCUCGGCCUCAUGAUGCUAUAUUGUAACCCCAAAAGAAAGGAAUAAAGCUUGGGUUAUAUAUUUGAGAUAUCAUCUCACAAAUAAAGAAUGAAAUGAUCAAGUGUCAUAUCUCAAGCCUUUCACUCAGCCAUCUUUGGUAUUGCAUUUCAAAUCUUGAUAGGAUAAAAUUUGAUUUUUUUUAUUUAAAAUUAUUUUUUUUAUUUUUUAAUCAUUUUGAUAUGUUGAUAUUAAAAAUAAUUUUUAAAAAAUAAAAAAAUAUAUUAUUUUAAUACAUUUCAAAAUAAAAAAUACUUUAAAAAACUAUAUCUAUCACACUAUAAAUAAUCUAAAAAUACAAACUUUAGAGAUUUCAUUCUACUUGCCAGUUCCGUACAAACAUGUUGGACUUUUUAUAUGGUGUCAUGCUCCCAUUUAAAAUGAUGUGGUAGAUGAUGGGGUAGUGAUUGUGGUUUAAAGUUAUAUGGUGUCAUGCACCAUUUAAAAUUAUGUGGUAGUGAUUGUGGUUUAAAGUAUUUUUCGUUUAAAAAUACAUUAAAAUAAUUUUUUUUUUAUUAUUUAAAAAAUUAUUUUUAAUAUUAGCACAUUAAAAUGAUAUGAAAAUAUUAAAAAAAUAAUUUUAAUAAAUAGCUAUUUUCACGCAUUCCAAGACACACUUAAUCGGCUGCCUAUUUCUUUUCGGACAAUGACAAUUGACUCAAGUGGCCAACACAAACAAAUCUAUGUGAACGUGCAUUGUUAAAGAAUAAUAAUAAUAACAAUAAUAAUAAUAAUAAUAAUAAUAAACUCGUUUGAUUCAUGUUCUUAUAGUUUUUAAUCCCUUCAAAUAAAAUAUAUGAUUUUCUACACUAACAAUAAUAUUUUAUUUUAAAUUUAAUAAUAAUAAUUAAUUAUUAUUAUUAUUAAUUUACCGUUCAAAUCAAAAAUAUAGUUGUUUUUUUCAAUAUUAAUAACAUGUUUUUCAAAUUUAUUAAUUAUUAUAUGAAUAAUAUUAAUCACAAUAAAAAUAAUAAAAUUUAUAAUAUUAAUAAUAAUAUUAAACUUGUUUAACCCAAGUUUAAGUGGGUCUCGAUGCAACGCUAUGCCUAAGAGCUUUGAGUCCCUCUUAAACACUAGACCUAAAACCCUUUAGUCUGACAGCAACGACGGACCCAUUCAGUGGCGGAGCCAGGAUUUUUUAAAUGAGGGGGCAAAUUACUAAUAAAUAUUUGAUAUUAUAUGAUAUAUAGACAAGUGUUAUAUAAAAAAAUUAAUUUAAAAUAUAUGUCUCAACUCAAGUCAAGUAAAAUUAAUUUAAGAAUACUUUUAAAAUAAAAAAAAAACUUACAUUAUAAUUGUUCUCUUUGAGAUUUUAUAUUUUAAAACUGCUCAUAAUGAUUUUAUUUUUAAUCUCAUUAAAAAUAUAUUUCUCAAUAUAUACAACAAACUUUCAUUUAUCUAUUUCUAAAUCUUUCUAGGAUUAGGAAAGUUCUUGGCAAGAAUUAUAUGUUGACAUCUGAUACAUAACAUCUAAAAUCAUAGCUUAAAAGGAUUGUCACAAAUUAAUGUUGUUCUUACUGACUUGUUGUUUUGUAGAAGUUGAUUAAACAUAAAUAUUAAAUGUUUUCUUUUUAAUUUAUCUAUUAUGUCCCUAAUUUUUUGAGUUGUCCUGUACUUCAUUUUUAAUCACUAGUAAAUUCAUCACCAUCAUUUUUCAUAUGAAAUUCAUAGCAAAAUACUUAUUAAUUCAUAAAAACUCAUUUUAAUUCAUAUCCAUUAGCUUAUAAUAUUACCAAUACACAUAUUAAUUCAACAAACCCAUAAAUUAUUAUAAACCUCAACAUUUUCAAUAACUAAUUAUAAAGAAAUAAAACUAAAAUUAGAUAAUGAAACAAAUAGAAAAGAUAAAGGAAACUUCCCUAAAGCAUAAAGCAUAAGAGGUUACUUACUUAACUAAUUAAUAGCUUAGGGCUUGAAGAGAAAUUUUGUAGAAAAAAGAGAGAUAGAGAUAAUAGUAAAAAAAAGAAAAAGAGCUUGAAUUAAUUAGGAGCUAACAAAGAAAAUUAACCAUGUAAAACUAUUAUAUUAAUAUUUUAAUAUAAAAAAAUACUUUGAAAAAAAAAUUAAUAAUUUAUUAACAAGUGACUUGGGUCUGACGUCCCUGCUAGGCCUAAGCAACUUGGGUCCCAUGUUCCUUUUCAAUCCCAAGUUACUUGGGUUUGGAAGGGGAUGCUAGAUCUAAGUUAAUAAUAAAAUUAAUAACAACAACAACAACAAUAAUAAUUUAUUUUAAUUUUCAAAUCAAAUCUAUGUUUUGUUUUUUUACAGUAAUAAUAUUAAUUUCAAAUUUAAUAAUAUUAAUGCAUUUAAUAAUAUUAAUAAUGGUAUUAAACUUGUUUGAUCCAAGUUUUUAUAGUUUUUAGUUCCUCAAAAUAAAAUUUAUAAUUUUUUUCGAUAACAAUAAUAUUUUUUUCAAAUUUAGUAAUGAGAAUAAUAAUAAUAAUAAUUUUUAAUUUUACUGUUUAAAUCAAAUUUAUAGUUGUUUUUGAAUAUUAAUAGUAUAUAUUUUUUAAAAAAAUUAUUAAUUAUUAUAUUAAUAAUAAAAUUUAUAAUACAAAUAAUAAAACUUAUAAUAUUAAUAAUAAUAUUAAACUUGUGAGGCUAAAAACCCAAGAUCAAGUGGGGCUACAAAACUCAAUAACCGAAGGCCUCCAUUGUAAAGAAAAGAAUAAAGCUUGGGUUAUUUGAGAUAUCAUCUCAAGCCUUCAAAGUCAGAACUUUAGAGCUUUGAUUGUACUAGUCUUUUAUACAUGGUAUUUGCGGACAAUGACAGCUAGUGAAGUGGCUAGCGCAAAUUAAGCGAGAUGAAUCGAUCCCCACCCCUUUGCAGACAAUGCCAGGUACUUCUUUAAAUCAAAUGACAAAUUAUUAUAUUACCAUCAACUUGAAAAAGGGAAUCAUCGUUUUGAACUAAAGUGAACUUAAUUAUCUUUCAAGUUGUUCGUCAUAUUGUUAAUGCUUUGCGCUGGGCACUUUAUUCAUCAUUAGAAAGCAAGUAGCUUAUAAAUAGAUCCUAAGUAUACACGAGGCACACAGCACACAAAAUUUCAGUCCUCUCCAAGUGUUCCUUUGGUCACUCACUUGCAAUUGGUCUUUGAUAAAUGGCGAGAUUCUCAAAGGUACUCAGGAAGACUGAUAUUAAAAAGAGACUCUCAGUGCCGACCGGGUUUCUCAGCUCUCUUCCAUCUUUUAACGGUGGUGGUCAUGCUGUAGAUUUUCAAGCUGUAGAUGGAAGUGGCCGUGUUUGGGCCUUCAGAUGCUCAAUUCGCAAGAAAGGACAUCCAAAACCAGUUAUUUCAAAGGGUUGGCUCGCUUUUGUUCAUAGCAAGAGCCUUAAAGUUGGUGACAAGGUCCAGUUUUUGAGGGAGAAAAACGAAGCUGGCGCCAAAACGCAUGCUUACGAGAUUCGGGCUGAGAAAGAAAUCAAGAUAUUUGGUGCUGUUUUCGGAUAUGCACCCAUAAUAUAGCUCCAUUUCCGUGCAUUAGGGCUGAUAAGAGUAGUCUGCUUUUGGCUCGGCAUGACUACCUCAGCCUAAAGACAUCUCAAACAGGGCUUGUUUUUGGUAUUUGUAUUUAACAAAAAGAAAAUGUUCAAACCUAGCUAUGCUGUUGCUGUGCAUGUUCUUGUUCUUGUAACGUUGUCUACAUGUUACCGCUGUUCUAUAUUUCGGUGCUGUCAACUUUAGUUAUUAUCAAAGUAAAAUAAAGUUUCAAUUUGUACGUGUCAAACAAUGUGAUUGUGAGACAUUUUACUAUGUCUCAAACAGUGAUUCAAGUUCCAUUUCUAAUAUUUUCUUCUCGCGAGAGGCCAUGGUUUCUUUUGUUCGUUUUUUUUUUUACUCCAUGUUCAGACAGAUGACAGAGGAGAGGAUGCACCGAGCAGGCAGAAGAAAAAUGAGAGAAGGGUGCCGCGACGGAGAAAGACUACAACAUAGGCAGCAGCACCAUCACAAACAAGCGAGUUUCUCACAGGUUAGGAGGUGGCCAAUCAGUGAACAACACGUCAAAUCAGCAUCACCACCAGCAGAAUCAGAAGGUCUGUCACCACCGGAGAGCUGGAAAGUGCAAUAGAUUCCCAUGUCCGUCUCUCCACCGUGAACUCCCAGCACCGCCGCUGCAUUCGUCUGUGAACGGGGGAGGAGGAGGAGGAGCGAAGAGAGGGUUUAUCGGAAAUGAUUCGUCGAUAAACCCUUCACCUGGUAGCAGCCCUUUCUUAAACAACUCAAGAUUUCUUUUGCACUUGAAGGGAAAUUAGGCUCCUACACAUUUGCGUUGACGAUUCGAACCAUGAUUUUUAGAUUCGUUUUCCUACAUUUUUCACCUAUAGACCAUUGAUUCAUGCUUUUGCUCUCUUUUUUCUCUGUAUAUGUGGCUUCUCCUCUACCGCAUACCCACCUUUUCUUUACCUCAGAUCGCGUUUUUCAAUUCAUCUUUCAUUUUGUAAACCAGAUCACUGGAAGAGAGAAUAAGCACAAAUUUGUGGAGAGAAUGAUGAUGGUGCUGCAGAUGGCUUCUGAAAUACUAGAGACUGGACGAUGGUUGUAAGAGGGAUAAUAUUUUAUUUGGAUGGUGGUAGGUAAAAAUUGUUUUUUAAAGUAUUUUUAUUUUAAAAAUAUUUUAAAAUAAUAUUUUUUGUUUUUAAAAGAUUAUUUUUUAUAUUAAUAUAUUAAUUAAUUUUAAAAAAAUUAUUUAUAAAAAAAACAAUUCAAAAUGAUCUUUAAAUCAUCAAACUAGUUCUUGAAUUGUUAUCAUCCAAACACAAAUGCGAAUCAUUUACUAGUUCUUGAAUUAGCAUUUACAAUUGCGAAUCAUUUCCAUUUUAUAAAUUCAUAGAACAGUUCUAAAUCAAAUCUCUUUAGAAAUAAAAAAAUCCCUUGAAUGAUGUAAGCUCACUCCAAUCCUCUUACAAAAUUACGGAUUCAUUUGGCAUCAUUAAUUGAGGCAAGUAUCUCAAAUCAACACAAUUAGGAGAUAUCAGUUUAUUGUUAUAUAAGAGUUUUUGCACCGUGGAAGAAUUUAACAAAAAUUUAUUUUAACCUUGCCAAGAAAGCCAUGGACAACCCCACAAAACACUAUUUUCACAUUUUCUAGUUCGUCACGUCAUCAAAUCACAUAGUUUUUGAUGGGUUAGCUUGGUAAAUAAAAACAAUGUUAUUCUAAAUUUGUUUUAAAAAAAAAAUUAAAAUAGUGUUUUUUAAAAAUAAAAUAAGAAUUUAUUGAGAAUUUACUUGGUAAGUCUAUAUAUUUCAUCACACUUUGUCAAUUUCCACCUAUUUUUCUUAAACCCCAGUACACCAAGUCUUUAUUCAAUCAGAUCCUGGAUCUAUUUACUAAGGCAGGUUUAGAGUGUAUUUAUUUUUGUAAUUGAGAUUUGAAAAAACUAAGUUUAGAAAAAAUAUUUUUAAUUGUGGUUGGAUUAAUUUAAAUAAAUAUUUAAUUAAAACUGUGGUUGAAAAUGUUGUUAAACAAAAAUUAUAUUAAAAGACCAAGAUUUUUUUUAAUUUGCAUGGAAAUCAUAAUAUAUUAGAAUAAGAACAAUAAUAAUAAAAAAAACACUACUUUUUGUUGGGAUAAAUGACCAUAGCAUCACAAGAAAGAAUGUUCUUUAUUAGACUAAGUUCAGAACUCAGUAAAAGCAUGCUGAUAUUGCUUUUUGUUAAGCUGUGGUUGGAGGCAAAUUUAUGGGUUCCACAAACUCGAAUAUAAGAUUAUGCUGAUAUUAAACUACCUUUUUUUUUUGGGGGUAAAAAACAAACCCAUUCUUAAUAACACAACACCUAAUGCUAAUUGCUGAUAUUGUCCGCUUAUAAGAAUAUGUGCCAUAAGAGGCAUCUUAGCCCAAUGCUAACCUGUGGCUGGACCACAAAUUUUAAUAGAUUUCUCAUAAGCAUAAACCUGUGUUUCAGAUGCAAUUAAAUACUUUGUUUUUUUUUACCCUCUCAGAUACAGAAGCUGCCACAAAAACAAACGCGUUAUUAACAUAACUAAACCUAAUGCUAAUUGCCCUUAGAAGAAUAUGUGCCAUAAGAAGGGAGACCCAAACCAGGGUUAUUAGGCAUCUUAGCCCAAUGGAAGAUAAAUAAUACAAAGCUCAGAUCUUUUAAGUAAGCCCAAUAAUGAUUUCAGCCACCAGCCCAUAGGAAACAAGAUGAAGUCCAAUUAUUAGAUGCGAGCACAGGCGUAGGGCAAAAACCAUUAGGGCGUAGCUUUGUUUAUGAUAAUCCCUCCCAUGCUCAAUACUCUUUUUUUUUUCUUUAGUUUUAAUAGUUUAUAAGAUGUAAUUAUCAUGAUAAAACAUGAUAUAUGAUAAGAAUCCUCGAGAUACAAGUUUUGAAAGCAAGACGUAAAUAUCAUAAAACUCGAUGGGAGGUUAACAAUUCUUUCAUAUUAUGGUAUUUCCUUUUAUAUAUGUAGAUAAGCAACGUGAAUAUUCAUGUAAAAAAAAAUGAAGAAAUACAAAAUUUAAUCACAAGAUCAUGUUGUAGAAUAUUGCUCAGCCUCGGAAUGCUAUAUACCACCGAAAGAAAGAGAAUAUGGUUAGGUUAUUUAAGUUAACAUCCCACAAAUAGAGGAAGGAAUUAUCACCUCCUCCUUCAAAACCAAAAUAAUUGACACUUAAUUUGUCAUAUUUCAAGCCUUUGAUUCAAAGUCAAAACCUUAGAAAUCUGAUUCAAUAUGCACCUUAGGAUCUAAAUAAUUUAUUGACAAUCUGAGCUGGAAUGUUCGAUGAAUGUAUACAUAGAUUUUGUUUUCUUUCAUGAAUAGAUUCAUGGCCCCUUAUACCCAUGGAUUUUGGAGAGUGACAAUCUAGUCAAGUGGCCCCGGUCAAAACUAAGUGAAUUAACAUUUAGUGGAUUUUUUUUAUUGUGGUGUAUAAUAUUUUUAGAAAAAUAUUUUUUAAAAAAAUAUAUAUUAAAUUAUUUUUAUAUUAGUAUUUUAAAAUUAUUUUUAUAAGAUUCAUGGCUCGAGCAAUAGUGGGCCCCAGCAGAGAGAACAGUCAGGAUAACAAGCGCUCCGCCCGUCAAGCGGGCGGCAAAAGCAGCGGCCGAGUGCUUGGCAGGCCAACAGCCACAAACACUGGUUAGACUUGUUUGUUUACUGAAAAGUAAUUUUUUUUUAAAAGUAAAUUUUAAAAAAAUAAAUUUCAAAAAAAUAAAUUAUUUUUUUAUGUUUGGUUGUAUAAUGAAAAAUAAGUUGAAAAACACUUUCCAGUGUUCAGUGAUGUCAUGGAAAAUGAGCUGGAAAAUAAUUUAUUAAUGUUUUAUUUUUCUCAAGUUUAUUAAAAUAAUGAGGAACAAAUCUUACAAAUUAAAAGGUUGAAUGAGAAUGAAAUUGAAAAAAAAUAUAAUUUCAUAAAUUAUCUCAAAUAAAAUAAAUAAUAAUCAAAAUAAUAGAGAUCAAAUCUAUAAAAAAAAAUGAAAGAUGAAGAAAUUAAAAUAAUAAUAAUUAAUAUUUCAUAAAUUAUUUCAAAUAAAAUAAGUAACAAUUAAAAGAAUGAGGACCAAAUUUAAAAGAUAAAAAAUUUCAAUAAAAAAUUUAUAAGAAAAAAGCAAAUAACAAUUAUAAAAAUGAGGAACAAACUUAAUAUAAAAAUUAAAUUUUAAGAGAUAAAAUUGAAAAAUAAAUAUUCAAAACAAAAUAUAUAUAGCAAUCAAAAGUUUGAGGACCAAAUUUGAUAUAAUUAGUAAAUAAUAUGACAUUUUUAAAUUUUUCACAACUUUCGGAAAAUGUUUUCCGCCCAAAUUUUCCAGGAAAACACUUUCCUAAAAACCAAGCCAAAUUUUCCUUCGACUGGAAAGUGUUUUCCGUUGACCAACUUUUCUACUGACAAACAAACACAGAAAAAUUUAAAAAAUAAUUUUAAAAAAACCACUUUUCAAAAAAUAAAUACAGCCUUAAUUAACAAAAGAGCUCGGAGUGUGUCUUUUACCUGGAUUCAAAUAGUAAUUUCAGUUUUUCAGUUUCUCAUUUUGCAUUUUACUGCAGAUUCAAUCUCUCAUCUUUUGCUCUCUCUUUUUUUUUCUGUGUAUGUGGCUUCUCCUCUACCGCAUCCCCACCUUCUCUUUACCUCAGUCUCAGAUCGCGUUUUUCAAUUCAUCUCUUAAUUUCUUUUUGUAACCAGAUCAGUGGAAGAGAGAAUAAGCAAAAAGUUGUUGAGACAAUGAUGAUGGCUUCUGAAUCACUCAAUAAAAAUAUUAGAGAUUGGAGGGUGAAUGUUAGAGUUAUAGCUAUUGUUAUUUAAAAUUAGCUUAAUUUGCCUUUUCAACAUUUAAAAAUACUACACCUAAUGCUAAUUGCUGAUAGGAAACAAGAAGGGAGGCCCAAACCAAGGUAAUUAGGCAUCUUAGCCCAAUGGAAGAUAAAUAAUAGAAAGCUCAGAUCUUUUAAGUAAGCCUAAUAAUGAUUUCAGCCACCAGCCCAUAGGAAACAAGACGAAGUCCAAUUAUUAUAUAUAUAUAUAUAUAUGCUAGCACAGACGUGGGGCAAAAACCAUUAGGGCGUAGCCUUGUUUAUGAUAAUCCCUCCCAUGUUCAAUACUCUUUUUUUUUUUUUAGUUUUAAUUGUUUAUAAGAUGUAAUUAUCAUGAUAAAACAUGAUAUAUGAUAAGAAUCCUCGAGAUACAAGUUUUGAAAGCAAGACGUAAAUAUCAUAAAACUCGAUGGGAGGUUAACAAUUCUUUCAUAUUAUGGUAUUUCCUUUUAUAUAUGUAGAUAAGCAACGUGAAUAUUCAUGUAAAAAAAAAUGAAGAAAUACAAAAUUUAAUCACAAGAUCAUGUUGUAGAAUAUUGCUCAGCCUCGGAAUGCUAUAUACCACCGAAAGAAAGAGAAUAUGGUUAGGUUAUUUAAGUUAACAUCCCACAAAUAGAGGAAGGAAUUAUCACCUCCUCCUUCAAAACCAAAAUAAUUGACACUUAAUUUGUCAUAUUUCAAGCCUUUGAUUCAAAGUCAAAACCUUAGAAAUCUGAUUCAAUAUGCACCUUAGGAUCUAAAUAAUUUAUUGACAAUCUGAGCUGGAAUGUUCGAUGAAUGUAUACAUAGAUUUUUCUUUCUUUCAUGAAUAGAUUCAUGGCCCCUUAUACUCGUGCAUUUUGGAGAGUGACAAUCUAGUCAAGUGGCCCCGGUCAAAACUAAGUGAAUUAACAUUUAGUGGAUUUUGUAUUUUCGUGAGUAAUAUUUUUAGAAAAAUAUUUUUUAAAAAUAAUAUAUAAUUUUUUUUAUUUUUUUAUAUCAAUACAUUAAAAACACUAAAAAUAUCUUUUCAAAUAACAAAAUAUUUUUGAAACUCAUCAAAAAAAAAAAACUAUUGUAUUUCUAAACACUCACUUAUAAAUCUACAUGGUUAUUUUGAAUAGUAACUUUGACUCUUAACCUUGAAAAACACAAUUAAUUUGUCAAGUUUUUGUAAUAAAAUAAUUUUUCAUAGAUUCAAUUUCAAUGAAAAAAAUGCAUUUAAAGGGAUAGUUACUCUCUAAAUAAAAAUAUUGUAAUGCUCAAUAGUGAUCUCAGCCACCAACCCACAUAUACCUAAAACUUGAAAAGUACAAAACAUUAUUAUUAUUAUUAUUAUUAUUAUUUAACUAAAAAUAUCUGGUUCAGUUUGCGUGCACUUUAAGUAAUUUAUUGAUAUCCUAAAGUUAAUGACCAUGUAAAUAUCUAGUGAUUUUAAAAUUUAUAGGACUCAAACUGAUAACUUUUAAAGAAUAAACUCAUAACAUGACUAGUUAGUGGCUACACCCCUUGUAAGUGAAACACAAAACAUUAUUAUUUGCUCAUGAGGUGCGAUAAUGGUAGUAAGCUAGGGUUCAAGUUUCCAAUCGCUCAGCCUCGUAAUGCUAUAUUGUAACCCCGAAAGAAAGGAAUAAAGCUUGGGUUAUUUGAGAUAUCAUCUCACAAAUAAAGAACGAAAUGAUCACGUGUCGUAUCUCCAGCCUUUGUAGCAAAGUCAGAACUUCAGAAAUUUAAUUCUACCAACCAUGUCUGGAUACUCAAACAUUUUUUAUUUAUUUCGUGGCAUGGCCGACUUAAGCCGCUACCCAUGUGUUUUCGGACAAUGACUGUCCGACUGAAGUGGCCAGCGCAAAGCGAAAUGAAUUAACAAUAUGAGAACUCUCCAUCUGGAUCCCCUUUACACUUUUAUUGAAAUAAAAUCAGAUGACAAAUUAUUUUAUUACCACCAACUUGAAAAAUGGAAUCAUCGUUUUAACAUGAAGUGAUGUUUCACUUCAUUUUGUUAAUUCAUUUCAACUGCGAUGGGCACCUGACUUAGAUUAUCAUAUAUAUAUAUAUCCCAUGAAUGCAUCAAUUUGUUUAUUUAUUUGGAUAAGCAAAUUAUAAUGAAUUUAACCAUUUAUUUGUUGUUAAAAAUAUAUAUGCAUCAAUUUGUUUAUUUAUUUGGAUAAGCAAAAAGAACCCGAGGCACAUGCCUAGUCGAGCAAGUGUAGGUUUGGCUUAAAUCAAAAGCCUACUUCAUGGGAGAGGUCUAUAUCAAGUAUAUAUCUCUAGGAAAAGGAUCUCUUAAAUAAUGUUAUCUUACAAAACUCUUGUUGCUGACUUAGCCAUACACUUUCAUAUAUGUGUAGGUUUCAUCUGACAUCAUUAAAUCCGUAUUAUGUGCCAAUAAAGUACAUGAUAAUACAUUAUAUAAGAGUUUUUGCAGCAUGAAGUUGGAAAAUUGCAAAUAAAAAAUGACAAUCUGUGAGUAUAGAUGGCAAAACCUAACAAAAACCAUGCUUAGCCCCACCACGAAAGAAAGUCAUCGCCAACACCAAAAGGCGCUGCUUUCACAUUUUCUAGCUGAUGGUUCAAGGGGUUUAGAAAUUAUUUUUUAAAAUAAUUUUUAUUUGUAAAUAUAUUAAAAUAAUAUUUUUUUUAUUUUUAAAAAAUUAUUUUUAAUAUUAGCACAUCAAAAUAAUUUGAAAAUUUUAAAAUAAAAUAAUUAAAAAAAAAACAGGUUAUCUGUGAGCUGCAACGCUUUCCUCCUCCACACCCAGUCGCCUAAUGCCAAUUGCUGACAUUGUUCACUUACUAUCCCCUGAGGUGCCAUAAGAAGGGGGACAUGAAGUCCUAUAAAUAUCAAUAUUAUUUUUAUAAUUAUCUUGUUUCAUCGGACAUGCAGCUUUUGAUAAAAGCUGAGGAAGCUUCUAUUGCCUCAGCUUUUCAGAACGCAUUUUCGCUUCGGUUGAUAAUAAAUUGUCGACAUUAAAUAUUUUUAAGCUUAUUUUAUUCAAAUAAGACCCUCUUACACGUGCGUCCCUGUGACUAGUUGCCGAGUAAAUCGGGGUAAAAGGCUGCACAACGAGGUCGAAGUUUUCUGAAGGUUAUUUUUAGAAAAAGAAUUUUAAUAAAUAAAUAUAGAAAUCAUUUUAGAAAGCAGAAUAAAAAGGCAAUGCCAAUCAAGAAAUGGCAAAAAUCAUAUAAAAAUGUGGGGCACGAGUAAUGAUGACGCUGUCAUUGUCAAUCCGAAGGUAGGUGUUGCCAUUUGUGCACCGACUCGAACUAAAUCAAGGUGUCCCAAUCAUUCGGACAAUCAACCAUACUGUUCAUAAACUACAGUGGAGUUACAUGAGUGGUUACCAUUUUGUCCUAAAGACUGUUCAUAGUCUACAAAUUAAAAUAAAAAGACAAUUGUAAUAUAAGAAGGGUGUACGCGGGGAGGGUGAGCUGAUUAUUUUUUUAAAUGUCUUUUAAUUAGAAAUAUAUUAAAGUAAUUUUAUUUAGUUUUUUAAAAUUAUUUUUGAUAUUAACGUAUUAAAAAAUUUUAAAAAUAUUAAUUUUAAAUACAAAAUUUUUAAAUUUAAAAUUUUUCAAUAAAAUGAUUGCACAUACCCAAUGACCCUGUCCUAAAGACUUUAUGCAUCCCGAGCAAACAAGUGGCCGUCUUAAGGGUUACCAGAAUAUUCCAUAAUAUAGCUAGCUCCGUUUCUGUGCAUGAAUUAGGGCUAAUAAGAUUCAUGGCCCCUUAUACUCAUGAAUUUUGGAGAGUGACAAUCUACAGGGCAAAGCUAAGUGAAUUACCAAGUAGUGGAUUUUGUAUUGUUAUGUAUAAUAUUUUUACAAAAAUAUAUUUUUAGAAAAUAUAUAUUAAAAUAUAUUUUAUAUUUUUUUAUAUCAAUACAUUAAAAUUAUUGAAAAAUACUAAAAAUACAUUUUCAAAUAACAAAAUAUUUUUAAAACCCAGCAAAAAAAGAAAUUAACUACUAUAUUUUUAAACACUCACUUAUAAUUUAAUAUAUAUUUUUAUUUACUUGGUUAACAAUUUUAUAUCAUAGCUCAAGCAUUUAUUAGCUUUAAUUAUCCAUUAUAAAAUAAAAUUGCAGUCACAAUUUUUUACUUUAAAAUAUAUAAUUUUUUUGUAUAAAUAGAAGUGAUUUAGGUUAAAGUAGAAGAUUGUUCAAACUUUUUAUUCAUAAAUAAAAAAAAUAAGUUGACAAAAAAUAAUUAAUAUUUAUAGGAAAGAAAAUAUUUUACAGAAAAUCCAAACCAAGCCUAGAAUAUGUUAAUAAAAAUUAAUUAUUUAUGAACCGUUAGAAGGAUUGGAGGCACUUGCCUAGGCGAGUGUACGUGUGGUUUAAAUCAAAAGCCUACUUCACUCAGAUCCUCUUCACAGUCCAUUUUAAAAAUAUUAGUACUCUACGAGAUUAUUUUUAAUUUUUUAUCUUUUUAUUAUAUAAACUAUAAAAAAAAUUUAUAUUUUACAUGGGAUUGCGAAUAGAUAUAGGAGAGAGCUUAUCCAUAUCAAUUAUUUAUAAAAAAUUAUCUUCGCUUUGAAUAUUAAAAAUUGAAUAAUGUGAUAAGCUCACAGUUUUGAUUGACAUGGUUUACGACAAUUGCAUAACAUACCUCAACAUUUAUAAAUUAACAGAAUCCCACACCAAAAUGCAUUGCUUCUUUCACAUUUGGUCCUCCACACCCAGUCGCCUGAUGCCAAUUGCUGAUAUUGUUCACUUAUUAUCCCAUGAGGUGCCAUAAGAAGGGGAGACCUGAGCCGAGGUUAUUAGGCAUCUUAGCCCAGUGAAAGAUAAUAAUACGAAGCUAAAAACAUUUAACCAAGCCCUAUAGUGAUCCCAGCCACCAGCCCACGGAAACCUAAAACUCGAAGAAACACAGAACUUUAUUAUUUAUUUGCUCAUGUGGUGGGAUAAUGGUAGUGAGCUAGGGUUCAAGUUUCCAAUCGCUCAGCCUCAUAAUGCUAUAUUGUAACCCCGAAAGAAAAUAAUAAAGCUUGGGUUAUAUGAGAUAUCAUCUCGCAAAAUAAAGAACGAAAUGAUCAAGUGUCGUAUCUCAAGCCUUUGAUUCAAAGUCAGAACUUCAGAAAUUAAUUUUAAAUAUUUUUUAAAAAUAAUUAAUUUUAAAAACCCCACCAAGCACUUAGAAUUUUCAAAAUAGAUGUAAACAUCAUGUUCUUCUGGAACACGCAUUAAAAUUUGAGUGAGUAGUUCUGACUUGAACAUGAGCUUUAAUUUGGAAUGUUUUAUAUAUCAACGAAAAAGGUUUAUAUCUUAAAAAAUCCUGUAUAAGUUAAUAAACAAUGAAUUAGUUGAAUAAACAAUUCAGCCAAAUUAAUCCAGUAUAAAAAGGUUUAAUUAAUUUUUUUAAUUAAUUUUAUUUUUUAAUAUAAAUUUAUUUUUAUUUAGUUUUUACAUUUUCAUAAUAGAAUCUUAUACUUGACCAAAACUUUUGAAUUUGACAUUGCAGCUAAAUUCACUUCAACUUAAAUUAUAUAAAUUUAAUAUUAUUAUUUAUAUUAUAAUUAAUAUUAUAAAUAUUACUUUUUAAUUAUUCAUUAUAGUCAAAUUAAAUUUUUUUUUUAUAUAACCUAGAAUAUUCAAACCAGCUUAUAUGUAACAUGAUUAAUUCCUGUAUUCACUGUACAACCUGUAAUCUUAGAUAAGUAAAGUAUUACGAAGAUAACAAGUGUCCACGCUGAAGUUUGAACAUAAAAUACAGAGGAAGGGAAACAGCACCGCUGGGCCAGCCUCGGUGCCAACUUAAAAUUGUUGAAUCUAACGGUGUAAGUAGAUUUAACACUCAUGAACGUGACCUCAAGGGUUCGAUGCUUCAUGAGCUAAUAGAAAUCACUCUAUGUUAACUCCUGUUGGACGAAGUCGGUUUGCUGGACCCAUUUGCCAUUUGGUUGCUAGACUGGCUACAAAGCAAGUUACAUAACUGCCCCUCCAGCCUAUAUAUAGAGAUGAUUGCUGUGCACACAGCACAAUAAUCUGAGUCCUCUCCAACUGUUCCUUUGGUCACUCGCUUGGUCUUGAUAAAUGGCGAGAUUCUCAAAGGUGCUUAGGAAGACUGAUAUUAAAAAGAGACUCUCAGUGCCGACCGGGUUUCUCAGCUCUCUUCCAUCUUUUAAUGCUGGUGGUCAUGCUGUAGAUUUUCAAGCUGUACAUGGAAGUGGCCGUGUUUGGACCUUCAGAUGCUCAAAUAUUCGCAAGAAAGGACAUCCAAAACCAGUUAUUUCAAAGGGCUGGCUCGCUUUUGUUGCUAGCAAGAGCCUUAAAGGUGGUGACAAGGUCCAGUUUUUAAAGGAGAAAAACGAAGCAGGCGCCAAAACACAUGCUUACGAGAUUCAGGCUGAGAAAGAAAUCAAGAUAUUUGGUGCUGUUCUCGGAUAUGCACCCAUAAUAUAGCUCCGUCUGCUUAUGGCUCCGCAUGACUACCUCAGCCUAAAGACUUCUCAAACAGGGCUUUUUUUUUUUUUUGUAUUAGUAUUUAACAAAAGAAAAAAGUUCAAACCUAGCUAUGCUAGCUGUUGUUGUGCUUGUUCUUGUUACGUUGUCUCCAUGUUACUGCUGUUUUUAUCUUUCGGUGUUGUCAACUUUUGUUAUUAUCAAAGUAAAAUAAAUUUUCAAUUUGUUCGUGUCAAACAGUGUGAUUGUGAGGCAUUUUACCGUGUCUCAAACGGUGAUUCAAGUUCCAUUUCUGAUAUUUUCUUUUCGCGAGAGGGCAUGGUUUCUUUUGUUCGUUUUUUUGUACUCCAUGUUCAGUUCUCCCCUUUCUUUUUCUAAGCCAAGCCGACAGAUGACAGAGGAGAGGAUGCACCGAGCAUGCAGAAGAAAAAUAAGAUAAGGGUGCCGCGACGGAGAAAGACUACAACGGAGGCAGCAACACCAUAACAAACAACCGAGUUUCUCACAGAUUAGGAGGUGGCCAAUCAGUGAACAACACGUUAAAUCAGCAUCACCACCAGCAGAAUCAGAAGUUCUGUCACCACCGGAGAGCUGGAAAGUGCAAUAGAUUCCCAUGUCUGUCUCUCCACCGUGAACUCCCAGCACCGCCGCCGCAUGCGUCUGUGAACGGGGGAGGAGGAGCAAGGAGAGGGUUUACGGGGAAUGAUUCAUCGUCGUUUUCUGGGAGGUGGGGUAGUAAUAGUAAUUAUUGUAACAGUUGGGGCACUUUGGGAAUAAGGGUCAUAUUUUAUGGGUAAAAAGGGAAUUGUAAUUUUGGUGAUAAGUGGCGGAGCAAUAUUUGCUUUCUCGGGAGCUUCGGUGAUGGGUUGACUCAACUUGAAGGGCAUCAAAAGUUGAUUGUUUUGUGAUUCUUUAGUGUUUUGUGUAAUGGGUUUUUGUGGGUUUUGGAUUUGGUGAUUGAUUUUGGGGGUUUUGAUGUGAGCAGGCGAUGCAUUGCCAUCUGGGUCUGAAGGGUGAGACUGUUAAGAGUUUGGGGUUUCCAGUCUGGACAGGUUUGAGUUUUACCAUUUUCAGCUUGAAUUUUAGCUAAUAUUUUCAGCAGACAUUGAAAUUUACGACUGUGAUUGAAUUGUAAUGUGCUGUUUCAAGUUGAUGUCUCUGAUGUUUGUAUUGGAUCAAUUAUCCAAUUUCUGUUAAAGCUAAGACUAUGAUUAUAUUGAGAUAUUUAAAAGCAAGAUGCUAGCGGGGAGUUGCUUCAAGCUUCAAUAUUUUCUUUUCUGUAGUUUUUCCUUGCGGAUACUGCAAUUUGAAUUAGAUAUUUGCUUGAGAGAAGAAAGUUAUUUUUAUCAACUGUUUUUUCUUCACUCGGCUAAAUGUUCAGUGACAAACUUGCUUUAUGGAUGUUGUUGUUGCCCCUGUUGUUUUGGCAAUUUAGGGGUCUGAUUAGUCUUGGUGGUGUGUUUGGUUGCGUGAUUAGUGAAGGUCCUUGGGUUUUUGUUGGUCUUCCAAAUGUUGUCAAGGUUUGGCAAGCCUUUCUCAUUGUUUUUUAUAUCACUCUAAACCCAAUUUGUGGUGGUAGGAGAGUUUGUGAUGAAAUAACUCGUCAGGGAAGAAUAUUGAUGCAGAGGCAAUAUACAUCGAUUUUAGUUGACAGCGAGGCGCUUGAGGUGAAACAUUUUUUUUCACAAGGUCUUUUUCAUUGUUUUCCUUUUUUUAUUCUUGAUUGUAAUUUUAACAUGAGACAUUUAUAUUGUUCUGCCUCCGUUUGUAAUUUGUGCAGGCAAGAUGUUACUGCUCAAUUGUCAAUUUUCAGCUCUAUCUUACGUUGAUUUUACUGUUCCAUCUCCUUUGCAGGCAAAACGGUACAACUCUACUGCCAAUUUUCCAGCUUCACUUUGCUUUAAUUCCACUGUUGUCUGUGCUUGGAUUUUUACCAGUAGCUGAUGAUUCAGGAAAAACGAUUAGUUCCAUAUGGAAAUCUUCAGAUUUUGCUUCCUUUUGAGCUUUAUAUAUAUAUAUAUGCUUUCAUUUCAAUCAUCACUAAACGGCAUGUUUAUUAAGUGCUAAGAUUGCUUAAACUUCUACUACAACGUUACGUCUUCACCCAGCUAUUUUGCAUUUUUUCCUUUUCGAUAUGCAUUUUGAUCCCCUUCCCCUGUCGGCAGCCCUUUCUUAAACAACUCAAGAUUUCUCUUGCACUUGAAGGGAAAUUAGGCUCCUACACACAUUUGCGUUGACGAUUCAAACCAUGAUUUUUAGAUUCAUUUUCCUACAUUUUUCACCUAUAUAUAGACCAUUGAUUCAUGCUAUGGUUGCGCUGGCGCCGACAGUAGUUAAUUAACAAAAAUCUAAAAGAGCUCGGAGUGUGGCUUUUACCUGGAUUCGAACAGUAAUUUCAAUCUUUCAGUUUCUCAUUUUGCUUUUUACAAAAAUUAUUAUGUAAAACCCUUCAACCUCCCCUUCUCAAUAUUCAUCCAAACACGAGUAACUCAUAGCAGCAUUUUCUGUUAUAUAAGAGUUUUUGCAGCAUGAAGUUGGGAAGCAACAAAUAGAAAUUGACAGUAUGUGAAUAUAGAUGGCAAAACUUAACAAAAACCAUGCUUGGCCCCACCACGAAAGCCAUCGACAACACCAAAAUGCACCGCUUCUUUCACAUUUUCUGGUUCGCCUGGUUUAAAGCUCUGAACAGCAACGCUAUGCUCCUCCACGACCAGUCGCCUAAUGCCAAUAGCUGAUAUUGUUCUCACUUAUUAUCCACGAGGUGGCAUAAGAAGGGCCCAUGAGCCGAGGUUAUAAGGCAUCUCAGCCCAGUGAAAGAUAAUAAUACGAAGCUAAAAUCUAUUAACUGAGCCCAAUAGUGAUCCCAGCCACCAGCCCACAGAAACCUAAAACUCGAUGGAAAGUUAAUGAUUUAUUCAUAUUGUGAUAUUCCUUUUAUAUCAGCACAAUAACACAAUCUUUUGAAGAAAAGCAGCAUGCGACUUCCUAGGGAAAAAAUGAAGAAAAUAUCAGCACAAUAACAUAAAACAUUAUUAUUAUUAUUUUUAAUUAUCAUAGAUGUCCGGACUGCUUUGCUUGUGCAUAUCUCUACUACUAAUUCUAAGGUCACUAAAUUACACAAAACAUUAUUAUUUGCUCAUGUGGUGGGAUAAUGGUAGUGAGCUAUGGUUCAAGUUUCCAAUCGCUCAGCCUCAUAAUGCUAUAUACCUCCAUUGUAACCCCAUCUCACAAAUAAAGAACGAAAUGAUCAAGUAUUGUAUCUCAAGCAUUUGAUUCAAACCACCAGUUUAGUAUUGCGUUUCAAAUUCUAGUUAGGCAAAAUUUAAAAUUUAAUUUACUUAAAAUUAAUUUAUUUUUAUAUUUUUGUAUCUUUUUUGAUUUGUUGAUAUAAAAAGAUUUUAAUUUUUUUUAAAAUUUUUUUUUUAAUAUAUUUUAAAAUAAAAAAUAUUUUAAAAAAUAAAACAUUCAAAACACAUAUAAUUCAAAACAUCCAAACAUUCUUUUAUUUUAUUUCGUGUCGUGCACAGUUGAAGAGCUGCUACCCAUUUAGGGUGCGUUUGUUUAGUUAUAGCUUUUAUAUUUGCGAUGUAAAAAACGCAGUUUGGUAUUCAGUAAUACAUCAAACUGUUUUAUACUGUGGAGCCCAUCAAAAAAUUGAGUUUGAAACGCAGUUUUUGUGAAGCAGUUUUUACAUGUUUUUUUAACCGAGUUUCGUAAAACUCUGCUUGUUUUUGCGUUUUAAAAGCAAUUUUUUUAAAAUUUAAAUUUUUUUUAUUUUUUAAUUUAAUUAAAAUUAUUUUUUUAUAUAAUUUCAGAUCAUUUUGAUACGCUGAUAUCAAAAAUAAUUUUUAAAAAUAAAAAAAUUAUUUUGAUGUAUUUUCAAGUAAAACACACUUUUAAAAAGCAAUAACAACCAAAUAUUUUAUACAUAUUUUUUAUCAUAUAUAAAUCUCAACCAUAAUUUUUACCAAACACAUAUCUAAAUAUAACUAACCAUAUUUUUAAAUUUUUUUUUAAAAUCAUAAUUACAAAAAUUACCUCUAAAACAAAAAUACUUUUGUAUUCCGGCAACGACAGUCUAGUCAAGUGGCCAGCGCAAGGCGAAAUGAAUUAACAGUAUGAGAACUCUCCAUCUGGAUCCCCUUGAUAACUGCCACUAGUAACAAGGGUCUUCAGACGGCCACGUGGCUUCACACGUGCAUAGAGGGCCCCCUUUUCCUAUCUUAAUUCUCACCCAUUUAUAAGGGAAAAAACAAGGGCCAUAUAAAUUAAAUGAGAUGUAAUUGAACUAGAUACAUGAUAGAAAAAUGGGAUUUUCUCUAUAGAAAGAGGUGAGAUAAAAUUGAUAAAAAAACCAAUUCUUUAAAAACAAUUUUAUUAAAAUUGAAUCAGAUGACAGAUAAUUUUAUUAUUAGCAAACUAAACCAAGCCGACUUUAACUGAUUGUUUGUUAUAAAAUAGUCUUUUUAGAAAGUAAUUUUUAUAGAAAAUAAAUUAUUGUACAGUGAAUUAUUGUUUGAUAUUGACAAUGUAAUAAAAAAUAAAUUAGAAAAUAUUUUCCAGUAUUUAACUAUAUCAUUAUCAAAUAAACUAUAAAAUAAUUUUUUAAUUUUUUUAAUAAUAUAUAUAUUCUACACCAUUUUUUUACAUUCUUUAAGCAUUAGCUUUAGAAAAUAAAUAUAAACACUUUAUAUCAAACAUAGUAUGCAUAAAUAAUCUGCUUUAACAAUUUCAAUUCUCAGCACCUCAGUCACACGAGUGGCUUGUGAAUUUUUAAAUACAGAAAUGACUUGAACAUGAGCUUUAAUUUGGAAUGUUUUAUAUAUCAAUGAAAAAGGGUUUAUAUCUUAAAAAAUACUGUAUAAGUUAACAAACAAUGAAUUAGUUGAAUAAACAGUUCAGCCAAAUUAAUCAUAUUAAUUAUAUCUAUUUGUGUAUAUAUAUAGAGUAUCUUUUUUUAAAAAUAUAUUUUUUUUUUAUUUACAUGAGAGUUUUCAUCAUACAUCAUGAAUCCAUACACAAUCACCAAAUUUCAAUAUCACAUUUUCUCACUAAUUAAUAGAUUCUACAUAGAAAUAAGAUAAAGAAACGAUGUUUAUAUUUAAUGGAUUUUGCAAUAUAUCAAAAAUAAAAUAUUGCAAUACAGUACUAUCAAAACGAUACACUUCGAUAAUAUCAGGCGUAUAAGAUUGUAUAUAACAAUAUAAUUACAAUAUAUCAAAUAUAAUUAUUUAAAUUGAACAGCAUAACCGACGCUUGAUGGCUGAUGCGAUUUGUAGAUAACACGUACGCUUUUAUUUUUCCUAAAUGAUCUCUAGGUUGGAUGCUUCCUAACACGCUUUUAAAGCGUGUGUCUACAAAUAAAAGCGUGUUAGGAAGCAUCAAACUCUGACAGAAGUCCUGUGUGCUUGUCCUUGAAAGGAGUUGGUUACAAAAAAAAAACGUUGUAUAACUGUCCCAAUCAUUCAUGUCAUGAGAAAACCAACAGGAAUAUUCUACUAAUUGAAGUCUGGGAAGGUAUACCGUUAGCUCCGGUGCUCUUGUCGCUGGACCCUACCAUAACGCAUCAGAUUUUGUCCCAUUUGGUUACGAAAGAAAGUUGCUAACAAAUAAUAAAAAAAAAAAUUUGUCUUUUGUUUGUGAUUGGUCUCUCUCAUUUUUUUUUAUAUGACUUUUUAAGCUUCAUUUUGUUCGAACUAAUUGCAUGCUCCAAGGGAUGGAUUCAAUUUACAGUGAGAAAACACAUCUAGCUUGAUAUUACUAUUGUGGUCUCACCACUAAACACUUUGUUGUUUUAAUUCUUAAUUUUCUCAAAUAUAAUCUACGUAAAAAUACUAAAUGAAUAUUUUUUAGCUUUUAAAAUUAGAAACACUUAAUUAAUAAACUCUUUAAAAUAUAUAUGACCACUCGCCUAAUAAUAAAAACAAAAACUAUAUGCUUAAAUAAAAAUGAAAAGUGUAACGCUCAAGUAGAAAAAUAAAAAAACACUCGGAUAAUAAAAAUAAAAAAUCCAAUGGUCUUGCUUUAUCUUACCUAAUUACGGAUGUUCGCCAUCGCCAGCAUUAUAAAUAUAUGCUCAUUAUGCUCGACGCACACAGCACUCAAAAUCUUAAUCCUCUCCAACUGUUCCUUUGGUCAGUCACUCGGUCUUGAUAAAUGGCGAGAUUCUCAAAGGGGCUGAGGAAGACUGAUAUUAAGAAGAGACUCUCAGUGCCGACCGGGUUUCUCAGCUCUCUUCCAUCUUUUAAUGCUGGUGGUCAUGCUGUAGAUUUUCAAGCUGUAGAUGGAAGUGGCCGUGUUUGGGCCUUCAGAUGCUCAAUUCGGAAGAAAGGACAUCCAAAACCAGUUAUUUCAAAGGGCUGGCUCGCUUUUGUUGCUAGCAAGAGCCUUAAAGGUGGUGACAAGGUCCAGUUUUUAAAGGAGAAAAACGAAGCAGGCGCCAAAACACAUGCUUACGAGAUUCGAGCUGGGAAAGAAAUCAAGAUAUUUGGUGAUGUUCUCGGAUAUGCACCCAUAACAUACAGAGGUCCUAACAAUGACAAACACCGUCUUAUAUUAAACUUCAGGGGUCCUAACAAUGACAAACACCGUCUUACAUUAACUUAAAGACGACACCAUAAAGAAUCUCCUGACCCACCCAUGAUUGAAUGACUGAGCUCUGCCGUGGAGGAACUCGGCAUGCCGUGGAAGAACAAGUGGACCCCGGGAAAAUCUAGCCGCCCCUGUUUGGAGUGGACCCCCGAACCAGGAAAGUCUCGCCUCCUCGUUUCGGCGUUGGUAGGGUUUUGACGUGGCCGACAAAUCACGUACUUUCCUUUUUGUUCCUUUCGUUUUUUUUUUUUUCCAGAGAAAAUGCGUUCUGACUUUUUUUAUGAAGCCCAAGAGUCAAGAACCAAGGGAAGUUUUAUUAAUAAAUAACUUGCAGGAGACUGCGCAGCAAAUCAGUUAUAAAAAUAAAAAGAGCUAGAGUUGCACCACAAAUAGUAGCAAAAAUUACAAUUAAAAUUAUAUUUGUUCACUGGAGAUUUUCUCCGUAACCUGUGACAAAAAUAUUAAACAGUGGGGGGUUUUAUCAAAUCCACUAGUAAAAAUUAAAACAAAUUAAAACACAUUUCUAUAGAAGGAUGAAUAAAAAAAAAGAAAAAAAACACACGAUGAAAUACUAUUAUAAUUUAUAAUAAUUUUUUUAAAUAUUGAAAAUUUAAAAAUUUAUAAAUAAAAAAACACAGCUUGAAAAUUUAUUUUUAACAUUAAUAUAUUAAAACAAUUUAAAAAUAUAAAAAAAUUAAUUUUAAAUAUUGUUUUUUAAAAUUUCAGCUAUCUUCUUGGACUGCACUAGCAAACGGGGCUAAAUCUACGAACCCCACCAAGCACUUGAAUUUUCAAAAUAUAUGUAAACACCGUGACAGUGACCUUUCAAUUUGUCUUGAAAAAUGACGAGAUUAUCAAAGGUAUUUAGAAGAAUAAUAUUAAAAAUAUUUUUUUUUUAUUUUUGUGUUUUACAUGUAUUUAAAAAAUAUAAUUGUUUUUAUAAAAAUGGUAAGUAUACACGAGGGGCACAGCACACAAAAUCUGAGUCCUCUCCAAGUGUUUCUUUUGUUCAAUUGGUCUUUGAUAAUUAAUGGCGAGAUUAUCAAAGGUACUUAGGAAGAUUGAUAUUAAAAGGAGACUCUUGACAUUAUUGGCUCGAACUCCAUUAAUAUUAAUAAAUUAAAAUCAUUAAAAAACAUUAAAAAUAUCUUUUCAAAUAACAAAAUAUUUUUAAAAAACAUAUUAAAAAAAACUACUGUAUUUCUAAAUACUCACUUAUAAAUCUACGUGGUUAUUUUGAAUAGUAACUUUGACUCUUAACCAUAGUUAAUUUUCAGACCCGGCCAAGUGGUUGGCCCAGUCCAAGACCCGGAUUCCGGGUUUUGAUCGGGUCGCCCGGGUCAAUUUGUUUUUAAAAUCAAAACGACGUCGUUUUAGUAAAAAAACAAAAGUCAACGGAUUGCAAACGAGUUUUUGACCGGGUCUUACCGGGUCACGCCGGGUUUUUCCUUUCCCUAUUUUUUCUUCAACCCGACCCAAUUCUAGCCUCGGGUUGGCCGGGUCUAGGGACGACCCGCCGGCCCGGACCGGAUUUCAAAACUAUGCUCUUAACCUUGAAAAACACAAUUAAUUUGUCAAGUUUUUGUAAUGAAAUAAUUUUUCAUAGAUUAAAUUUCAAUGGUUACUCUUAAAAUAUUAUAUUUUUUUAAAAUCUAUUUUAUCUUACAUAUUUCUAUCCGACAAGUUUUAUCUUUUCAUUGUAUAUCUAGUUGAGCCUGUUUAGAAAUGUGAUUGUGGUUAUGUUUUGAAAAAGCUUUUUACUCUGAAAUGUAUUAAAAUAAUUUUUUUUUAUUUUAAAAAAAUUAUUUUUAACAUCAACGCAUCAAAAUAAUCUAAAAAUAUAAAAAAAAUAAUAAAUAAAAAAAUUUAAUUUUUUUCAAACACAUUUUAAAAUACAAUAUUGUGGCGCUUCCAUGGAAGCAGGUCAAGCAAAACAUGGUCAAGCAAAACAUAGCUUCUGUUUAAUAUUGCUCACAAAAACAUAAAAAUAGAAAACCUUAAAAAACAUUAUUCCAUGUCGUGACUACAUGAUGGAUGUGAGAUCAUGGAUGACGAUUGCACCUGUCCACAGAAACAUAAAACUCGAUGGAAAGGUAAUGAUUUAUUCAUGUUGUGAUAUUUCCUUUUAUAUCAGCACAAUAACACAAUCUUUUGAAGAAAAGCAGCAUGAGACUUCAUAGGGAAAAAAAUGAAGAAACACAAAACUUUAAAUUUUUUUAAGAUAAUAUUUUUUUAAAAAAUUAUUUUUAAUAUCAAUAUAUUAAAGUAAUAUAAAUAAUUUUUAAAAAAUAUUAAUUUAAAAUUUAAGAUUUUUCCAAUAAAAUGAUUGCACAUACCCAAUCGUUCAUGACCCUGUCCUAAGGACUUUAUGCAUCCCGAUCGAGCAAACAAGUGGCCGUCUUAAGUGCUACCAGAAUAUUCCAUAAACCAACGGAAUAUUCUGUCAAUGUUAUUGAAGAAAUUUAAAAGCUUCACCAAGCAAUUGAAUUUCCAAAAUAGUUGCAAACACCGCCGUUACGAUGACCUUAAUCGAAAUAAGAAAAAGAAAACUACCCAUCCAAAUAACCUUGCAUCUAAGCCGCACCAUUAUAAAUAAGAAGCUAAAGUAUACACGAGGCACACGGCACACAAAAUCACAGUCCUCUCUAAGUGCUCCUUUGGUCACUUGGUCUUGAUAAAUGGCGAGAUUCUCAAAGGUGCUUAGGAAGACUGAUAUUAAAAAGAGACUCUCAGUGCCGACCGGGUUUCUCAGCUCUCUUCCAUCUUUUAAUGCUGGUGGUCAUGCUGUAGAUUUUCAAACUGUAGAUGGAAGUGGCCGUGUUUGGACCUUCAGAUGCUCAAUUCGCAUGAAAGGACAUCCAAAACCAGUUAUUUCAAAGGGUUGGCUCGCUUUUGUUGCUAGCAAGAACCUUAAAGUUGGUGACAAGGUACACUUUUUAAAGAAGAAAAACGACGCUGGCGCCAAAACACAUGCUUACGAGAUUCGGGCUGAGAAAGAAAUCAAGAUAUUUGGUGCUGUUUUCGGAUAUGCACCCAUAAUAUAGCUCCGUCUGCUUAUGGCUCGGAAUGACUACCUCAGCCUAAAGACUUCUCAAACAGGGCUUGUUUUUUGUAUUAGUAUUUAACCAAAAAAAAAAAGCUCAAACCUAGCCAUGAUGUUGUUCUGAGUCUUCUUGUUACGUUGUCUACAUGUUACUGCUGCUUCUAUAUUUCGGUGUUGUCAACUUGUGCUAUUAUCGAAGUAAAAUAAAUUCUCAAUUUGUUCGUGUCAAACAGUGUGACUGUGAGGCAUUUUACUGUGUCUCAAACAGUGAUUCAAGUUCCAUUUCUAACAUUUUCUUUUCGCGAGAGGGCAUGAUUUCUUUUGUUCGUUUUUUAUUACUCCAUGUUCAGUUCUCCCCUUCCUUUUUCUAAGCCAAGCCGACAGAUGACAGAGGAGAGGAUGCACCGAGCAGGCAGAAGAAAAAUGAGAGAGGGGUGCCGCAACGGAGAAAGACUACAACGGAGGCAACAGCUAGCACCAUCACCAACAAGCGAGUUUCUCACCGAUUAGGAGGUGGCCAAUCAGUGAACGACAUGUUAAAUCAGCAUCACUACCAGCAGAAUCCGAAGGUCUGUCACCACUGGAGAGCUGGAAAGUGCAAUACAUUCCCAUGUCCGUCUGUCGUCCACCGUGAACUUCCAGCAUCGCCGCCUCAUGCGUCUGUGAACGGGGGCGGAGUAGGAACGAAGAGAGGGUUUAGCGGGAAUGAUUCGUCGUCGUUCUCUUGGAGGAGGGAGUAGUAUUUUAGCUAAUAUUUUCAGUAGACAUUGAAAUUUAUGACUGUGAUUGAAUUAUAAUGUGCUGUUGAUUUGAGCACUGGUGUUUCAAAUUGAUGUCUCUAAUGUUUGUGUUGGAUCAAUUAUCCAAUUUAACUAAGCCCAAUAACGUUUUCAAUCUUUGUUGUAGACUAGUUAAAUCUAAAAUAUGCACCUUAGGAUCUAAAUAAUUUAUUGACAAACUGAGCUAGACUGUUCAAUGUAUGUAUAUAUAGAUUUUGCUUUCUUUCAUGAAUAGAUUCAUGGCCCCUUAUACUCGUGGAUUUUGGAGAGUGACAAUCCAGUCAAGUGGCCCCGGUCAAAACUAACUGAAUUAACAUUUAGUGGAUUUGUAUUUUCGUGAGUAAUAUUUUUUUAAAAAUAAUAUAUUAAAAAAUAUAAUAUUUUUAUAUUAAUACAUUAAAAUCAUUGAAAAACACUAAAAAUAUCUUUUCAAGUAACAAAAUAUUUUUGAAACCCAUAAAAAAAAAAACUAUUGAAUUCUAAACACUCACUUAUAAAUCUACAAGGUUAUUUUGAAUAGUAACUUUGACUCUUAACCUUGAAAAGCAUAAAUAAUUUGUUAAGUUUUUCUAAUAAAAUAAUUUUUCAUAAAUUAAAUUUCAAUGAAAAAAAAUUGCAUUUAAAGGGAUAGUUACUCUCAAAAUAUUAGAUUUUUUUAAAUCUAUUAUACCUCACAUAUUUCUAUUGGAAAAGUUGUAUCUUUUCAUUAAUAUUAGUGGCUGUUAGGGUUAGUAGCUAUUGGGGAAUGUGGUUGCGGUUGCUUUUAAAAGUGUUUUACACUUAGAAAUGUAUUAAAAAUAAUAUUUUUUUAUUUUUUUAAAAUUAUUUUUGACAUGAGCGUAUCAAAAUGAUCUAAAAACAUAAAAAAAAAUUAAUUUAAAAAAAAUUAAAAACAUUUAAAUCUUUUCAAAAAUAUUUUUAAAAAACAAGAAUAUCUCAUUUCUCACAAAAUACAAUAUUGUACGGCCCUUCCAUGGAAGUAGGUCAAGCAACAACAAGCUGGUCAAUAGCCUCUGUUUAAUUUUGCUCACAAAAAAAUAAAAAUAAAAAUAAAAAACUUUUUAAAAAUUUAUUCCAUGUCGUCACAACAUGAUGGAUGUGAGAUCAUGGAUGACGAUCGCUCUCUACGCACAUGCAUGUAUUGUCCCCUUCUUUAUCUCCUUAUAAAUAGGUAAAAAUUAUAGCUAGCAUUCAUGAUAAUUAUAAAAAUAAUAUCGAUAUCUAUCGAGACUUCUUUUACAAUAAGAUUCCAAAAGAUUUAAUGAACACCACUUGAUAAUAUCGCUAAAACAAUUGUUAUUAAUAAUUGUUCAUAUAAACAAUAAAUUAACAAUUUUAUAUUGUAACUCAAUUAUCGGCUAUAAAAUAAAAUUACAGUAAUAAUUUUUUACUUUAAAAUAUAUAAUUUUUUUUUGUAUAAAUAGAAGUGAUUUAGGUCAAAGAAGAAGUUGUUCAAACUUUUUAUUUAUAAAUACAUGAAAAAAAAGUUGACAAAAAAUAAUUAUUUAUAUAAAAAAAAUUAUUUUACAGAAAAUCCAAACCAAACCUAAAAUAUGUUGAUAAAAAAUAAUUAUUUAUAAACCGUAAAAAGAACUCGAGACACAUGUCUAGUUGAGCAAGUGCGCGUGUGGCUUAAAUCAAAAGCCAACUUCACCCAGUUCCUCUCAACUCUAGAAACUUUAGUGCUUUACGAGAUUAUUAUUAACUUUUUAUCUUUUUAUUAUAUAAACUAUAUAUAUAUUUUUUAAUAUUUUACAUGGGAUUGCGUAUAGGGUAUUGGAGUGAACUUAUCCAUAUCAAUCAUGUACAUGAGUCGAGGUUACUAGGCAUCUCAGCCCAGUGAAAGAUAAUAAUACGAGGCUAAAAUCUUUUAACCAAGCUCAAUAAGAUCCUAAAGUUAAUGACCAUGUAAACCUUCAGUGACCCUGAAAUUUAUAGUACUCGAACUGGUGAUUUAUAGAAAACAAACUCAGAACCUGACUAGUUAAUUAAACUACAUCCCUUAUAAUUGAAACACGAAAGAUUAUUAUUUGCUCACGAGGUGGGAUAAUGGUAGUGAGCUAGGGUUCAAGUUUCCAAUCGCUCAGCCUCGUAACGCUACGUAUGUUGUAAACCCAAAAGAAAGGAAUAAAGCUUGGGUUAUUUGAGAUAUCAUCUCACAAAUAAAGAACGAAAUGAUCACGUGUCGUAUCUCAAGCCUUUGAUUCAGAGUCAAUUCCAUACAACCAUGUCUGGACACUCAAACAUGUUUUUUUUAUUUCGUGCCGUGUGCCCGACUUAAGCCGCUACCCAUGUGUUUUCGGACAACGACCGUCGACUCAAGUGGCCAGCACAAAGCGAAAUGAAUUAACAAUAUGAGAAAUCUCCUUCCGGAUCCCCUUGAUACUCUAAUUGAAACAAAAUCAUAUGACAGAUUAUUUUAUUACCAACAACUUGAAAAGUGGAAUCAUCGUUUUAAAAUGAAGUGAUGUUUCACUCCAUUUUGUUAAUUCAUUUCAACUGCGAUGGGCACCUGACUUAGAUUAUCAUAUAUUAUAUAUUAUAUAUAGCCCAUGAAUGCAUCAAUUUGUUUAUUUAUUUGGAUAAGCAAAUUUGAAAGAGUUUAACAAUUAUUUGUAGUAAAAAAUAAAUAAUUAUAAAGUGAAUUAUUUUAUAUUUGAUAGUAUAAUAAAAAAUAAGUUGGAAAAUAUUUUCUAGUAUUUGACAUACUUAUUAAAAAAUAAUUUAUUAAUAUUUAAAUUUUUUCUUCAAAAUAUUAAAAAAUAAAUAUAAAUAAUUUAUAUUAAAUAUAGUCAUGCAUAAAUAGUUAUUUCAAUUCUCAGUACCUCACUCACAGGAGUGGCUUGAGAAUCUUUGAAUACAGAAGUACCUUGCUCACAGGAGUGGCUUGAGAAUCUUUAAAUACAGAAAUGAUAAAAGAAAAGGUUUCACAAAAUUCUUCAAAGUUUGUCUUCACUUCAGCUGUCCUAACAAUGACAAACAUCGUCUUAUAUUAAACUUAAAGACGACACAGUAAAGAAUCUCCUGACCCAUCCAUGAUUGAAUGACUGAGCUAUGCCGUGGAAGAACAAGUGGACCCCGGGAAAAUCUCGCCGCCCCUGUUUGGAGUGGACCCCCGAACUAGCCUCCCCCGUAUAGGCGUUGGUAGGCUUUUGACGUGGCCGACAUAUCACGUACUUUCCUUAUUGUUUAUUUUUUUUUUCCAGAGAAAAUGCGUUCUGACUUCUUAUAAAACCCAAGAGCCAAGUGAAGUAUUACUAAUAGAUAACUUCCAAGAGCCAAGAGCCAAUAUCACUAGUUUAAUUAGUUAGGUUUUUAAUUUUUUUAAAGAUAAUAUAUUUAUGUUCUUUUAAGUUUAUUAAAGAUUUAUAUAAUUAUUAAUUUUAAAACUUGUAAAAUUAAUUAAAAAAUAUAUAAACUCACUCGUACAUUUAUAUUAAUAAAAAAAGUUUUUCAGAGAUUGAGCAGCAAAUCAGUUAUAAAAAUAAAAAGAGCUAGAGUUGCACAACAAAUAGUAAUACAAUUAAAAUUAUAUUCGUUCACUGGAGAUUUUCUCGAUGCUGAGAAUAAACCUGUGAUAAAAAUAUUAAACAGUGGGAGUUGUAUCAAAACCACUAGUAAAAAUUAAAACAAAAACACACUUCUAUCUAAGGAUGAAUAAAAAAAAGAAAAAAAACACUAUAAAACACUAUUAUAAUUUAUAAUAACUUUUCUUUUGAUGAAAAGUUAAAAAGUCAUGCACAUUAUUUUUUAAACUUGUAUUCGAAUUGUAAUUUAAUAAUAUAAUAUACUAAGAAGUUGUUUACGUGGAGAUAAUAAUUGUUUUUUAAAAUAUUUUUUUAAGUAUAUUAAAUAAUAUAUUUUUAUUUUUAAAAUUUUAUUUUUAAUAUUAAUACAUUAAAAAAAUUUAAAAAUAUAUAAAAAUUAAUUUAAAAUAUAUUUUUUUAAUUUCAGCUAUCUUCUUGGACUACAUUAGCAAACGGGGCUAUAACUAAGAACCCCACCAAGCACUUGAAUUUCCAAAUAUAUUUAAACACCGUGACAGUGUUCCUUUGGUCACUCAAUUGGUCUUGAAAAAUCUCAGUCCUCUCUAAGUGUUCCUUUAUGGCGAGAUUCUCAAAGGUUCUUAGGAAGACUGAUAUUAAUAAGAGACUCUUAGUGCGGACAUUGUUGGCUUGAACUCAAUUAAUAGCCGACGACGCACUACUGUUCAUUUAUAUAUUCUCGGUUGCAAUGGCGUGUAGAUAUGGUUAACCUGAUUUUUAUCUGUUUAUCAAGUUAUAUUUUACGUAUUAUUAAUGGAUACACCAGCAUAAAUAAGUGAUGAUCACAUUUUAUUAGUAAUUCUAUAUGUAAUAUUUAUUUGUUACAUGAAACAAUUUUAUCAGUGAAUAUCGAGAGAAAUAUCGACAUUAUUUUUCAUUGGUACCAUUCAUGAUAAUUACAAAAAUAAUAGUGACUUCUUUUCCAAUUAGAUUUAAUGAACAAAACAUAUUAGUUUAUUUGCUAUGUUAAUGUUGUAAUAUAAUAAGGACUAAAAAUAUAUAUUAGUUUGGUGAAAUUAAUGUUUUCAAAACUUUGAUAUAUGUUGCCAACGUGGCAACAAGGAGUGUAUAAUAGAUCGUCAUAAUCUGUUUUUUUACUAAGGCUCUGUUUAUUUGCAGGAAAAUAGUUUUUUUGAAAAGUAUUUUCUUGAAAAGUGAAUUCCGAGAAAGUAAAUUAUUUUCUGAUGUUUGGUAGUGUCAUGGAAAGUAAGUUGGAAAACACUUUCAAGUGUUUGGUUAUGUUAUGAAAAAUGAACUGGAAAAUAGCUUAUUAAUAUUUUUUUUUCAUGUUUAUUAAAAUAAUAAAGAACAAAUCUUACAAAUUAAAAAGUUGAAUGAGAAUGGAAUUAAAAAAAAUCUAAUUUAAUAAAUUAUCUCAAAUAAAAUAAAUAAUAAUCAAAAUAAUAGAAAUCAAAUCUAACAGAUAAAAAAAUUGAAAGAUGAUGAAAUUAAAAUAAUAAUAAUAAUUACAAUUUCAUAAAUUAUUUUAAAUAAAAUAAGUAACAAUCAAAAGAAUGAGGACCAAAUUUGAUAAAUAAAAAAUUUCAAUUUAAAAAAUAAUAAGAGAAAAGUAAAUAACAAUCAUAAAAAUAAGGACCAAAGUUAAUAUAAAAAUCAAAUUAAAUCAAAUUUUAAGGGGUAAAUUAAAAAAAAAAGAUUCAAAUAAAAUAUAUAGCAAUCAAAAGUUUGUAGACCAAAUUUGAUAUAAUCAGCAAAUAAUAUGAUAUUUUUAAAUUUUUUAUAAUUUCAGAAAAGUGUUUUCUGCCCAAAAUAAAAGGAAAACAUUUUCCUGAAAAUUAAGUUAAAUUUUCCGUUAAGAGGAAAUUAUUAUUUUAUUGAUCGGAAAGUAUUUUUUAUUAACUAAUUUUUCUAAUAUCAAAUAAACAUAAAAAAAAAUUUAAAAAGUAAUUUUUGAUAUAUUAAACUCUGAUGUGUUGCCAUUUGAGCCCCGACUCAAACGGCAACAAGGAGUAGUUGUCGUUCUGAGCUAAUUUAUUGCCAUUUAGAAAUAGGCCUAAACAACAACAAAGCAUCAAGAGUGUAGCAUCUGGGCCACAGUCUAAAUAGCUAAAUUUACGCCCAUGUUCCAGUCAUUCAUGAGAUCAAGAAUGGUGAUUGCUCUUCACGCGCCUGUCCCGGCCAUUCAUGACCCUGUCCUCAAGACUUUAUGCAUCCUGAGAACACAAGUGGCUGUCUGAGGACUUUGUAAGUGACAAUUUAACACUACCGGAAUAUUCCAUAACACCAACGCUAUAUUCUGUCAACAUUAUACUCAAAAAUGAAAUAAAAACACGUUUUUGUAAUAUACUAAAUUUAAGAAUCCCACCAAGCACUUGAAUUUCCAAAAUAUAUGGACACACCGCCGACUUGAGUCGAAAACUAUGAGAAAAAAGAAACAAAAAAAAAAAUACUACCCCACCAAACACACGCAUAUUCUUGAUUUCUCGUGACUUAACGACAGAGGUUCGCCAUCGCCAUGCAUUAUAAAUACAUGCUAAGUAUACACAAGGCACACAGCACACAAAAUCUCAGUCCUCUCCAAGUGUUCCUUUGAACACUCACUUGGUCUUGAUAAAUGGCGAGAUUCUCAAAGGCACUCAGGAAGACUGAUAUUAAAAAGAGACUCUCAGUGCCGACCGGGUUUCUCAGCUCUCUUCCAUCUUUUAAUGGUGGUGGUCAUGCUGUAGAUUUUCAAGCUGUAGAUGGAAGUGGCCGUGUUUGGGCCUUCAGAUGCUCAAUUCGCAAGAAAGGACAUCCAAAACCAGUUAUUUCAAAGGGUUGGCUCGCUUUUGUUGCUAGCAAGAACCUUAAAGUUGGUGACAAGGUCACGUUCUUAAGGGAGAAAAACGAAGCUGGCGCCAAAACGCAUGCUUACGAGAUUCGGGCUGAGAAAGAAAUCAGGAUAUUUGGUGCUGUUUUCGGAUAUGCAACCAUAAUAUAGCUUCGCUUCCGUGCAUUAGGGCUAAUAAGAGUAGUCUGCUUAUGGCUCGGCAUGACUACCUCAGCCUAAAGACUUCUCAAACAGGGCUUGUUUUUGGUAUUUGUAUUUAACAGAAAGAAAAUGUUCAAACCUAGCUAUGCUGUUGCUGUGCUUGUUCUUUCUUGUAACGUUGUCUACAUGUUACCACUGUUUCUAUAUUUCGGUGCUGUCAACUUUUGUUAUUAUAAAAGUAAAAUAAAUUUUCAAUUUGUACGUGUCAAGCAGUGUGAUUGUGAGGCAGUUUACUGUGUCUCAAACAUUGAUUCAAGUUCCAUUUCUAAUAUUUUCUUCUCGCGAGAGGCCAUGGUUUCUUUUGUUUUUAUUUUUACUCCAUGUUCAGUUCUCCCCUUUCUUUUUCUAAACCAAGCUGACAGAUGACAGAGGAGAGGAUGCACCGAGCAGGCAGAAGAAAAAUGAGAGAAGGGUGCCGCGACGGAGAAAGACUACAACAGAGGCAGCAGCACCAUCACAAACAAGCGAGUUUUUCACAGGCUAGGAGGUGGCCAAUCAGUGAACAACACGUUAAAUCAGCAUCACCACCAGCAGAAUCAGAUGGUCUGUCACCACCGGAGAGAGCUGGAAAGUGCAAUAGAUUCCCAUGUACGUCUCUCCACCGUGAGCUCCCAGCACCGCCGCCGCAUUCAUCUGUGAACGGGGGAGGAGGAGGAGGAGGAGCGAAGAGAGGGUUUAUCGGGAAUGAUUCGUUGAUAAACCCUUCCCCUGCUAGCAGCCCUUUCUUAAGCAACUCAAGAUUUCUUUUGCACUUGAAGGGAAAUUAGGCUCCUACACAUUUGCGUUGACGAUUCAAACCAUGAUUUUUAGAUUCUUUUCCCUACAUUUUCCACCUAUAGACCAUUGAUUCAUGCUAUGGCUGCGCCACCUAUGAUACGGACUCCAAGUUCUUAUGGCGGAGCACGAAGAGAUUUACCGUCAUAUGAUGAUGGGAAUGGAAACCUGAAGCACCGGGGUCUUCGUGGUCCAGGAUAAUUAAACCAUCAAUAACAGUAACGUAAGCAUGAGACUUUUUGGUAGUACCCGUGAACCAGAUGGCCGCGGCGAUAGAAUCUGGGACGGAGGACUCGUAGUAUCUCUUUAGAUCUGGCAAAAGCGAAAGACCCCCUAAAAUAAUUCGAAUGGGGGCUGACCGCUGAGCCCAUUCUGGCCUCGCAUGGCGGGGCCCCGUCCCGUGGUUGCGAGCUGGAGCUGCCAUAGCUUAUGGCUCGAGCAAUAGUGGGCCCCAGCAGAGAGAACAGUCAGGAUAACAAGCGCUCCGCCCGUCAAGCGGGCGGCAAAAGCAGCGGCCAAGUGCUUGGCAGGCCAACAGCCUCAAACACUAGUUAGACUUGUUUGUUUACUUAAAUGUAAUUUUUUUUUAAAAGUAAAUUUUAAAAAAUAAAUUUCAAAAAAAUAAAUUAUUUUUUUAUGUUUGGUUGUAUAAUGAAAAAUAAGUUGAAAAAUAUUUUCCAGUGUUCAGUGAUGUCAUGGAAAAUGAGCUGGAAAAUAAUUUAUUAAUGUUUUAUUUUUCUCAAGUUUAUUAAAAUAAUGAGGAACAAAUCUUACAAAUUAAAAGGUUGAAUGAGAAUGAAAUUGAAAAAAAAUAUAAUUUCAUAAAUUAUCUCAAAUAAAAUAAAUAAUAAUCAAAAUAAUAGAGAUCAAAUCUAAAAAAAAAAUGAAAGAUGAAGAAAUUAAAAUAAUAAUAAUUAACAUUUCAUAAAUUAUUUCAAAUAAAAUAAGUAACAAUUAAAAGAAUGAGGACCAAAUUUAAAAGAUAAAAAAUUUCAAUAAAAAAUUUAUAAGAAAAAAGCAAAUAACAAUUAUAAAAAUGAGGAACAAACUUAAUAUAAAAAUUAAAUUUUAAGAGAUAAAAUUGAAAAAUAAAUAUUCAAAACAAAAUAUAUAUAGCAAUCAAAAGUUUGAGGAUCAAAUUUGAUAUAAUUAGCAAAUAAUAUGACAUUUCUAAAUUUUUCACAACUUCCGGAAAAUGUUUUCCGCCCAAAAUUUCCAGGAAAAUACUUUUCUGAAAACCAAGUCAAAUUUUCCUUUGACUGGAAAGUGUUUUCCGUUGACCAACUUUUCUACUGACAAACAAACACAGAAAAAUUUAAAAAAUAAUUUUUCAAAAAUCACUUUUCAAAAAACAAACAUAACCUUAAUUAACAAACAAAAGAGCUCGGAGUGUGUCUUUUACCUGGAUUCAAAUAGUAAUUUCAGUUUUUCAGUUUCUCAUUUUGCAUUUUACUGCAGAUUCAAUCUCUCAUCUUUUGCUCUCUUUUUUUUUCUGUGUAUGUGGCUUCUCCUCUACCGCAUCCCCGCCUUCUCUUUACCUCAGAUCGCGUUUUUCAAUUCAUCUCUUAAUUUCUUUUUGUAACCAGAUCAGUGGAAGAGAGAAUAAGAAAAAAGUUGUUGAGACAAUGAUGAUGGCUUCUGAAUCACUCAAUAAAAAUAUUAGAGAUUGGAGGGUGAAUGUUAGAGUUAUAGCUAUUGUUAUUUAAAAUUAAGCUUAAUUUGCCUUUUCAACAUUUAAAAAUACUACACCUAAUGCUAAUUGCUGAUAGGAAACAAGAAGGGAGGCCCAAACCAAGGUAAUUAGGCAUCUUAGCCCAAUGGAAGAUAAAUAAUAGAAAGCUCUAAUCUUUUAAGUAAGCCUAAUAAUGAUUUCAGCCACCAGCCCACAGGAAACAAGACGAAGUCCAAUUAUUAGAUGCGAGCACAGACGUAGGGCAAAAACCAUUAGGGCGUAGCUUUGUUUAUGAUAAUCCCUCCCAUGUUCAAUACUCCUUUUUAUUUUAUUUUUAGUUUUCAUAGUUUAUAAGAUGCAAUUAUCAUGAUAUAUGAUAAGAAUCCUCGAGAUACAAGUUUUGAAAGCAAGACGUAAAUAUCAUAAAACUCGAUGGGAGGUUAACAAUUCUUUCAUAUUAUGGUAUUUCCUUUUAUAUAUGUAGAUAAGCAACGUGAAUAUUCAUGUAAAAAAAAUGAAGAAAUACAAAAUUUAAUCACAAGAUCAUGUUGUAGAAUAUUGCUCAGCCUCGGAAUGCUAUAUACCACCGAAAGAAAGAGAAUAUGGUUAGGUUAUUUAAGUUAACAUCCCACAAAUAGAGGAUGGAAUUAUCACCUCCUCCUUCAAAACCAAAAUAAUUGACACUUAAUUUGUCAUAUUUCAAGCCUUUGAUUCAAAGUCAAAACCUUAGAAAUCUGAUUCAAUAUGCACCUUAGGAUCUAAAUAAUUUAUUGACAAUCUGAGCUGGAAUGUUCGAUGAAUGUAUAUAUAGAUUUUGUUUUCUUUCAUGAAUAGAUUCAUGGCCCCUUAUACUCAUGAAUUUUGGAGAGUGACAAUCCAGUCAAGUGGCCCCGGUCAAAGCUAAAGUGAAUUAACAUUUAGUGGAUUUUUUUAUUGUGGUGUAUAAUAUUUUUACAAAAAUAUUUUUUUAAAAAAAUAUAUUAAUUUUUUUAUAUUAGUACUUUAAAAUUAUUGAAAAAUACUAAAAAUAUUUGCUCGGGUAACAAAAUAUUUUUGAAACCUAUAAAAAAAAAUACUAUAUUUCUAAACACUCACUUAUAAAUCUUUUGACUCUUGAUCCUUGAAAAGCAUAAAUAAUCUGUUAAGUUUUAGUAAUAAAAUAAUUUUUUAUAGAUUCAAUUUCAAUGUUAAAAAUGCAUUUAAAGGAAUAGUUACUCUCAAAUUAAAUAUUAGAUUUAUUUUAAUCUAUUCUAUUUCACAUAUUUCUAUUGGACAAGUUUUAUCUUUCCAUCGUAUAUCUAGUUCAAUUAUAUCUCAUCUCUCACAGAAUACAAUAUUAUAUGGCCCUUCCAUGGAAGGAGGUCAAGCAAAACAAGCUAGUCAACAGCUUCUGUUUAAUAUUGCUCACAAAAAAAUAAAAAUAAAAAACCUUUAAAUUUUUUUUUCCAUGUCGUGACCACAUGAUGGAUGAAAGAUCAUGGAUGAGUGUCGCUCUCCACGCACCUGUCACUGUCCCUGUCCCCUUCUUUUCCCCCUUAUAAAUAGGUAAAAAUUAUAGCUAGCAUUCAUGAUAAUUAUAAAAAUAAUAUCGAUAUAUAUCGAGACUUCUUUUACAAUAAGAUUCCAAAAGAUUUAAUGAACACCACUUGAUAAUAUCGUUAAAACAGUUAUUAUUAAUAAUUGUUAAUAUAAACAAUAAAAUAAUUUAAUAUAUAUUUUUAUUUACUUGGUUAACAAUUUUAUACUUAACAUAGGAAUCAAGUUAUCGUGAAUGACAAACAAUAUGUUGUUUACGGGUUAAAAAAAAGAGUCUAGGUGAUUAGACUUCUCUCGGGUCCACGAACAUGAGCUUUUGUUAAAAUGCAUAUAAUUUCUUUUAUUAUUUAUUUGGGUUUUUUUUGGCAUUUUUUUAUUUUUUAUUUAAUAUGAGAUUUUUAUUUAAUUUUAUUUUUAUUAUUGAUCAGUUUAUUUACAUUGAUUUUUAUAUUUUUUAUCAUAUAAUAAAAGUUUUUUUAUCUUUUUUUUUCAACUUCAUUCUUUAAUAAAAGAUUAUAAAAAAAUAUUUAGGUUUUUUUUACCCUAUUCUUUUCCUCAAAUUCAUUAUUUAAUAUGAGAUUUUUACUUUAUUUUAUCAUUUAGUCUUGCAUUAAUUUUUUUUCUUUGAAUUUACCCAUGAAAAAAUUAUUUUAAAAAAAUUCUCACUCAAUUUAAUUCUAAACUCGUGUUAAGUAAAUAAAACUAGUUUAGGAUUUUUCAAAUUUAAACCAUGAUAAACCGGCAAUCUAAAUAUUAUUUUUUUAAAUUUAUUUUUUUUAAUCCAACCUGCAGCGAGAUUGCAGUUAAAAAAUCUCACUUAAGAUGUUCAGUCUCCUGCCUUCCUUUUUGAAUUUGAAUUAUUCUCUCUAAUUUUGCAUCAGUAACAAUUAUUUUAUUUCAUCGAAUUGUCAUUAAUAGAGCUUAUUAGAACCUUUGGUUGCUACUUAAUUAAGUUGAUGUUGAAUUUCCGUAGGAUUAGGCUGGAAAAUCACAGAAGAAGUAGUGGUUUACAGUGUGUUAUGUUUAAGAUGAUGAUAAAAAUAAUUUUUAAAUUAAUUUUAAAAAAAUAUAUUAAAAUAAUUUUUUUAUUUAACUAAGUGAGGACCUAGAUCCUGUAAAGAAAUUUAAAUUUUUUAUGACCAAAAAACAAAAAUUUUUUUUGCUGUUUUGUUAUCGUUAAAAACAUAUUUUAUAUAUUUUAAAAAAAUAGAAUUAAGCAAAGAACAAAAAAAAAACCUUAUAAAUAUAUUAAAACUCUAAGUAUAAUUGGUAUCGUUAAAAAAAUAUCAAUAAAAUAAAUCUAUUAUAUUUUAAAAAAUCAUUAUUUAUAAUCUUUUAUUGAACUCAUCUCUUCAUAAUCUUUCCAACAUGACCAAAUUUUUGGUGUAUCAUAGGGUCUUUUUAAAGUGAUAAAAAAAAAAACUCUACUUUAAUUGCUAAUAAGCUGUCGGCAUCAAACUGGGUAGUUGCCAAAUAAACUGGCUACAAGUCUGGACAAUGUGUUCAAAGUUUCGAGAUGGCUAAGACCUAGGAAGUGGUGGGCGCAAGGGCUCUGAUGUUACCAUCAUCGUUAAUUGAUUACUUAUAUUAAAAUUUGAUGUGACCCAAAAUCUCUCUAUUACAUGUUCGUGAGAAUAACAAAAAAAAAAUAUUGUAGAAAGAAAGAAAAGGCAUUCCAACAUCUAAGAAACCCUAGGAGCUAGAGAAAUAUUAUUAAUAAACAAGUUCCCAGAGAGUCUGCAACUGCAAGCCCACCUGAAGAAAUAGAACAAACAACUUGUAUCAAAUCAAUUAUAAAAUUAAAACUAGCUCGACUUGCCCCACGAGUAGUAGGAAAAAUUACAAUUAAAAAUAUAUUUGUUCAAUGGGAACACAUUUAGUCGGUGGAUGACUUUUACAAAUCAUCAGCUGUGUGGUUGUUUUAGUGUUUGAUUUUGUGUUUGUUGUUGAAUACCAUUCUUAACAGUAUAAAACAACACAAAUUUAAACGCAUGAAAUCAUAUUUUUGCACUUGUGUUUUUUACUUUAUGUAUAUUUAUUUUAGUUGUCGCACCCGACAUCGCGGCGGUCCCACAAAAUAAUUUCUAGAUUAUGGAAAAAGAACAGAUUUCUGGCAUCUGGUUCUUUAAGGGGAAAAGGUCUUGUUUAAGGAGUCGCCACCUAGUAUUAUGGUCACUAGGAACCCUAACUGGUCAACAGAGAUUCUAUGGCUCGGGAUUGGUUACGUAAAAGGGAAGAUAUUAUCACCCCUUAAACGUUCUGCCUAAGGCAAACUGCAUUGUUGGUUUUGUCUUCAAUUGCUAAACAUUUAUUCACUUAUACUAUGAUGAUUUGUUUAUAAUAUUCCUAACUCAGGCGCCAGUGAAUAUUCAACUACGAAUAAUUCCAACUCUGGCGUUGGUAAAUAUUACGUAGCUAUCAAAUAAAUUUGGAUCAAUAUUUUUAUUCCUGACUCUGGCGUCAGUGAAUAAAUAAAUAAAAAUAAAUUGAUUUUUACACAUGCACAUAUUUUUUAGUUUUCUAGCUAAAUAAAAUACACCGAAUAAAAAUAAUAUAAAUUUAAACCGAUAUUUUUAUUCCUGACUCUGGCGUCAGUGAAUAAACCAAUAAAUUUACAUUAUUUUUAUUCAUGUAUACAUAUUUUUUUAUUUUUUUUACCCGUUUUACUUUCUGUUUUUAUUUUUUAUUUUUUUUUUGGGCUGGGUCCAACUCAGCCCACAUGGGCUGGGCUAGACCCAGCCAGCCCGGCCCGGUCACUGGCCCAAGCCAGUGACCCGGCUGGGCAAAAAUCAAAGAAAGCACGCGUGAAGUGAUUUCACGCGUGCAUGAGCAGAAUAGAGGAAAUGAGUUAGAAUGUGUGAAUUAAAAUUCAAAGUAAACAGUAGCCGGUGAAUUAAAAUGAAAAGCGGGGAAAGAGAAGUUUACUUACCUGGUCUGCUGCUCCUGAAGAUGAAGACGCUGCUCCUGAAGAUGAAGACGAAGCCGGUUCUCUCGGGUGGUUCUUCUUUUUCUGGUCACUGUUCGUCCUCCAUUUUUCUGUGGUUCUUGGUCUGUUCCUCCAUUUUUUCAGUUCUUCCUCUGUUUCUGUUUUCCCCGUUUUUUAGUCUCUCCUGCCCUUCGUGGCCUUUUCUUCUCCCCUGGGUUUUUUUCCGCCCUUUCUCUUGUUUUUCUCAGUUCUCUCUUCCGAUGGUUUGGAGUGUGCAGCUGGAGACGAAUAAUUAGGCUGACCAACGCUUGCAGUUUCCCUGCACUUCACUUGCGUUUUGAGAACAAAGGCAAAGCAGGCCUGCUGUCCUUUUGCUCUCUCCCUAUUUCUCUGUUUUUAGGUCCCCUCUCUGUUUUCGUUCAUGCUCCCCAUUGGCCCCUCGGUUCUGCCCUUUUUUUCUCCUCUUCGGUCGCUCACAGUUUUUCCCUUUUUUGCUCCCCCAGCGCUCUCUCAUCUUCUCUGGCUUUAUAGCCAGAGAAUGCCAAGCACCUCUACAAUUGAAACGGCUUCAAAGCCAUUACUGCAGAAACCGUUCCUGUGGAAGGAGACGAAGAAGGCGACGGCUGAUUUCUAGAAACGGCGCCGUUUGUGUGAUGGGAAUGGCCAUUUGCAAUCCAGUCACUGAAGUUCUGAAAUCGUGUAAUCAAGCCCCUAGAUAAAUUGUAAUUGGACCCCUGUAUUUCGGCUUUUUUACAAACUAAUCCUUGGACUUUAAUCUGUUGCAAUCGUGCCCCCAAUUAACCCCAAACUUUGCUAUUUCUUCAAUUAAGCCCCUGAUUGGAUUAAUUAAAUUAAUUCCAAGCUUAAUUAAGUCUCAAAACUUAUCAAUUCUCCAAUUAAAACCUUAAUUGGAUUAAUUAAAUUAAUUCCAAGCUUAAUUAAGUCUCAAAACUUAUCCAUUCUUCAAUUAAACCCUUGACUUGAUUAAUUAGAUUAAUUCCAAGCUUAAUUAGAUUAAUUCCAAAGUUUAAUUAAACCCUAAAACUUCCAAUCAUGUUGCCCUUAACCUAAAUUUUAAUUCAAUCUUCAUUUAUUUCAUUUUACUUGUUUUUUUCAUCAUUAUUAUUUUUUAUCAUCAUUUUUUAUCCUUUUAAAUAAAUAAAAUAAUAAUAAUAAUUAAAAUAAAAAUGGUCAAAAUUUGGGUUAUGACAGUUGCCCCCUCUUUAUAAUAUUUACUAUGCAAAGAUAUUGGAAAAUUUCAUUUUCCAUUAGUUUUGUGUAGUAAAUUUAUAAAGAAAAGUAAAUACAGAAAGAACCUUUUUUUUUUUUUUUGAAAACAGGAGAUUGACAUAUGACUUUUACAGAGAGAUGUUGAAAUCAAGAAACAAGUAAUUCAAACGAUGACCCACUUUUUUUUGUUUUUGUUUGUUUUUUUGUUUUUGUUUGUUUUUUUUUUUGUUUGUUUUUUUGGUUUUUUAAAUGGAUCAAAUUGUUUUGGGCAACCUGCCCGAUGAUAAAAGAACGCGAAAAGGGUUUCGCGAGUGGUCAAAUUGUUCCAGGCGACCUGCCCGAUAAGAAUAAAACGCGAAAAGGGUUCCGCGAGUGGUCUAAUUGUUCCAGGCGACCUGCCCGAUGAAGAAUAAAACGCGAAAAGGGUUUCGCGAGUGGUCAAAUUGUUCCAGGCGACCUGCCCGAUAGGAAGAAUAAAACGCGAAAAGGGUUUCGAGAGUGGUCAAAUUGUUCCAGGCGACCUGCCCGAUAAAGAAUAAAACACGAAAAGGGUUUUGCGAGUGGUCUAAUUGUUCCAGGCCACCUGCCCGAUAGGAAGAAUAAAACGCGAAAAGGGUUUCGCGAGUGGUCAAAUUGUUCCAGGCGACCUGCCCGAUAAAGAAUAAAACACGAAAAGGGUUUCGCGAGUGGUCUAAUUGUUCCAGGCGACCUGCCCGAUAGGAAGAAUAAAACGCGAAAAGGGUUUCGCGAGUGGUCAAAUUGUUCCAGGCGACCUGCCCGAUAGGAAGAAUAAAACGCGAAAAGGGUUUCGCGAGUGGUCAAAUUGUUCCAGGCGACCUGCCCGAUAGGAAGAAUAAAACGCGAAAAGGGUUUCGCGAGUGGUCAAAUUGUUCCAGGCGACCUGCCCGAUAAAGAAUAAAAAGCGAAAAGGGUUUCGCGAGUGGUCUAAUUGUUCCAGGCGACCUGCCCGAUAAGAAUAAAACGCGAAAAGGGUUUCGUGAGUGGUCAAAUUGUUCCAGGCGACCUGCCCGAUAGGAAGAAUAAAACGCGAAAAGGGUUUCGCGAGUGGUCAAAUUGUUCCAGGCGACCUGCCCGAUAAAGAAUAAAACGCAAAAAGGGUUUUGCGAGUGGUCUAAUUGUUCCAGGCGACCUGCCCGAUAGGAAGAAUAAAACGCGAAAAGGGUUUCGCGAGUGGUCAAAUUGUUCCAGGCGACCUGCCCGAUAAAGAAUAAAACGCGAAAAGGGUUUCGCGAGUGGUCUAAUUGUUCCAGGCGACCUGCCCGAUAGGAAGAGUAAAACGCGAAAAGGGUUUCGCGAGUGGUCUAAUUGUUCCAGGCGACCUGCCCGAUGAAGAAUAAAACGAGGAAAUUGUUUUUUUUUGGACAAAUACAAAUGAAAGGGUCUCAUUGUAAUGGGUGACCUACCCAAGUAAAAAAAGAAAUAGGAAAAUGAGGGCUCGAAGGCGCGCUCGAAAGGAAGCGAGGGCUCAAAGUCGCGCUCGAUAGGAAACGAGGGCUCAAAGGCGCGUUUUUAAGGAGGUGGAAAAACAUAGAGAUUUUUCAGAGGGCCUAAUUCUCGUGGGCGGCCUGCCCAGGUUGAAAAAUUCUCAAAAGUAAAAAUUUUUCAAAAGCAAUUUCAAUCCUGGCCAUUUCAAAUUGGCCUUCCACUUGAUGGAUUCCGUUGGAAUUUUCUCUAAUGAGAUUUGCAAAACUCAUUGUCCAAUUUCUCAAAGUUUAGAUGAUAUGCAUGCAUCUUUACCUGAUUUGAAAUAUAGGCCCCCCAUUUCUUCUUUGUCUUCUUGUUGCUUGACUGAUGAGGACUUGCUACCUCUGAUUUGGGUCAUAUUUGUCGCUUGGCUUCUAGCCCACUCGAGUUGGCCCAUAUAAGUCUAUUUCCAGAUUUGUUUGCACAACUUAGCCUUUAUGGUGCCCAUCGUGACCCACUUGCUUGCUAGAGAUUUUCUGUCUUGUCAAAUAAUUUGAGAGGAUCAUUCAUUACUCCUCGUCUCACUACUAGAAACAUUCAGUGUCACUUGCUGAAAGGAUCAAAAUAUCUUUUGUAAACCAAAAUGCCCCCUUAUCUGGUUGAAAGAAAUUAACAUCUCAUUUUCUAGAAUUUUUUCUUCUAAACACAAUGUUGCCCCCUUGUACUGGUCAUUGCCCCCAAGUGUGCUUUGCCAGCGACUUAGACAAAUAAUGGUUUUAAAAGACCAUUCUCUCUUUUUUUUUUUGUUCAUUUUGGUGAAGGAAUAUGGGUGGAGAAUAAAGCUUGAAAUCUUGAUCUUGCAUUUUGAAAAAAAAAAUUGUUUCGAUGUGAGCCUAAAACAAUUUGCUUUUGAAAUCUUGCAACUCCUUGGUUAUUUUCUUUCUUGGAAAAGAGAUUAUUUGCUCUUGUGUUUGGUAAUGAGGUCUUCAGUGAAAAUACAUCAUGAGAUGACCCUUUGUUUUAAAGUGAAGGGCUCAAGAAAAAGCUCGAGGUUUUGUAUGAGAAAAACUUGUCUCUUUUUGAACAUUUAUUUUUAUCAGCAUGAAUAAUAAUGAGUAGUUUAUUCUUGAUGUCAUGAAUCUUAUGAAAAAUAUUCUUUGCAUUUUGAGAGCAUUGUUUAUUGUUCUAGGUUGCUUGCUUGCUUGAUUAGAAAGGACUUCUACAGGCACGUAACGUAGGCUGUGGUUUUUGGCUAUGAAAGAAAAGGAUUCAUAAGGCUCAAAGAGUGUUUCAGGGUUUCAAAGACUAAGGAUCACUAUCAACAGUUUGACUCUUGACGUCAUUCCUAUUUUCUUUUGCCGCUCUUAUUUGAUUUGCUGCUUCUUCUUUUUUAUUGCUUUGCUAAGGCAUACUCAUUUGAUCUUGGAUGUCACUUUUUCUAGUGAUUUGAGCAUGCCCCCUAGCAUUUUGAGUUUCUUGAGCUCUUAUGCCUUUUUGGCUUUCUCACGGCUUUUUGUCUUUUCUCAUUGAAAUUUUCUCUUGCCCCCCAGUGUGGGGUGUGAUCCUAGUCGGGAUUUUUUUUCAUGAAAGAAAAAUUAUUCGGGCUCAAAAAGGGAUCUCAAGGGAUGUACUUAUUUCAGAACGUGAAAGGAAUAACAAAGAUGACCUUUUCUCAUUUCAAGUGCAAGCAGUUAAGAUCAAUAAACUUUGACCUCAUCCAAUAUGAUGGUUUGGUCUUUGCAAAGAUGCAUUUCAAGGGUCAUGAGCAACGAGUUCACUACAUACCAUUAUUCAUACAUUUAAAAACACAUGAUUCAAGAGUCAUGGGGUAAGGGUGUUUAUUCAUUUCUUUUUUCUUUCUUUUUUUUCUUUCUUUCUUUGGUUUAUAAUAGUCACCUCAAUGAUGGAGUUGCUUGAUUCAAUUGUCAUUCUACAAGUAGAAUGUUAAAAAUAUCAUUUUUUAAAGAACAUCAAUUUAUUUUUGAAAUCAAAACGCCAGAUCAAAUUUUCAAAACUCCAAUAGGGAAACUGAUUUUGGUAAAAGGGAUGAAUUGAGUCUAUGAGAUCACGCGAGGCUUCAAAAGUGUAUUCGUGAGUUCUUAUAUGAAAACUCUCUUAAUCAGAUGAAUAAUGCUUGGUCGUGAACACGAUUGAAUGACAAACUCAUUAUUUCAUUGAAGCUUUGGAAAAGAAACAACAAAGAACUUAUGCUAACAUGAAUACUGGCAUGAUAACACAUAAAAGGGGCUAAACAUUUAGUGAUCAUUGAUUGGAAUUUCCAGAAUCUUUCAAUCACUCAUUCUUCUUGACAAGAGUAUCUUUUCAGCAGUUAGUUGAAGCCAUAUGCAGACCAUCCUCGACCUACUAUCACCAUAGCUUUAUCUUCAAAAUAGUUGAUUUUUGGGAGUUGGUGCGAAGAAAUUAACUAUAGGAAUGGUAAGUGCCUUGGCAACCCCCUUCAGUGUCCUUCCUUUUUUCAGUGAAACCGUUCUUUUUCAGUUGGAUCAACAAUUUUACCUAACCCAAUGGCUUGUUCGAUCCUCUCAGCUAUAACAACCAGGUCAGUAAAAUGUUGUGCAGAGUUUCUAACCAAGUAUUCAAAGUAUGGAGCUUUAAAGGUGUUGGAAAAUAAACUGAUCAUCUCCUUUUCCAACAUGGGAGGGUUAACUUGUGCAGCUACCUCACUCCAUCUUCGGGCGUAUUCUCUUAUGGACUCCUUGUUGUUCUUCUCCAUAGCUUGCAAGCUUAACCGAUCAGGGCCCACGUCUAUAUUGAACUUAUAUUGCCUCAUGAAGGCAUCAACUAAAUCCUUCCAUUUUUUAACUUUGAUAUUAUCCAACUGUAUAUACCAAGUGAGGGCAGCGCCACUUAAGCUGUCUUGAAAUAAAUGAAUCAGCAAUUUCUCAUCAUCAACCACCUCAGCCAUUUUGUUGCAGUAUGCUUUGAGAUGAGUUAUAGGGCAUUGAGUUCCCGUAUAUUUAAUGAAUUCUGGCACCCUAAACUUCUUAGGAAUGACUAUGUUAGGUACCAAACACAUAUUGACAGCUUUCACCAGGUCACACAAAUGGUUUCCUUCAACUGCCCUUAUCCUCUCUUCUAAGGCAAUCCAUUUUUCCAAACCCUCUUCUUUCACUAUCUUGCCCUUUUGAGACUCUUUCUCGGUAGAAUCAAUGGUAAACGGCAUUCUCAUGGGGUAUGCUGGCUGGAAAUGCAUAGCUUGUUGAAAUUCAGAUGACACCCUAUUUGCCCCCAGAUUCUGUGGAUCGAAAUGAGUUACAUGCAUAUCUUCAGGGUGAGCUAUAAGUGUUGCUUUUUUGGAUUUAUCUUUCAAGGCCUGCUCGAGUAGACUAGUAAGCCUUGCAACUUCUUCUUUAAGAUUAUCCAUCUCUUUUUGAUGUUGGGCUUCCAACUGGUCUCUUUCUUCGUUUUCCAUUUGUCUUUUUCUCGAACGAGUGUUAUAGAUGGGUUUCAAUGGGGAACCUAUAUUUCAACCUGCUAAAUGUAAAUCAUGCAAUUUAUGCAAAAAAAUGAUAAUAAAAAAAAAUGUGUAUGAAAUGCAAACUUACCCUUCACGGGGUGACAACCUAGUAGGAAGAUCCUAAUUGUUGAGUGCAUCAAGGGGUUGGUCAUUAUCUAGUUUCAAAGGGUCUCUCGCAUGCUCAGUGAUCGUCCAUGAAAGGUCGAUAUGAGGCUUACAAGUAGUGUGAAAAUAGAGGCCCUGAGUAAUAUCAGUUUGGCAUAUCAACCACUUCCAAGUAAACAAUCAAGCGAGAGUUGGAUGGUUUCACGAGUCUUACCCAGGCUAAAGCCAUUGGGGUACCAUUACUCCCCCACUUAUCCUAGUUUGCAAAGUGUGUGCUCCCAAAGUGAUGCAUGACAACAUAAACAAGAAUGCAUGCUAAAGCAGUAAAUGCAGGAAAGAUAAACAAAUAAACACAAAAAAAUAGCAAUAAUAAGACAAAAGACAAAGCUUAAUCCUAAGGUCCCCAGUGGAGUCGCCAUUCUGUCGCACCCGACAUCGCGGCGGUCCCACAAAAUAAUUUCUAGAUUAUGGAAAAAGAACAGAUUUCUGGCAUCUGGUUCUUUAAGGGGAAAAGGUCUUGUUUAAGGAGUCGCCACCUAGUAUUAUGGUCACUAGGAACCCUAACUGGUCAACAGAGAUUCUAUGGCUCGGGAUUGGUUACGUAAAAGGGAAGAUAUUAUCACCCCUUAAACGUUCUGCCUAAGGCAAACUGCAUUGUUGGUUUUGUCUUCAAUUGCUAAACAUUUAUUCACUUAUACUAUGAUGAUUUGUUUAUAAUAUUCCUAACUCUGGCGCCAGUGAAUAUUCAACUACGAAUAAUUCCAACUCUGGCGUUGGUAAAUAUUACGUAGCUAUCAAAUAAAUUUGGAUCAAUAUUUUUAUUCCUGACUCUGGCGUCAGUGAAUAAAUAAAUAAAAAUAAAUUGAUUUUUACACAUGCACAUAUUUUUUAGUUUUCUAGCUAAAUAAAAUACACCGAAUAAAAAUAAUAUAAAUUUAAACCGAUAUUUUUAUUCCUGACUCUGGCGUCAGUGAAUAAACCAAUAAAUUUACAUUAUUUUUAUUCAUGCAUACAUAUUUUUUUAUUUUUUUUACCCGUUUUACUUUCUGUUUUUAUUUUUUAUUUUUUUUUUGGGCUGGGUCCAACUCAGCCCACAUGGGCUGGGCUAGACCCAGCCAGCCCGGCCCGGUCACUGGCCCAAGCCAGUGACCCGGCUGGGCAAAAAUCAAAGAAAGCACGCGUGAAGUGAUUUCACGCGUGCAUGAGCAGAAUAGAGGAAAUGAGUUAGAAUGUGUGAAUUAAAAUUCAAAGUAAACAGUAGCCGGUGAAUUAAAAUGAAAAGCGGGGAAAGAGAAGUUUACUUACCUGGUCUGCUGCUCCUGAAGAUGAAGACGCUGCUCCUGAAGAUGAAGACGAAGCCGGUUCUCUCGGGUGGUUCUUCUUUUUCUGGUCACUGUUCGUCCUCCAUUUUUCUGUGGUUCUUGGUCUGUUCCUCCAUUUUUUCAGUUCUUCCUCUGUUUCUGUUUUCCCCGUUUUUUAGUCUCUCCUGCCCUUCGUGGCCUUUUCUUCUCCCCUGGGUUUUUUUCCGCCCUUUCUCUUGUUUUUCUCAGUUCUCUCUUCCGAUGGUUUGGAGUGUGCAGCUGGAGACGAAUAAUUAGGCUGACCAACGCUUGCAGUUUCCCUGCACUUCACUUGCGUUUUGAGAACAAAGGCAAAGCAGGCCUGCUGUCCUUUUGCUCUCUCCCUAUUUCUCUGUUUUUAGGUCCCCUCUCUGUUUUCGUUCAUGCUCCCCAUUGGCCCCUCGGUUCUGCCCUUUUUUUCUCCUCUUCGGUCGCUCACAGUUUUUCCCUUUUUUGCUCCCCCAGCGCUCUCUCAUCUUCUCUGGCUUUAUAGCCAGAGAAUGCCAAGCACCUCUACAAUUGAAACGGCUUCAAAGCCAUUACUGCAGAAACCGUUCCUGUGGAAGGAGACGAAGAAGGCGACGGCUGAUUUCUAGAAACGGCGCCGUUUGUGUGAUGGGAAUGGCCAUUUGCAAUCCAGUCACUGAAGUUCUGAAAUCGUGUAAUCAAGCCCCUAGAUAAAUUGUAAUUGGACCCCUGUAUUUCGGCUUUUUUACAAACUAAUCCUUGGACUUUAAUCUGUUGCAAUCGUGCCCCCAAUUAACCCCAAACUUUGCUAUUUCUUCAAUUAAGCCCCUGAUUGGAUUAAUUAAAUUAAUUCCAAGCUUAAUUAAGUCUCAAAACUUAUCAAUUCUCCAAUUAAAACCUUAAUUGGAUUAAUUAAAUUAAUUCCAAGCUUAAUUAAGUCUCAAAACUUAUCCAUUCUUCAAUUAAACCCUUGACUUGAUUAAUUAGAUUAAUUCCAAGCUUAAUUAGAUUAAUUCCAAAGUUUAAUUAAACCCUAAAACUUCCAAUCAUGUUGCCCUUAACCUAAAUUUUAAUUCAAUCUUCAUUUAUUUCAUUUUACUUGUUUUUUUCAUCAUUAUUAUUUUUUAUCAUCAUUUUUUAUCCUUUUAAAUAAAUAAAAUAAUAAUAAUAAUUAAAAUAAAAAUGGUCAAAAUUUGGGUUAUGACAUUAGUAAUUGAUUUUAUGUUUGUUAUGAGAUAUAACCAUCAAUAGCACAAAACACAAGAUCAAAAGCAUGAUUUUGAUCUUGUGUUUCUUACUUCGUGGGUGUUUGUUUUAGUAGUUAGUUUUAUGUUUGUUGUGGGUUACAACCCUCAACAAAAAAUUAAACACAAGAUCGAAAACAUGAAAAUCAUGCUUUUGAUGUUGCGUUUUUUUAUUUUUAUUAGUGUUUGUUUUAGUGGUUGAUUUUGUGUUUGUUGUAGGUUACAAUCCUCAUCAACACAAAACACAAUAUCAAAAGCAUGAAAAUCAUGUUUUUACUGUUGCGUUUUUUACUUUGGAUGUGUUUGUUUUAGUGAUUGAUUUUGCAUUUGUUACGAGGUACAACCCUCAACCACACAAAACUUAAGAUUAUACUUUUGUUGUAAUGUUAUGUUUUUUAAUCCUAGUGAUAGCCUCACAAUUAAAAACAAUCAUAACAAUAAAAACAAACAUACACAAAGAAUAUAAAAUUAAUGUGAGUUUUGUGUUAAUACAUUAAAAUAAUAUAUAUUUUUUUAUUUUUUAAAAUUUAUUUUUGACGUAAGCAUAUAAAAAAAAUCUAAAAAUACUAAAAAAAUUAAUUUGAAAUUAAAAAAAUUCAAAUUUUAACCCAAAAAAACAACUUGAAAAUCAAUGUCUAACACACCGUUAAUGUUCUAAGUCCACAUCUAGGUGAGAAAUGAAUUGCAUGGCUUGUGUCAAUUUGCUUCGUUUUUUUUUCCACAUCAACACGUCUUUCUUCUUCUUCUUCUUCUUCUUCUUCUUAUUAUUAUUAUUAUUAUUAUAUUCUGCCAACUCAAAAUGGGAACUCAUGUAAUUCCAUAGAUUCCCUUUCAAUGGAUUCCUUUCUUAUUCUAAUCUUAGUGAUAUUUUUGUUUUUGUUUUCUCAAUUAAUUAGUCAACAAGCUGGACAAACGCACGAUUCCUUUAUUUUACCAUUUGCAAUCUCUCGAUGACCAAGGUGGGCCAAUGUGCUUACGAAUAGAGGACUCCCAAAAUUAUAGAUGCGUGCUAAAAGCUUUAUAAAAAAAGAGAGAGACGUCCAUUCUCAAGUACCUCUUCUUCCCACUUGGCUACCAAAUGGCAAACUUCACCAAGAUACUUAGCCCUGCGUAUCUUCCCACAAUAUCCUCAGUAUCAUCCCAGUAUCUCAAGCGUCUCUCACGUUUUCAAGUUCAUGUAAAAAAAAAAACUUAUGGAAUAGUUGAUCACCAGCAACAUGCUAGUGUAAGGUUUAGGUAAGAUGAUGACUCGGGAGGGUCAAUCUGAAUUAGUUUUAUUUAAAAAAAAUAAAACAAACUUGUUUUAAUAAAUUUUUUAAAAAGCCAACGAGUUAAGAUUUUAUUUGUCGUAGUUGUUAUGAUCCAAUCAUAUUUUUAAAUAUUUUUAGUUUUAAUUUUUUUUAUAUAUUUAGAUUGUUUUGAUAUGACGAUGCCAAAAUAAAUUUUUUAAAAAAUAAAAAAUAUUCUUUUUAAUAUAUAUCUAAAUAAAAAAUAAAUUUAAAAAACAAGGCUCAAUAAAAUUUGUUCACGUUUCAUCAAUAAACUUUAAUGUAUGUCAUCUGCAAAUUGAAGAUCAAGCACGAGGAUAAUUUUUAUAUGUUGGAUACAACCUUGAUGAGUUGGAACUUUGCUAUUUUCAGUCCUUUUCUCUAUUGUUUCUCUUUUUUUUUUUAAAAAAAAAAAAAACCUUGACCGUUUGUGGUGAAAGAAUCAUUGAUGACGAACCCUUUCCAUUUAUCUUCCUAUUUUUCUUCUAUUUUAAUAAAUUUUGAUCUGGUUCAUAUGGUUUUAGAUCUAAUUUUUUUUAUUUGUUGUGUCAAGAAUCUUGUUUAAUUUCUCACUUGUUGGGUUUAUAUCCUUUUUAAAUAAAAAAGUUUGUUGUUACAUCUUAUGAUCUAUAAUAAGAUUGAUACUCUCUAAUAAUCAAUCACGAAGAAAUAAAAUAUUUCAUUAUUGAAGUCUAAUGGUGUAGUGUGUUUAUUAUAUUGAUGAAGAUUUGAAAAAAAAAAAUAAAAACUUUAAAAACUUAGUUUUACUCGUAAUCUCAUCAACUCGAGUAAAAUUUAAUAACAAAUAAUUAAAUUUUAUUUUUUAAAAUAUUUUUUAUUUGGAAAUACAUUAAAAUAAUAUAUUUUUUUAUUUUUUAAAAUUUAUUUUUGACAUUCAAAAUGAUUUGAAAACAUAAAAAAAAUAUUUUAAAAUAAAUAAAAAUAAAAAUAAAAUUUUUUCAAUUUUUUUCCAAAAUAUAAAAAUAAGGAUGCUCUAAGUUGAUACUGACUCGGUCAAAAAUCUAAUAUGAUUUGUAACCCGAUGAACUUAAGUAAAAUUUAAUAACAAAUUAAUUAAAUUUUAUUUUUUAAAAUAUUUUUUAUUAAAAAUAAAUAAAUAAAACACUGCCAGGCCAAAUUGCCAGGAAGAAGAGUGUGAAAACGUGGCUGAAGGUCGGUUGUCAGUGAGAGAAAAAGAGAGAGGACGUGGCUUGAUUCAAAAAAGUUCUUAAAAAACGCACUUAUUAGCUGUUUGGUUACAUAUUGUUAAAAAAUAAAAAACAUGGAUCCCAUCAUUUAUUUGCGGCAGAACCUCGAUUUUUAGGAAGUAGGGAAUUCGUGCUUUUCACGCACUGUUCAUGCUAAUUACACUGUUCAGUGAACAGUGCAAUUACCAUGAACAGUGUAGCAUGCUACACUGUUCCGGUCGGACUAGUUCUGGUCGGACCGGGUCCAGUUCAAAGCUCAACAUGCAUUGAACCGAGUUCGACGCAGUAAAAUAAAAAAUAAAAAAUAUUUUUAAUUUUAAUUUUUUAAUUGUGUUUUAUUCAAAAAAUUAGUGUUUAACAUUAUUCAACAACACUAUGUAAAUUAGACAGAGAUCGCUUGAUGACGUAGCAUUUGCAGAAUUUGAUCGUAAUUUCAAUUUUGUUUCUAAUUAUGUUUUACCUGAUAUUGUCGCGCGCUUAAGAAACCAAAAAAACUUUAGUCCUUGUCAGAUAUAUUUUAUACGUGAUGAAAUUGUAGAUAGUUUAAUGGAACAAUGAAAAAUAUUUUAUAUAAAGUAUUAUUUAUUUCAUGAUAUAAUAACAAUAGUUAAAUGUACAAUAUUUAAAUUAAAAACCAUGUAUAUAUAUAUAUAUAUAUAUAUAUAUAUAUAUAUAUAUAUAUAUUUUAAAAUUAUUUUAUAACCUCAAUUUCAAAAGCAUUAUUAACCAAACACAUUAAACUACUUUUUGUUCAACCUCAAUUUCAACCACAGUUUUAACCAAACAUACAUAAAUAUCAAAUCAACCUCAACUAAAAACACUUUUUAUAAAACAACUUUUUUCAAACCACAACCACAACAGUUACUACAAUACUAAACACACACACAUAUAUAUAGGCCCUUUUUGUUUGAGAUCUUACAAUUUAGUCCCUUUAUUGACAAACUGAGCUAGAAUGUGCAAUGUAUAUAGGCCCCGUUUGUUUGUUGAAAAGUAGUUUCUUUUUGGAAAAUGAAUUCCGAGAAAGUGAUUUAUUUUCUGAUGUUUGGUAGUGUAAUUAAAUAUAAGUUGGAAAACACUUUCCAGUAUUUAGUUAUGUCAUGGAAAAUGAACAAGAAAAUAACUUAUUAAUGUUUUAUUUUUUUCAAGUUUAUUAAAAUAAUGAGGAACAAAUCUUACAAAUUAAAAAGUUGAAUGAGAAUGAAAGUGAAAAAAAAUAUAAUUUCAUAAAUUAUCUCAAAUAAAAUAAAUAAUAAUCAAAAUAAUAGAGAUCAAAUCUAAAAAAUAAAAAAAUUGAAAGAUCAAGAAAUUAAAAUAAUAAUAAUUAACAUUUCAUGAAUUAUUUCAAAUAAAAUAAGUAACAAUCAAAAGAAUGGGAACCAAAUUUGAUAGAUAAAAAAUUUCAAUUAAAAAAUAAUAAGGGAAAAACAAAAUAAAAAUGAGGAUCAAAGUUAAUAUAAAAAUUAAAUUUUAAGGGAUGAAAUUGAAAAACAUAUUCAAAACAAAAUAUAUAUAGCAAUCAAAAGUUUAAGGAUCAAAUUUGAUAUAAUCAGUAAAUGAUAUAAUAUUUCUAAAUUUUUUACAACUUCUGGAAAUUGUUUUCCGCCCAAAAUAAAAGAAAAACACUUUCUUGGAAACCAAGCCAAAUUUUCUUUUGACUGAAAAAUAUUUUCCGUUGACUAAUUUUUCUAAUGACAAAUAAACACAGAAAAAUUUAAAAAAUAAUUUCCUUAAAUUUACUUUUCAAAAAACAAACACGCCUAUAAUUUUUGUUUUCUUUCGUGAAUAGAUUCAUGGUGCCUUAUACUCAUGAAUUUUGGAGAGUGACAAUAUAGUCCCGUGGCACCGGCAAAGCUAAGUGAAUUAGCAUUAAGUGGAUGUUGUAUUGUAGUGUAUAAUAUUUUUAGAAAAAUAAUUUUUUAAAAAUAAUAUUAAUUUUUUAUAAAUAGUUUUAUAUCAAUACAUUUAAAUCAUUAAAAAACACUAAAAAUAUUUUUUCAAGUAACAAAAUAUUUUUGAAACCCACCAAAAAAAGAAACUAUUAUAUUUCUAAACACUCACUUAUAAAUCUAUGUGAUUUUUUUAAAUUACCAUCAAGCAUAAAUAAUUUGUUAAGUUUUUGUAAUAAAAUAAUUUUUCAUAGAUUCAAUUUCAAUGAUAAAAAUGCAUUUAAAGGGAUAGUUACUCUCAAAAUAUUAGAUUUUUUUUUUAAUCUAUUCUAUCUCACAUAUUUCUAUUGGACAACUUUUAUCUUUCCAUCGUAUAUCUAGUUCAAUUAUAUCUCAUCUCUCACAAAAUACAAUAUUAUACGGCCCUUCCAUGGAAGAAGCAGGUCAAGCAAAACAAGCUAGUCAAUGGCUUCUGUUUAAUAUUGCUCACAAAAAAUAAAAAUAAAAACUUUAAAUUUUUUUUUUUCCAUGCCGUGACAACAUGAUGGAUGUGAGAUCAUGGAUGAUGAUCGUUCUCUACGCACCUGUCCCUGUCACUGUACUUGUCCCCUUCUUUUCCCCCUUAUAAAUAGGUAAAAAUUGUAACAUUCAUGAUAAUUAUAAAAACAAUAUCGAUAUCUAUCAAGACUUCUUUUACAAUAAGAUUCCAAAAGAUUUAAUGAACACCACAUGAUAAUAUCGUUAAAACAGUUAUUAUUAAUAAUUGUUCAUAUAAACAAUGAAAUAAUUUAAUAUAUAUUUUUAUUUACUUGAUUAACAAUUUUAUAUUAUAACUCAAUAGUUAAUGCAUAUGAAUCACAUAAAGUUAUCGUGGAUGACAAACAAUAUGUUGUUUGCGGGUAAAAUAAAAGUGCCCAGCUGAUUAGACCUCUCUCAGGUAUACGUGCAUGCCUAUAAUUUUUUUAUUAAUUAUUUGGGUUUUUUUUUUAAAUAUUUUUUUAUUUAAUAUGAUAUUUUUAUUUAAUUUUAUUAUUCACUUGAUAGUAAAUUAAUUUUUUUUAUCAUAUAAUAAAAUUUUUUUUAUAUCUUUUUUUCCAACUUUAUUCUUUAAUAAGAUAUUUUUUAAAAAACAUAUUUGAGUUUUUUUUACUUUUUUUAUGUGAUUUUUAUUUUCAAUUUUAUUAUUCAAUAUGAUGUUUUUAUUUAAUUUUAUUAUUUAAUAUUGUGUUAAUUAAUUUUUGGAUCUACCUAGUAAAAAAAAUUAUUUCAAGACAACUCUCACACAAUUUAAUUUAAAACCCUUUUAAAAUAAUUGGUUAUGGAAUAGUUGAUUACAUACAACAUCUUAGCACAUAAAAUACUACAAACUGUACUUGUAAUUUUAAAACUCGACUACAAGAUACUGGUGUAAGGUUUGGGUAAUAUAAUGAUUUUGAUAGAGUUAAUCUGGGUUGGUUUUUUUUAAAAUUAAAACGAUGUUGUUUUAAUAAAUUUUUUAAGAGUCAACGAAUUAAAACCCAGUUUAGUAUUGCGAUUCAAUCGUGUUUUUGAAAUUUCUUUAACUUUAAAUUAAUUUUUUAGUGUUUUUGGAUCGUUUUAAUGUGCUGAUAUCAAAAUAAUUUUUUUUUUUUAAAUAAUAAAAAAUAUAUUAUUUUGAUAUAUUUUAAAUAAAAAACACUUAAAAAAAAUUAUAAUACACGGGAUAUAAGAAUAGAAAGCUUUAGUCCACGUUUCAUCAAUAAUCUUUAAUGUAUGUCAUCUGCAAAUUGAAGAUCAAGUAUAUUAUAUUAUGAGGAUAAUUGCUAUAUGUUGGAGACAACUUUGAUGAGUUGGAACUUUGCUAUUUUCUGUCUCUUUCUCUAUUGUUUCUCGUUUUUUUUUUUUAAAAAAAACCCUUAACCGUUUGUGGUGAAAGAAUCAUCGAUGAUGAACCUUUCCAUUUAUCUUCCUUUCACUGAUCUGGUUCAUAUGGUUUUGGAUCUAAAAAAUAAGGGAAUCCAAUUUAACGUUUGUAGAUUGAUUGAUUGGUAGUGAUAAAAAAAUAUUAUUAGUAGGUCAUAAUUUUCAUAAUUAUUGAGUUUUGAAAAUAGUAAUGUAAUAAUAAUGUACUUUGCACUUCUCAAUGAGUUGUUAUAUAUUAUGAUAAAGAAAAAGAAAAAGAAAAAGAAAAAGAAGAAAAAUUCAAGCCGGGCCUCUAAGAUCAAUUUGACCUCUAAGCCGGGGAUGAUGUGUCUGAGUUGCGACAGCAAAGCCAGUAUCAUUCAAGCUGCUGUCACCGGUACUUAAUUUAUAAUAAAUGGAAAAUUCGGCUGUUAAAUGGCGGCGAUGGCGGUUGCCGUUUUGGUGCUCACACAGGCGACUAGUUCGACAGUACGGAAACUGGAGCGAUUGACCAGCGACAUCAGCUCUUGUUUUUUCUUUCAAGGGUUGUGGGCUAACCUCAAAUCUGGUAAAAGUAAUUUUUUUUUAAUGACUAGAGGUAUCUUUACAAUAAUAUAACAUGGAGAUUAAAUUCAUCUUUUCAGUUUAUAUAAAUACAGAUUAUUAAUAACAGGGAAAUUUCACUCGGCCUUAAUUUUAAUAGCUCAGGUACGAGUCCUGUACACAUCACUUAAUUAUUAUAUCUUAAAUUGGUUCAGGUUAAAAAAAAUAUGGGAGGAAAUUAACUUAUUUUAACUUGUUUAAAAAUCUAAUUUGACUUGUAACUUGAUUAACUCGAGUACAAUUCGAUAAAAAUUAAUAAAAAUUUAUUUUUAAAAAUAUUUUUGUUUGAAAAUAUAUUAAAAUAAUAUUUUUUUUGUUUUUUUAAAUUUAUUUUUGACAUUCAAAACAAUUUGAAAACACAAAAAAAUUAUUUAAAAAAAUUCAAAAAUUUUCAAAAUAUAAAAACAAGAAAGCUCUAAGUUGAUCCUGACCCGGUCUAAAAUGUAGUUUGACUUGUAACCCGAUCAACUCGAGUAAAAUUCGAUAAAAAAUUGAUUAAAAUUUAUAUUUUAAAGUGUUUUUUGCUUGGAAAAUAUCAAAAUAAUAAUUUUUUAAAAAAAUUUAUUUUCGACAUUCAAAACAAUUUUAAAACACAAAAAAUCAAUUUAGAACUAAAAAAUAAAAUAUUUUCAAAAUAUAAAAACAGUAAGCUAUAAGUUGUUGCUUGCUUUUAAUUUCGCUGGUGCGUUUCAGCAAACUGACGUGCACUAGCUAGCCAUGUAUUUAUUAGACAUCAACAUCUAGAGAUGAAACACUGCCUGACCAAAUUGCCAGGAAGAAGAGCGUGAAAUCGUGGCUGAAGGUCGGUUGAUGGUGAGAGAAAAAGAGAGAUCACGUGUAUGACCAAAUGAAAUUGUCAAACCCACUUUUCCUUAACCCUCCUUAAUAAUAGAGUAGAUUAUUCUUUAAUCCCUGGGUUCUUAUUGAAGUUAUAAUCUAGCCCUUUAUGUUUGAAAUCUUACAAUUUAGUCCCUUUACUAUUGUUUACUUCUUUUUUCUUUUUUAUUAACAUCGAUUGGUUUUUCUCCAAGCGAUUCAAUUGCAAGAUAAUGACCAGCAAGAGAUUAAGCUACAAGGAUUCAAACUCGAGGGGUUAUUUCAAAGUCCAUGGAAGCCCACUGGAGAAUAAAAAAACAUCUCAGCUGAUGCAUUCUCCGAAGAAAGGGACAAUUAAAAAGCAUUUUAGUGUUGAUUUCAAAGGUUAGUCUGGAUAAGAUGGAUUGAAUUUCUCUAGGAAAAACAGAAGAAAGGUUCGUUUUGCAUUCUGUUUGAGACCGUGUCUUGUAAGAACAGAGGACCCAUGCAAGAGGUGACUUGCUCCUGACCCUUGUCAUCAUGUGGAGAUUCUGUGUAGUAGGACACUCAAAAGAGCAUCGUCAUGAUGUGAGCUUGCAACUGCUCCUUGGAAAUUUUCUUGUCCCAACAGCCAGCUAACGUUGAAUUCCAAGUACAGGUGGAGUAUUUCUGAGGAUCGAGAAGGACCGACUUGCCUGAAAUUAGUUCCGAGGAUGAAUUUCAAUCUUCUGUUCUUCAAGAGGUGGAGUAUUUCUCUCUUUUGUUUCUUGUUCUAUGGAAUAUCCCCUUCGGUAAAUGGUAAAUGGUAAAUGUGUACUUGAGACCUCAAUAUUCUUUUUUAAUUGACUUUCACUCAUAAUUCUAAAAAACCUACUACAGGUUAUUGGCUAAUUGUUAGAGAGUUAAGAAAAAAAAUCAGAUUAAAACAUUAUUAUAAAAACAUCAAUAGUCACAGAUUCAUGGGUUGACAUCAAUCAUAUGAUUUUUAUUAUCUCCAUGAAUAAUUAAGACGUUACUAUCUCAUAUCAAUUAAAAGAUGAGGAUCUUAAUAGCUUAUAUAAUAUAAAAGUCAUAUUUUUUUUGAAGAGGUGUUUUCCAUGAGCAUAAACAUACAUCAUCAAAUUCAUCGUAUCGGCUAGGGUCCAUCAUGAUCCAUGGUUAUGAGCAUAUAUAUAAUGAAAUACACGUGCUCAUUUUGUUGAAUAAUGCCUUCACUUGGUGUUCGGAAUGUCUAGGAUUGGCCAGAAUUGAUUUUGAACACACCAAUUUCAAUACUUAGUUUCUGAAAUUAAUUAAAAUUUUAAAACAUUCCGAGAUCCAACCUCUUUGGGUGCGAUUUUGGGAAGAUAAACAUUACAAUAAGUCCUCGAAUGUCCUAAAGGCCAACCAGUCUAAUAUUAUUGGCUCGCAUCAAUAUUUUCCACGGUAACUUUGUCCUUUUAGAACCUGAUGAUCAUCACCACAGAUUCUGACCAAACCGUACACCCAUUAUUAGACAACAAAUUAUUCACGCUAUAGAAAAAAGACAAGAGGUGGAUGGAAGAUAUACAUGAAAACACUAGGCUGAAGUUACCCUUGUUGUUUAGAUAAAUGAGUAAAAUUAUAAUAAUGUUUUAUUUUUAUAUUAGUUUAAUUAAAUUAGAGAAUAAUAAAUGAAUUCUAUCGCAUUAGAUUUGAAUCACUUAAAAUCCAACUGGGUUCAUUAUAUUUUAUUAUGAAUUAAUUUGGUUUCAAAUCAACUAUUAAUUUUCACUCUAGUAACUCUCAGGUUCAACACUUCUCCAUAUCUUCUCAAUGAAUGGAUUCUAAGUAACCACACAUCCUAGAGUUGAAGUUAAAGAAGUUUUUGAUCCUACUUUUUUUUUUUUAAAAAAAGUAUUUUCUAAAAAAUUAAAAAUUUUAUAAUUAUUUUUAAAUUAAUUUUUUUAUUAUCAAAUCGUUUGGAUAGGCUGAAAUUAAUUUGUUAUUAUAUGUUUUUAAAUAAAAAAUCUUUUCAAAAAUAACUUCUAUUCACAGUAUAAAAUAGACUCUAAAACAUACAGACGCCAAGCAUACAACUAGUUGAAUUCAGAUGCAUGAACAACGCAACAUGGAAUGCAAUAUAAAAAUGGUAAUCGGACGAGGCGAUGUCCUUUUUAUUUUUUACUUUUUUCUCUUCCGAUUCUCUUCUGGUCCCCUUCAAGAACUAAUCGCACAAUUUGAUUUUAAUUUUCUCCUUUUACUACCUCUGCCUUUUCGUGUAUAUCUGAGAUUGUGAUAAUAGUAACGUUUUAAAAUAAUUUUUAUUUAAAAAUAUAUUAAAAUAAUUUUUUUUAUUUUUAAAAAAUUAUUUUUGAUAUUAAAACAAUUUAAAAAUAUAAUUUUUUUUUAUUUUUAUAUAAAAAUAAAAAUAAUUUUUUAAAAUUUAAAAAAACACGGUUUUCAAACGCUAUUCAAAUGCCAUUCCACAUACGAAAACUCGCACGGUUCCUGUCGCUUUCCCUAGUACAAUCGCACGAUGAGCAAGUUGAGGCUACACUGUGCCAUUUGCAAGACAUAUAAAUAAAUUACCAGUACUGAGCCCAAAAUUAGAAUCCACCCUCAAAGACUCACUUCGCUUAUUGACAGAUUGAUGGCAAAGUUCUCAAAGAAACUUAGCAAGACAGAUGUCCGAAAGAGACUCGCAGUGCCAACCAGGUCUCUCAGCUCUCUUCCAUCCUUUGAUGGUGCUCAUGCUGUAUAUUUUCAAGCUGCAGAUGAAAGAGGUGAGGUUUGGACCUUCAAAUGCUCCAUUCGCAAACGAAGGCACCCAAAACCAGUUCUUUCAAAGGAUUGGCUCGCAUUUGUUGAUAGCAAGGGCCUUAAAGCUGGUGACAUGAUCGAGUUCUACAAGGAGACAAACGAAGCCGCCACAGCACAUGCUUACAAGGUUCGGGCUGAAAGACAAAUCAAGAUAUUUGGUGUUGUUUUUGGGUAUGCUCCUAUUACUGCAAUAACCCACGACUCCAGCGAUGUUUCUCCAAUAUAACUAUGAUGUAUAGUAGGAAGCCAACAUGUAGCUAGCUAGUGCUAGGCAUAAGGAACUGAAUUACCCUGUAAAUUCUAUUUUACCAUGCUGUUCAUAUUCAAUUACCUAAAUUGUUAUGGGAAUUGUACUGAUUCUCAAAACAUUAGGAUUCUAUAUUUCAUCUGUAUUUAUGUGGCAAGUAUUGAAUAACAUUAUUGUUUAUAAGAAAAGGCCGAGUAUAUGUGCGUGUACUGCCAGAAAGAGUUGGUGUAUUGUUCAGAGUUAUUAAACUGGUACAGUUAAACAAGUUGUUUUGUAUCUAUUUAAAAUUCUAUCAUUUCAAGAAUUUUUUUUAAUAAAAAUUGAAAUUAUGUUAUUUUAAAUUUUUUAAAUUUUAUUAAGUUGACCGGAUUGUUAAUUGAUUUACAUUAGAUUUGAUCAAGUAAAUUCCACCUAAUUUAAUUUGAAACUCAACUUGAACUAGAUUUUAAAUUGGUAAGUUUUUGGGUUAAUUUAUCAAGUCAGGUUUAAUAUCCAUUAUAUGCAUAGUUAGAUUAUGCUAUUAGGUUUUUUUUACCUAAAAGCAAUGAUUUUAUACAGAGACCAUUUACAUUUUUUAUACACUCACUAGGUGAUGAAGUCCAACGAUUUACUAAAAAAGGAUGUGAAAGCUGAGCCCCGGCCAUCCCAUGGGUGAAAUGACUUUUUUCAAGAAGAGUAAAGAAGGAAACAACAACAUUUUCUAAAUAAUAAUAAAAAAAAGCUACCGCUGCCCUUCCCAAUUUGGAGGACCUUCUUCUCUCAGAACAACGACUAUCAACAAUCCAAAAAAAAAACAAUUACCGCCGCAAUAGCCACGUUAAUUCGGUGGCUGAAUUUUAUGUUCUUGAUUCAGAAAUUGACUUUUUACCAUUGGAGUAAAUAAGAAUAGCCACGUCUGUUAGCGAGUAAACGAAGGUGAAGUGAGCAAUUGUUAAUUACACUUCCAAUAACCAACAGAUAAAAUUUACGACCCAUGGGAAGAAAACAAAGCACAAGUCCUUGAGGUAGUGAUCGGUAAGCUGGAUAAUGAUUUACUAAUAUGAUAAUUUUAUUAUGAAGUUGUUUGGUAUUUCUUUAGAUAAUAUAAAAACAAAUUUUUAUUCUGUUUAAAGCUAUUUAAGUACAGAAAUUUUUGUUUCAUUGAAAGAGUUAGAAUAAACUUGUUAAAUUCUCUAUAUAAAGGUUAAUCUAGCUAAUCCGGCUCAACAUAAAAAUAAAAUAAAGGUUGUUAUUAUACUUUUAAAACUCGACUAGAGGCCGACCCAGGGUAAGACUAGGUCACGGGCCGUAUAACCAUUCAUUGACUUUGGUCAACGUAAGGAUAAAAAAAGUAAUUAUCAUAGUUUUAAAACCCGACUCGGUGGACGAACCAGGGCCAGAUUCGGGUCACAGGUUAACCAUUGACCCGGGUAAACAUAAAGGUAAAAAUGAUUAUUAUUAUAGUUUUAAAACUCAAUUUAGGGGUCGAGUUGGAGUCGGGCCUGAGUUGCGGGUGGAGACCAUUGACCCGGGUUAACGUAAGGAUAAUAUUGAUUAUUAUCAAAGUUUUAAAAACUCGAGUCGAGGGUCGACGUGGGGCCAGACUCGGGUCACGGGUUGGGUUGACCAUUGACCCGUGUCAAUAUAAGGAUAAAAAUUAUUAUUAUUAUAGUUUUAAAAUCCUAUUUGGGGGUCGACCCGGGGCUAGGCUCGGGCCAUGGGUUGAGUUGACCAUUGACUUAGGUCAACAUAAGAAAAAAAUGAUUAUUAUUAAAAUUUUUAAAAUCUAACUAGAGGAUCGACCCGAGCCAGACUCGAGUUACAAGUAGGGUUGAGUAUUGACCAAAGUCAACAUAAAGAUAAAAAUGACUAUUAUUAUAGUUUGAAACUCAACUUGGGGGUCGACCUGAGACGAAGUUCGGGUCACAGGUCGGGCUGACCAUUAACUCAAGUCACUGUAAUGAUAAAACUAAUUAUUAUUAUAGUCUUAGAACUUGACUCGAGAGUUGACCCGGGGCUAGGCCGAGUCACAAGUCGGAUUAAGGAUUGACUUGGGUCGAUAAAAACAAUUAUUAUUGUAGUUUUUAAACCCUACUUAAGGGUUGACUUGAGGCCAAGUUUAGGUCAUGGGCCGAGUUGACCAUUGACCUGAGUCAACACAAUGAUAAAAGUGAUCAUUAUCAUAGUUUUAAAACCUAACUAAGGGGUCGACAUGGGACAAGGCUUGGGCCAUGGGCUGCGAUGAUCAACCCGGGUUGACCUAAAGUAAUGUAAGAAUAAAAAUUAAAAAAAAAUCAAAGUAAUCUCAUUUUGACCAAAGAAAUAUAUAAAAAGUAAAUGGGUUUUUAACCCGUGUUUUAUCUUGGGUCAUUGAGGUCGCAAGUUUUUGAAUGGGUCAAGUCAAAUCAAUCUUUUAUCUAUUUUUUUAAAUCAAAACGGCCUAGACCUUGGGUCGGCCGAGUCCUGUCUAGUGUCUAACAAACACAAAAUAAAGCAAAUUGUUUAGUCCAAUUCAUAACACACCAAACACAGGAUAAGAUAAUUAUUUGCCUAAUCUUAUAUACUCCAGUCCAAUUCAUAGUACACCAAACACAUGAUAAAAUAAUUAUUUGUCCAAUCCUAUCUAAUCCAGUCUAAUUAAUAUUACUUAGCAUACAAAACACUUCUGAAGAUAACAAUCAAACAUCAACAAGUAACAAAUAAACAAAUCAAUACAUCUUUCAUAAAUGAGAGUUUGACUUAUUGUAGUGAUUUCUUAGUUUUUAUCAAAAUAUAACAUGCUUAAAUCUUAAUAUUUGGUUAAAAUUGAAUUUGAUUAUAUCUUAGGUAAAAAAACUAAAUUAACUCUUCUUUUUAGCUAAAAAAACUACAAAUUUAAUUUACAAGAGUUUCUUAAUUAGCCCUAUAUAUCCAAGUUGAUAUAGUUGAAUUGAAAAAUUCAUCAAUCAUAUGACAACAUGGAAAAAAAAUUAUUAUAGUUAAGGGUUCUUCAGCAAGGCUCUAAUAAAAAAAAAAUUUAUCUAUUAUUUUAUUUUUAGUUUCUCUCAUAUUUUAAACUUUUCUUUGGACGAUAAUGAAUUGGAUUAGACCAGAGCCAUAUUUAGUUUCACCCCUAUUUAUCCAAAAUAUUCAAAUUUAUUAUUUAUCUUUCACUUCAACCUAAUCGACUUAUUCCAACCCAAUUAACUCAGCUCGACAAAUAAAUUUCUUUAUCUUGUAGGUAGAGUGUCAAAAUCCGGCUCGACUAUCAGGUUCACUCAAGGUAUUGACCUAAUCAAAACACACCUAAUUCAGUUGAUGCUUAACUCAAUUGACUUAGUCAAAUCUAGUCAAAGACCUGAUCAAAUCAAAAGUUUGAAUUAAAAAAGAAAACUUGUUGUUUAGAGUAGGAUUCAAACCGUAAUUUUCUUUAUCAUCUAAAAUGUUAUAUCAAUUCAUCAAGACUAACACAAGCAAUGUAUGUUAUUAAUAAUAUUGUAUAUAUUGUUGCACGUGUGCGGCAUUGCGAUAAACCUCCUCCUGGAAUAUCCAAGUGUAUAUGGUGUAGGGAAAUGGACAUGACAAGAAAUUAUUGUCCUUUAUCAGUGUAAAGAGGGAAUGAGAGUCACCAUCUUGAUCACUAGGAACCCUAACUGGUCUCAAAGAUCGGGCACAAGGACUGGUUAUAUAAAGAAAAUGUAUUAACACUCCAAGCACACCUUACCUUAGGUAAGUUGCAUUGUUUAAUUGGUUUAUUAAACUAGUUGUCUGAUUGUUGGGCUGUCUAAGGUUAAAGACAAAUCCUCCUUAGUAAGGAGAUCCUUAUUUUAUCGAGUAAAAACCUAAUUGUUCUAAUGUUAAUAAAAAAAAUCUACCUUUUUAAUAUUUGAAAUAUGUUUUACGUAUAAGUUUGUAAUCCUAAAUACUUAAAAAAACAAAAUAUUUUUUUGGUAUUUUUGAAAUAUGGGCUUAGUUCUCAUGACUUUAAUAAAUUAGUUAUUAAAACUCAUAAUGCAUGCUAAUACAUAUUUUUUUUUAAUUUUGUUUUGUAUGAAAAUACAAUAUGAAAUUUUUUAUAUUUUUUAGAGACUUAACCGUAUACAUGAAAACAAAACAUUUUUUUUCCAUAUAUAUUUCUUGUAAAUUUCGGAGAAAACCAAGUAUUUUAAUACCGGAUUUAUAUUUUUAUAGUAUAGAAAUACAAACCACUAUUAAUAAAAAAAAUAGUAGAAAAAUAUGCGAGAAAACCAUAAUUUUUUUAAAGGAUUUUGAAUUUUUUUCCGAAUUGUUUUUCUUUUUAAUAUAAAAUAUAAUAUUAUCAUAUUAUAAUAAUAAUAAGAUGGGCUUGACCCAAUUAUAUAGGUAAAGCCCAUCCUGUCUGGGCUGAGAUCGACCUAAAAGAAAUUGGGCCGAGGUCGGCCUAAAAGAGUUUGGCCAACAUCAGCCUAACAAAUCUUCUUUUCUUUCUAUGUGAUUGGGCCAGACUCGACCUAAUCAUUUUGGUCUGGGCUGGAACUGGUCCAACCUAGUAAAUUAUGGAGAGACUCCAUUGUUCAAUAGUAUAAUAGUGAAGAAGGAAGAUGAGAAAGAAGUAAAGAAAAGAAGAAGAAUAAGGAGGAGGAGGAGAAGGAGAAGGAGAAAGAGAGGGGAGGCUGACCUGGUGGUGAUGAUGGUGGUGUUGGUGGUGCCGGUUGCAGAACGAUGGUGGUUCCAAGCUGCCGCGAGGAAUAGAUGGUGGCUAUAAAUGGGAUUCCUUUUUCCUUCUUUGUGCAAAGGCACAUGCUUAUUCUUUUCUUUCUUUUUUUUCUUUCUUGUUUUUUUCUUCCCUAUCUCUCCUGUUUUUUCUUCUGGUUUUUUUUGUUUAUGUUCCUCUCCUCUCCUCUCGUUUCUGUUAUGUGUUUUUUUCGUCCUCUCUAUUUUCCUUUCUUUUUCUCUCUCUUUCCUUUUGUUUUUUCUGUUUGUCUUUCGUCUUCGUUUUUUCUCCCCCCUUGUAUGGCCUUUCUCUGGCUUUUAUAAAGCCAGAUAAUACCAUUCGUUCGCCCAACAAUAUGAAGUGGACUCUUAGGAUCGUUACAGUGGUAAUGGAGACACAUCGUGGAGGUGCAAGGCUGCUUUUCUUCUUUUUAGUCUGGUCCGCUGAAAAGGAUGAACAAUGUCUUUUGAGACAACAUUGUCUCAUUCCUUAACUGAUAUAGCAAAUUUCAAUUUGCCUCCUAAAGUUCUGACUUUUUGCGAUUGGACCCUUCUUCAUGGAAAAUCUCUCUUUUUUUUUUUUUAAUUUUUUCCCUGGAUAAAUUGCAAUUGGACUCCUGAAUUUUAGCGCAAUUUACAAAAUAGUCUUGGUUUUUGAAUUAUUUAAUUAAGUCCUUAAUUGACUCUUAAACUUUUCAAAAUUACCCCUGGAAAAAUCAAUUAAGCUCCUUACAGAGUACCCUUGCCUUUUCACUGUGGUCAUUGGACUUUAAUUUCUUACAAUUUUGACCCAAAUCAACCUCAAACUUUGAUAUUUCUUCAAUUAAACCUUUAAUUGCAUUAAUUAAUUAAAUCAAAGUUUAAUUAAGUCUCCAAACUUAUUAAUUCUUUCAAUUUUUAACGAAAUUGACUCCUAAAUUUAAUUUCUUCCAAUUAAAGCCUAAAUUGACUUAAAAAUCAAAUUUUCUUGCAAUCAAACCCUUUAUAAACUCAAUUAAUCUUUCAACAAAAUCUAAUUGAGUCUUUAAAUAUCUGAUUUUGAACUUUUUUUCUUCAAAUUAAAUUUUCUGUGUCAGUAGGGUCUUCAUUAGUAAAAAAGUAUAAUGUCAAAUUUUAAUCUUUAUAUUUUUAAACUUUCUCAACCAAUCUUUAACCAUUUUUUGGGCGUCCCUGUGUCUUCUUCUCACUGCUAUAUAUUUUUUAGUGUUUUUCCAAGAAUUUUUUUGAUUGUUUUUGGCUUGGGGUUCCAAAAAUACAUAACAACACUAAUUUGUAUGGUAUAUAUAUUACCAUAGCUGAUCAGCUAGGUCAGUCGAGUAAUCCAAAGUCUUUAUGGGUCAAGUUUGGAUAGGAUCUAAUAAAUAUUUAAAAGAAUACCUAUCAGAUACCAGACCUAAUUGGAGUUCACUAGCUAGUUGAUUUGCACCUACACCCCACUUGGAACUUGUUUAUUUUUUUGUUGCAAAAGGUCUUUGAAUUAGUAUCGCCGUCUCCAAUAUUCAUCAUGUUUGUCUUGAAAAAUUUGGAACAGGGAAACUUUUGUAGAAAGCUUUGUGCAUGCAACUAGCAGUAAGGUUUUGUCUUCUUAUCAGUGCCCUAGAGGAUUUCUGUACCACAAAUCAAAAGAAAAGAACAAUACAUAAAGCUGGAAAGGUUUAGAAUGCUCCACUUUUAAAAAAAGCACAACAUAAGAAGACGAUACCAACAAGGAAACUCCAAGAUUAAAGAAAUAGAAAGAAGAAGAAGAAGAUACUAUAAAAUAUCAAUUCAUUGAGGGGAUGCCCCUCCUUAGCAUUUCUUAUUUAUUUUAUUAAUUAGUGCCGAUAUGUAUCCCAUGUGAUGGGCACAAAUGCUUUUAAUUUUCGUUCACUUGAAAGUGAUAGUUUGUUUGAAUUCAUCUAAUUAAAUUUCCUAUGUUCCUUUAGACACAUCAACUUUUACUAUUAAUUUGCAUUUAAAUUUGCCAUCCAUACCGAUUAAUUAUACAAAAUGUCUUUGAAUUAUUAUCGCCUUCUCCAAUCCAUAACACUUGUCUUGAAGAACUUAGAAUCUGGAAACUUUGGUAGAAAGCUUUGUGAGAUAAAUCACAUGCCCUAGAGGGUUUUUGUAACAUAAAUCAAAGGAAAGGGUUAGUAUGCUCCUACAUGCCCACUUCUAAAAAGGCACAAGAUAUGAAGACGAUACCAACAAGGACGAAACUCCAAGAUUAAAGAAAUGGGAAGAAAAAACAAGUUAAUGUUUACAAAAGAAAUUGCAAAUGAUCUAUGGAAGUAAACGUCAUUUUUUUGGGGCAUAAUUGAAAUCGAUUUGUGGUCUUAAGCACAGUGGAUUAUAAAAACCUUAGUGUGAAAACGAGAGAUUUUAGAGUAUUGCACAAAUAAAUAGUAAUAUUUACUCUGCAAAAGAGAGAUAGAUAAAAAAAAAGGGGCAGAGAGAUAGAUAAAUCCGACUAAGCCCAUGGGUUUAUAUCAUACGCCAGCCCAAGGAAUACAAGGCCUAGCCCACAUAGACUCGAUUGCUCGACUCUGAUGUUAAUUAAUUGGGUAGCGAUCCAAAAUCUUAGUUAGAUCGGGUUCCGAGCUGGGUCUAUCAAUUAUGCUAGGGGGCACUCACUAGAUAUCCAACUUCUUUUUUUUUUUAAAAAAAAAAAAUCUAUUUUAGCAAGAUAAAAUCUAGACUUAAAAAAAUCACAACAUAAUAUUUGAAUUAUAAAAUCAUAAAAUAGAUUCUAAAGCUUGAACUGAUCGUAAAAUCAUAAAAAUCUUCCAUAAAUCAUGAGCUAAGAAUCCAUCCAUAUAAUACAUUAAAAAUAAAAUAAAAUAACAACUCUAUAAAAUGAAAAGAAAAAGUUAAAAGAUUGGGAUCCAAUGACAUGUAAUAGGUGAACCUCUCCUCCGUCUCCACUUCCAACUUGAGUCAAUUCGAGUUGGGUUUUACCCAUCUCUGUGUCAACUAAGUCAGAUGAAAUUGAAUAUUUGAAAGAUCGGAUAAAAUUAUAAUUUCUAGUUCUGAUCACCUUAACGUUGCCUCUUCAUUGGAGAUUACUGGUUGAUUUGCACAUAUACACCCCCACCUGGGUGUUUAUUUAUUUGUUGCCGGAGUCGAUGAAUUUUACAAAAAGGUCUUUGAAUUAUUAUCACCUUCUCCGAUCCUUAACAUUUGUGUUGAAAAUUUUGGAAUCGGGAAACUUUUGUAGAGAGCUUUUUGUAACUAAGAAUUCCAUUCCAAUAUUUUUCAAUACAAAUUAAGGUUUCUAAUCAUGAAUGAACUAAUUAAAUAAUUUAAAUUGUUAUGUGAAUUUAAAGAUAUAAUUUGUAUUAUUUUCUAAAAUAUAUUUUCAAAUAAAAACUUUUUAGAUUUAAAAUUUACAUAAACUCACACUAACUUGUACUAUUAAUUAGAAGAGAAAACAACGGUGAUAAAAUUAGAAUUCGUAACUAUUUGAUGACAAGAUUCUAAUAUUAUGUUAAACAAUUAAUUCAAUUUAAUAAUUUAAAAUAUUAGGAUAUUAGGUAAUGUUUUAAAAUAUAAUUUAUAUUAUUAUAUAAUAAACACAAAUCACAAUAAAAAAACAAUACAUGGAAAGGUUAGAAUGCUCCAACAUACUCCACUUAAAAAAAAAAAAAAGAGUAGAAGAUAAGAAGGCGGUGGAAACUCCAAGAUUAAAGAAAGAGGUAGUAGAAGAGAAAGAAAAAAAGAAAAAAAAAGAUAAUGAUUACAAAAGAAAUUACAAAUGAUCUAUAUAUAAUAGUUUAGAAGCAUUUCUAAAUAGAAAAGUCAAUUCAUUGUGGAGCAUUUCUUAUGUUCUUUAGUGGCAAUACGUAUCCCAUGUGAUGGGCACGUAUGCUUUAAUUUUUGUCACCUCAAAGUGAUAGUUCGUUGGAUUUAUCUGAAUUUCCCAUGUUCCUUUAGACACAUUAACUUUUAUAUUAAUUUUAUUUUUUGCAUUUAAAAUUGUUAGUCCUAAAUUCGAACAAUGUAGUUCGAAUUCAUUUGUGGUCUCAAGCAGGAUGAUAAAAACCUGAGUUUGAAAAGAGAGAUUUCAGAUAUAAAUAGCAAUAUAUAUUUUAUAAGAGACAUAAUUAUGAAAAAUAGAGAGAAUUAAAAAAAAUAUAUAUUUUUAAGUUAGACAAAACUAUUCUUAUCACUUUAAGUUAAUUGCCUUUACCACCCUUUGUUUUGGACGUUGUUACGUUUUGCACCUUAUAUUUCUUUCAUAAUUUACAAUGUUUAUUUUUUUAAAAUUAAAAAAUAUCCAUAUUUAAAAGAAGCUAAAAAAUAAUGCACUCUUAUUUUAUCAAUUAUACUCAUUUUUAUAUAAGAAGAAAAAAAACUAUAUUUUUUCGAAGCUCAUACAAUCAAGUCUAUUUUUUUUUUUGUUUUUAAGAAAAGCUUAUGUUUUUUGAAAAUCCAUGCACAUUGUUCAUCAAUAUGUUUUUUUUUAGUAAAUCAUAUAAUAAAGAAAAUAAAGGAUAUGUUUAAUAUCAAAUAUAUUUUUUAAAGAUUAACAUAGAGGGUAAUGGGAUAAUUAACUUUAUCAUUUUUUAUAGAUUCGAAUAUAUUUUUUUUCUAUUUUUUUAAAUUGAGUUUAUAAAAAAAGUAUUGAUAAUUAAUCAUGAAGCACUUGUGAAAUUCUAUAUAUAAAAACCACUAAGCAUAUAUCUUUUAAAAUAUUAGAAUCACAUGACAAGCACAUAGGAGAAUAAAAGCUCACCCACCCUUGCGAUCCCAUAAAAUAUAUUCGUAUCUUUGACCAAAAAAACAAAAGAAAAGGAUUCGUAUCUCAAUAAAUUUUUUUUUUUAAUUUUACUAACAUUAAUGAACUAACUCAUAUUCAUAGCAAUGAACAAGGGUGCGCAAUUGAUUAAGGACUCAAUAAAUUUAACUUGUAUGAUCACUUGAAAAUUAAGAAGGCAAUUUUAUUGAAAGUUAAUCUCCACAACAAGAAAUUAUAACAUAAACCGGUGCUAGUUACGGAUGCUAUUAGAUUAAUUGCACCUAAUUAACCCUCAGUUUUACAAUAUAAGAAACUAUGCAUGCUUUACUUGAUGAUCCAGUUGAAUUUUAACUUGCACAUCCAGCAUUUUUUGUCUUUUCUUCCUUCUUGUUUAAUUUUCUCUGAAGGGGCUUUGUCAUUUUUUUACAAGUGUGUGGUGUGUGUGUAUAUAUAGAAUGUGAAUCAAAAUAAUUUACCUGAAACUAUAGUAAAUUUUAGCUACCAAAACGAAGUAAAUAGAAUUAUAUAUAUUACCUUCGUUUUGGUGGCUAAAAUUUACUAUAUCAUGUCAGGUAAAUUAUUUUCAACUAAUUAUUCUUCAUUAUUAUUCUACAUAUUACUUUCAUGUUCCAGGAGGUAAUUUCAUGUGGCUAAAAUAUAUAAAUAAAUUACCAACGUAGACAUAUGUAAAUGAAAUAACAAUAAGGUUAAAAGGACUCGAAUUGUUAUUUUGACAUAGGCGUGGUAAGCGGUUCUCCCCUCUCUUACCCCAUCCUUUAAUUGUUCUUCCAGCUGGCAGACUCUUAGGCCUUUCAGGUUUUUGGUUCUGAGUGGGUUUCCCCUCUCUUACCCAAUCGUUUUUUGCCAGAUGGCAGGUUCUCAGGCCUUUCAGAUUUUUGGUGUCGACUGGGUUUCCCCUCUCUCAUCCAAUUUUGCCAAUUGGCAGACCUCAGGUAUUCCAGCUUAUAAUAUAUUAUUGAGGACAGAAAAAUACACUAAAUUUAAGAACCCCACGAAACGCUAGCUUGGUUAGAUUUUGGAUUUGCAUGUGCUCAAAAGAUGACAUGCACACACAACUUGGCACUUGGUGGGAUUCUUGAAAACAACACUAAUGUUAAGAAAUUUGAUAGUGAAAUCCAUUGCUCAUACAAAAAAAAAAAAAGAUGGCGGGACACACCUUCAAUUAAGAAUUGCACACGAUUUGUCCUCUCCCUUUCCAAAAUCUCAACUCAAUGUGUAUUGAAAAAUCUCAAAAAAAGAUUACGACAAGCAUAUUAAACAGUGGAAGCAAGGACCUAGUUAAGGAUAGUUUGUCGUCGCCGCACAUUUAAAUAAAGGUUCAAGUAAACACUUAGCACAAGAACAUUGGAGUGUUCUCUAAAAGCUUUCUUACAGAAAAUCAGAGUGCUUUCUAAAAGAGUUCUUAUUUUGAUCACUUUGCCUGACACAAAUGGAGACCUUCUCAAAGGUACUUAGCAAGACUGAUAUUAAGAAGAGACUGGCAGUGCCAACAAAUUAUCUCAAGUCUCUCCCAUCCCUUAAUGGUGGCUGUUCCGUGGAUUUUAAGGCAAUAGAUGCGAAGGGCAAGGUUUGGACCUUCAAAUGCUCCAUUCGCAAGAAAGGACAUCCCAAGCCAGUCAUUUCAAAAGGCUGGCUAGCGUUCGUUGGCAGCAAAAAGCUUAAAGCUGGUUACAAGAUCAGAUUUUACAAGGAGAACAACAAAGUCAGUACUGCAACACAUGUUUUCAGGGUUCAAGCUGAAAAAGAAAUCAAGAUAUUUGGUGCUGUUCUCGGCUAUGCACCCAUAUAGCUGCGUUUCCAUAUCGCAUUAGGGUUAAUAAGAGAAGUCUGCAUAUGGCUCACCAUGACAACCUCAGCUUAAAGACUUCUCAAACAGGGCUUGUUUUGGUAUUUGCAUUUAACAAAAAAAUGUUCAAACCUAUGCUGUUGUGCUUGUUUUUGUUACGUUGUCUACCUGUUACUGCUGUUUCUUUUGGUGCUUUUGACUUUUGUUAUUAUCAAAGUAAAACAGGUACGUUAUCUGGAACUUUUGUUUAGUAGUCAGUAGUCUAGAUAUGUUUUUCGUUAUGCAUGUAAAAAAAUUUCAAUUUGGCAAGUGUAUUUAAUCAUUUCUGUCGAAAUUAAACAGGGCUCCACACACACACACACACACAUAUUAAUUAUGAAUCAUUUUUCCCAUGUAAGAUAGUAUUUAAUAUUAAUUAAUAUAAUGUUAUUAAUUAGAUGAUUUUGAGAAAAAUAGAAUAAAACACAUAUCAAAUUAAAAAAAUCGUUAACACAUAAGUGAAAUUGUAAAAUUUUAACAAAUUAAUACGCGGGUGAAUUGACAGGGUUAGACCUAUGUUUUUUUACUUUAGUAAUUUUGCUUUUUUACUUCUACCUCACAAUUUUACAACAUUAAACCUCAGUGAAAUGGUCUUUUAAGUGAAAAAUAUUGCUAUAGACAUUAUUAUUUCCUUUUCGAGUUCUUUCCAGUUCUUUGAGUACAAGUUCACCUGGAGGUUUAACAAUAAAGUGGCCUUGUUAAUCUUAGGCGUGUAUGUCCUGAAAUUGUUUUCUUUAUGGAGGAUUUUUCCUUUCGAUAUCAGUACUCUUGCUGCAAACGAUCAACUCAGUUUGGCUUCCGGUGAAUAAUUUCAUCUUUAUCAUAAAGAAAACGUAAAAAAUAUGGCAGCCCAUAGCUACUAGGUGAGGACCCACAAAAUCUGGAUGUCUUCUAUCAUCUAUCCUAGCUAGCAGCAUUUUCGGCCGUCUUUGCAAACGCAUGAGCCACUUGAUUACAAUUUCUAAAACAAUGGGUUAUUAAUUCCCAAUUUAAAAAAUAAACGUGAAGAUACUUUCCAAGACGGAUAUUCACAAAAGACUCUCGGUACGUUCUAAAAGCGCAUCUCCUCUCCACUUAGCCUAGCAAAUGGUAAGCUUUCACAAAGAUAUUUAGCAAGACAGAUAUUCACGAGAGACUCUCAGUACCAUCCAAGUAUCUCAAGGUAUGCUGUGGAUAUUCAAGCUAAUGAUAAUGAAGGCAACGUUUGGACCUUCAAGUGCUCCAUUCGCAAGAAAGGGCAUCCAAAACUUCUUUCAAAGGAUUGACUUGCAUUCGUUGCUUGCAAGAGUCUCAAAGGUGGUGACAAGCUCACGUUUAACCUGGUUAAAAAGAAAUCCAGUACCGCAACACAUGUUUACAGGGUUCAGGAUGCAAAACAAAUCAAGAUGUAUAAUAUAAUAGGCUGACUUUAUUAAGUCACUAUCUCCUGUCCCAUUUAAGGCUAGCUAAUGAUAUGAAAGGUCGUUUAAUGUGCAUUGAUUGUGUUUUAUCUAGGUGACGAUGUUGCAGAAAACCUCUAGAAGUACGGUUUGUUUUUUUUAAGGCUAUGAUGGGUUGGAAGGUGUAGGAGACUAGACUUUGACAACCAAAUCUCCUAUAAAACAAGACCCUUUUACAGGUUUACACUCCUAAACAAAAAUGGAUUUUAUUAAUGGAAUUGUUCAAUUGUUGAUUUAGCAACGGAAAAUCCAUAGAUACAGAACAAUAAAUUAGAUAAAAAUAAAUAAAUAAAUUAUAUAAGGAACUUUUGCAAUGAAUUUUUCAUUGCUGAUAUGGCAACAUCAAAUCUGCAAUGAAUUAGAUGCGGAUUCCAAAAAAAAAAAAAAAAGUUUAAAAUCUCCGCUGUCAUUGUAAAACUAAAGGAUAUAAAACGUGUAUUCUAAAAAUAUGAUAAAUGCAAUAUAUAUAUAUAUAUAUAUAUAUAUAUAUAUAUAUAUAUAUAUAUAUAUAUAUAUAUAUAUAUAUAUAUAUGUUUUUUUUUACACUAUGCUUUUUAAUGUAUUUUGAGCUUAUGCAAGUUUAUUGGAAGCUAUUUUUAUGAGUUUGAUAUACCUAUGAAUUAAUUACAAAAAGAUAAAGAAUUUCUGCAUUUUAUGUUUUGAAUAUUGCUUCUUAUGACAGGUUUUUCAUUAAGUUUUAAUUUCAGAAUGUGAAUGUAGGCUAAAUCAAAGUUAAAGUACAUAGGUAUAUCAAGCUUUUCAAGAAGGUAUUAUAGGCAGAAAUCCGAUUUCGUUUGAACCUCUAAUCAGACCUGCAAAAUCGACCUGAAAUCUUUCUUAUAACAGGAUUCUAUACUUUCACACUACAGAUUCAAAUAAACAUAUCUUGAGCCUCAGACAUUAAAAUCAUGUGAUAUAAAAGCCCCAAAUCAUCUACACAUCUAGGACUACAACUUUUAUGAAGGAUGCCAAGUCAGAUAAAAUCUUUUUGAAGGCACAAAUAAAUUCAAACGCAAUUUGAAGGACAAGAUUGGUCUCCUGAUCUGAUGAGGAAACUAACAGCGCCAAACAUCCCACUACAACUAAGAGUUUGACAUAGAAACGACGGGCUUUAGUACCCAAGAAAGGUGCAGAUCAAACCUCUAACAUACUAUGAAUUAAAGAAUACUAUUGGGAUGGUCGGAUAUUAUAAGAAACUAAAUCAGAAAAAAAAGUCUAAGUUGCAGUAGAGGUGGAAUUACAACAGAGUUGUGACAGCAGCAGAGUUGUGAUAGGAGUAGAGUUGUGACAACAACAGAGUCUAUUUUUCAACACAAAUUCUAAGAGAUUUAACUAACCUUAAGAACUAGAUAAAGAAGAAAGGAGUUAAGUAGCAUAAGGACUUCCAAUUAGCCUAAGAAUUCUGAAGAAAUUUGGUAGCCAAUGGAGAGAAUAAAUAGAGCAAAACAUAGCUGAAACAGGGGCUAUGCAACAUACUUUUCUUCUCUGUUUUUGUCAAUUUUCCAGCAACUAUGAACUAAUUCCUAAUUUCAGUUCAUGAGGAAUACACACCAUCUCCAUUAGCAAGUUGUGAGAAGUAAUGUUACCAUUGUAAUUCUUUCAGAUUCAAGUAUUUAUUUUUCCUUGUUCAGAAUUAUGCUAUUGAUUGUUAUUCAAGCUUAUUGAAUUGUUUUGAGAUGGCAUGUAUACUUUCUAGUUUCUUUUAAUCCGUAAUUGUUGUUAAGGCCUAGAGUAAAAAACAAAAGAAUUAAUUUGAUUGCUGCAACUCUCAUCUUGAUUUAUUAGGGAAGAAUAAACAAAGUUAUAUUGUUAAGCUUUUGAACUUUGGCUUAGAAUAAAUGCACAAACUUUACUCCUAAGACUACUGCCAAGUGAAUGAGAAUUGCUUUCAAUGUUAAAUUCACUUGAUGGUAAGAAAUUGAUUAGAGAGCUUUGCAUAAUUAAUUUUUGCUCGUAAUCUCAUUGAUUUCCCUUAGCUUUAAGGGAUAUCAAAUUUAUUUGCUUGACGUGAAAGAAUAUUUAAUUUACUUCGAUGAUCAAUAAAUUUAUAGGAAUGGAUGUGUGAACCCUUGAACUGAGUUAACGACAUAACAAUUUAUUAAUUUUAGAAUUAUCAUUUCUUUAAUUUUUCAUUUAAAACCCCUAUUCUUUUCAUUUCAGUAUAUUGUAGGAAGAUUAAAUGAAAAUUUUUUUAGGUUCAACCUAGUUUUCACGAUCAUAUUACAAAUUUAUUUUCUUUGUGAUAGUUAAGUCAGAAUUAUAUUUUGGAGGUUUCGACGACUAAACAAUAUAUAAGAAAAAUUUACCUAAGCUAGCCUAUUUUCCCUUUUUCUCUUCUCUCUCAUUUACUCUCUCCUAAAGAUGCUCUUCAUCGCUAAACACUAAAACUUCAUGCAUACAAUUAAUAAACCAUCUGAUCUUUAAGUCAAUACCAAUGAUGGAGGAAAGAAGCCUUAGGAAAUGUUGAUUUUUUUUUUCUUUUGGAGAAGAUUGAAUGAGAGGUCACUUACAUUGGGGUUCUAGGCUAGGUUUAUAUAGCCUUGAAAUCACGUUGUUAUAUCAAUGCAAGAGUAGGAUGAUAAAUAUGCUUGCCACCUAUAGUUGUGAACUACUUAAGGAUAAAGACUUAAAGUGACAAUGAACCUCUACAAAAGCUAUCUUUGUUCUAGGUUUUAUGGGUUGUGUAUAGUUGAUGAUGAUAAUAUGAUCAAUCUUUAAGGGACAAUGAACCUCUACAAAAGCUCAAUAAGUUUGCCCUCAUUUAAUGUAAGUAUGCUUUAUCCUUGUGAUUAAUGGUGAGUGGACCAUAUUUAACCAAGAGUGGUGCAUUCAGGUGUAGUAGUUGGAUUUAGAUCUAUUAGCCUUGUUUUAAGUUCGGUUUACCUAUCGUCUCAGUGUGUCUUCUAUUUAAAGAUUUUAUUAUAUUGAGCUCUAUGGACAUCGUAAGUCUAACUUGAUGGUAGAUGUUUUGAAACCGUCGAGCAUCAAGGCUUCUAGAAGCUAAAUUCAAUGACUCCCAUUUCAGGAAAGCACUAGGUCGUAUGACAUAUUCAUAUUCAAAUGGAUACAAGCUUUUUUUAGACCUUUGAUUUCAAAUUGAUCUUUACGGCUUAUCAUUACUUGAAAUUGAUGUCUUCUAUGAACCAUAUUUAAAGCAUUAUGACAUGGGCCAUGUUGUUGGGAGUGUAUAACCAGCUUCUAGCAGGUAACUCUAAUAUUUAGUUUUGAUGCAUUAUUUGAGUGUUGGUCCUGCCUUUUAGGCUUUAUUGUAGUAUUUCAUAAGCUCUUUCACGCUCUCUACUUACAUUUAAGCUAUCAUAUUAAAAGAAACUAAAAGGUCUUCAACUUUUAUUGUAGCUUUAUUACUGUGCACAUAGACUUAUUGUCACUGUGCCCCUAUAAACAUAUAACAAUUAGCCUUGGAAGCGAGGUAUAAUAGUCUUUUUAUUCUUAUUUGCAUGGUAAAAUGAUUGAUAUGCCUUUGGAGAUAAAAAUUAAAACAAUUGUGGGCAAGGGCACCUUUGAAUUUUUUUGUUUUAGUUGCACAGUUAAAUUAUCAUAAUACCCUUGAAUUAGAAUAGCCUUUGCCUUGGGUUAAAGGGUGUUUUUGGGUUUUCAGUUUGGUUUUUGUUUUUUCUAUAAUUAUCGAGUUUGACAAGAGGCAGUUUACUAUUUUGGCAUAUAUAAAAUAUUAUUUAAUUUGAAAAAGUUGGUUGCGUGGGAACCUAACACGGAUGCGCUUGGUUGCUCUAGUGACGACAUGUAUGGCAGCUAAACUUUGGCUUCCACAAUUUUGUUUUCAUCCUUACAGCGUUACCUCCAUUCUUGGGUGGCGCGUGUAGCAAAAAUAUAUCGGGGUUUUUUUUUUUGUUGUGGCCAUUUCUUUUUUUACUUCUUUCCUAUCUCUUCCUAGGUUUCAGAGCCUUCCCCUACACAUUUUCAAAGUAACCCUUUGAUUUUUUCUUUUAGAUUUGGUUUUUUUUUUUUUUUGCUAUUUCUUUUAUUUUAAAUAACCCAUAUAAUUGAGAUUUUCUUUCGAUUUAACCAUCCUUUGGUUAUCUCACUUUUUAAAUUUGAUUCUCAUUCUUCUGAUUGUUAAUUUUUCUAAUCAUUCUCUUAGUUAAAUUAUCUUUUCAAUUGCAUCCCUUUAUUUUUUUAUAUAAUUCUCUUGAUUGAAUUAUUUUUGUCAAUUGUAUCCCUCAAUAUUUUAGUUUAUUUUAUUUUAUAUUAGAUUUGAUUCUUAUUCUUUUUAUUGCUAUUUAUUUUGUUUAUAAUCCUUUUUUAUUGGAACUUUUUUUUUUAUUUCAUUUCUUGAUAUUUUAUUGAUCGGGAUUCUGUUAACAUUUCAGGCACGAGCUUGAAAGAUUUGACUGGGUUAGCUUAGAUAUGUUUUUAAUGUUGUUUUUUACAAUUGAUUUUUUUAUUCUAUUCUUCUAUGAGAUUAUCUUGAUUUCAUAUGUCAGGUAAAGAGUUUUGCAUGUUAAUUUAACUCGACCUAGCCCAAUAUUUUUUUAAUUUGUUAUUAUUCUUGUCUAUUUUUCUUUUAUCAUAUUAUCAAAUUAAUCAAGAUUUAAGUUAACUCUUGGAUUUCUCUUACUUUUUAAAAAUGCCACCUUCACCUAAACAAUUUUUUCCAUGGUUAAAAAAAAUUGGUCCGGCCGUGGUGUUGUCUAUGCCACCAAACUAGUAUCCUUCUAUUUCUGAUGUUUUGUUACUGUUCUGGAUUUCUGGUGCAUUCAUUGUGAUAUAUAGCGUUUUGCUGCUAUAUUGUAUACAUUUACUGAUUUCACCUAAUGUAUGUAUGAUUGCUUUCAUACUACUGUUUGGUCACCUUCCUCUGCCAGUACUCAAUGGCGGGCUCACCUUGGUUUGUUAGAACUUAGAAGGACUCUGUUCAUUUUUGCAGGUUAGCGUUCUUUGAUUGCCCUAAGUGUUUGUAAGUAACUAAAUAUUAGUAGCUAGUCCGACUGGUCUCCUUUAGCCAUUUCCUUGAUGGUUUGGGAUCUCUGUCUCUCUUUCACAAACAGCAAGCAUUUUCUAGUAUGCCUAUGGAAAACUCCAAAAGCAAUGCUCUUACAAAGCUUAUUCUAAACAAUUUUGUUUCCUUCUGAAUGGUUUUAUAUUUUGCGAAACAGAUAUAUUUUGAUCAGGACACUGUCUAUUAAAAUGGUUUGUCUUUGAUCGUACUCAGCAACACUACAAAAAGACCAACAGGGAACACAUAUUUACAUUUUAGGGCAGUGCUCGUCUGCAAAAUCUAAAUUAGAAUUUCUAUCUAUGAAAUGUUUCACCAAUGGCCUGGAAGAGGUCCAGCUAAUAUGGAACAUUUAAGGAUGAAGAAAACAACAUGAGAUAUACAAAUAAACUACAGUAGCUUCUUAUCUGUUUCAAAAUUAACCAAAUUAUCACGGAUCAGCAUGAACCAUGCAAUUGGUGAUGGCAAAUUAAACAAUCACGAAGUGAGAAAGGCAAAAAAUAAAAAGGCAGAAAAGCAACGUAAAAAGCUGCAGUUAAGGCGCUAAGUCCCACUAAAAGAGCCAUGGUACUGGUAAGGGUUACAAUUUAAAAAGAUGUCAAGAUAGCUAAAAGGCAUGAGGGCAUGCAAAAGAGCAUCAUUAGACUGCAUCAGGAUUAGAUAUAGAGUGUAAUCUGCAGAGCUGAACUAAACGUUUAGUAGAAGGCCAGGUCUUCUUUAGUGGUUCAUUAGAGUGCCGAAUACACUUCUCUCGUCUCCAGCCUUUCACUGUAGGGAUGAAUACAGAGCAAACAUCAGGGGCGCGAGUCUAACAUUUUAAAUUUGGGAGGGCCAUUGUAGAGAAUUGACUUGCAAAUUUAUACAGACCUAGGGGGGAUUUGAAAUUUGUGUAAAUUUUGGGGACCCACGGCCCUCUCACUUUUUUUUUGGGUUUGAUAUAAUUGAGUUCGGUUUUAGUUAUUGGUUAAGACGUUUAAUUUGAGUUAAUUCUUUAAUUUGUUUUUAACAAAAAGGUUAAAAUAAUAUCGUUUUAUAAAAACUCAACCCACAACAUACAUAUAAAAUAAAUAUUAAAUCAUAUCUUUUAUUAUGCAUACUAAAACAUAUAUUCAAAUAAUUAAUACUUAAACUAAAAACAUGUAAAGCACUUGCUUAAUAAAGUUUUUAGAAUUUAAUCAAGCUAAAAUUCUUAUUGUUGUUAAAAAUCAAUUGUUUAUCUUUAAAGCUUCAUUAUUCAUCACUUGGUGUUAAAUAACUUUCUUCAAUUAGUCUCUCAAGAUGUCAUCAACACCACCUUGUUUAGAUGUACUCCUAAAUAAGGUCUAAUGAAAUCAAAUGAAUUAUAUUUAAUAUUUCUCUACAAAGACUGAACCUAAGAUAUACAGUAUAAUGAAAAAGAUAAAAGAAUAAGUCUAAGAAAAAACAAUAACAAAGGAAGGAAAUAACUGAAGAAAUUUCAUGACUUUAAUUUAUAGAACUUGAAAACCAAAACAUUAAUUUUUCAUUAUUCAUGAUUGUUUAUUAAUUAUGAUGAAUUUUCAUAAUUCAUAAAUGUUCAUAGUUCAAGAAUUACUCAUAAUGACAUUCAUUCUCAUCACAUUAUUAAUAUAUUGGUUAAUGUACUAAGAUAUUUUAGGGAUUAAAUUUGAUCAAACAGAGACUUAAUAGCAAAUAUUCCUAAUUAACUAAACUCAAGAAGCAAAUAUUUUUCUUUAACCAAACCCAAGCCCAAGCUCAUGAGUCAACAAGCCGACUGUCUAAUCAACAAAACUAUUUUGAAUUUAAAACUUUUGCAACCCAUAGGUUUUUUUAGAACGAUUUUUCAUUCACCUUUAAUUGGUUUUUAAAACAUGUCUAUAUUCUAUAUUAAAAAAAACUCAUGUUGGAUUACAAAAUGUAAGUGGAUCUCUCAUAUAAUUUGGCCUUAAAAGGUCCAUCACAUGUUUUAUUAACCAAUUUCAACAACAUCAUUAACAAAAUUAAAAAAAGUUCAUAAAUAAUUUUUAUGAUAGAUUUUAUGUUUAUACAAUAGCAAACAAUAAAAUGGAAGAUUAGAUGUGAUUGAGUAAGAAAAAAAAAGAAGAAGAGAAAAGAGAAAGAAGAGUCAUAAGUGUUGUUACUUCUUGAAGACCCUGUAAAUGUGAACAUGCAACAUAAAAGGACCACACAAAUGAUCCUAUUGAGAAUUUAAAAUUGGUUAGAGACAUGUAAGUGACAAUUCAGGUUGGCAAGGAAUUAAAAGUCUAUGUUCUAGAAGAAGAUGUCGUGGCAAAUAAUUGAGAGCUCAAUAUCGGUAGCCAACUCUGUUGUUAUCUUCACUCUAACUUUUCUCCUUUUGCCAUUUCGUUGAUGGUUUGGGAUCUUUGUCUCUCUUUAUGAUUGAAAUGGUUUGUCUUUGAACGUACUCAUAAAUGCCACAAAGAGACCAACAGCUAGUGUUGACAAAAUUGUUCAAAAUAAAAACAAAUAAAGAGUUGACUUAGAGGCGUGAAAACAUUAUCUUUAAAGUAUUUAUUUGUUUCACAUAGAGAACAUCUCUAGGAUACAACUAAGUCAUCUAAACCUCUAAAAGACUAAGAAAAGAAAAUACUUGUUUUUUUUUUUUAUAUAUGUUCUCUGUGUAGUAACAUAUGUACUGUUAAUGAAGUGUCAUCUUUUGAUAUUAUAAAUAUUCAUAUAAUAGUAUUAGGAAGCCUACUAGGAGAGCCUCUUCAUCAUGGCUUUCACUUAAUUCACUAUAUAAUAGAAACUCAUACUUAUAAACACAUAGAAAAUAGUGUUUCUUUCCAAUAUGGGAUAAAUAUUUUUUUCCUUCUUUAUUCAUUUACAAAUUACACCAAAAAUCCCCCACUGGUUUGUAAUAAAUAUCUUUUCACUUGAUAGAAUUAUGCUUACAAGAAUAUAUUUUGCAAUUUAAACAUUCAAUUAGUGUUAGAACUUGAAUACUACCAAAGCUAUUGGUGUUCGUAGAUUAAACUAAAAUUUUUGUUGCAGAAUCAAAGAUAAUGCACACAUAGUACUACCUAAAUUCUUGAAGAGGUUUGCAACUAUUUAGCACUAUUAUGGCAAUGUGAUAAAAUCUUAUUUUCAUGAAUAUUUGUAAGAGAAAACCCUAAUUUUUGUUAAAAGCAACUUUACUUUAUAUUCAUAUAGGUGAAAUUAUAUAUGUCUCUAUUACAUAUAACACGAACUUUAAAUUCCAUUAAAGCCCAACACUCACCCUCCUUUACAUAAUAGAACACACCAAAUACUAUCAGAAUAGGGUUCAAAAUUAAUUAUUAGUAUCCAACAAAUACUAAAUAGUAACUUGUUAUUACGCAUUAAACUUAGAGAUAAACUUGUUGCUAAUCCGAAGUUGAGUUCCUAUUACCGGUGUCGCACGUGUGCGGCGUCGCGGCGAAAACAUCCACCCUCGAAUUCUAUCUUAUGUGGCAAAUGUGGAGAGACAAGGAAUUCUUGUCUUUUAUUAGUGAAAAUUAGAAUGGGAGUCGCCACCUAGUAUUUUGGUCACUAGGAACCCUAACUGGUCUCAGAGAUCAGGUACGGGGACUGAUUGCAUAAAGGGAAGGUAUUAGCACCCCAAAUACGCUCUACCUAAGGUAAGAUGCAUUGUUUAAGGUCUUGUCGUGCUUUCUAGUUAUUGGUCCAUCUAGGGUUUAAGAAAACUCCUCUUCAGUAAGGAGAUCCUUAUCUUAUCGGGUAAAACCUAACCGGUCUAAUGCCAACAAAAAAAAAUUUAAUAUCCGGAAUACGUCUUACGUAUAAGAUCAUAACCCCAUAUAUUAAAAGAAAACAAAAUAAAUUUUUUUGAAAAUUUUAAAAUAUUGGCCUAGUUCUCGUGACUUUAAUAAACUGGUUAUUAAAGCCAAAAUGCAUGCUAAUACAUAUUUUUUGAAAUUUUCUUUGUUGUAUGAAAAUACAAUAUGAUUUUUUUAUUUUUUGAGAGACUUGGCCGUAUGCAUGAAAACAAAACAUUUUAUUUUUUUAUUUUUUUAUUUUUUAAUGUCUUGAUGAAAACCAAGUAUUUUAAUACUGGAUUUGUAUCUUUACAAUAUAAAAAUACAAACCGGUAUUGAUCAAAAUGCAGUAAAAAUUUUUGCGGAAAAUCAUAUUUUUUUAAAAAAUAAUUUUUGAAGAAUUUAAUUUUUUUGGGCUGGGCCCAGCUCGGCCCAUAUGGCUGGGCUGGACCCAGCAGGCCUAACCGGGUCACUGGCCCAAGCCAGUGACCCGGCUAGGAAAACAAAAGGCACGCUUACGCGUGCAUGCUUGUGCAAUUCAAGUAGUCACUGUUCAAGUUAAUUAUAAUUCACUUGAACAGUGAAAAUGCAAAAAAUGGAAUUGCAUGCACAGAGAUGAAGAGAACAAACCUGGUGGCGGAAACAAUGUCGACGACGAUGGUAAUGACGUACUCUCACAGUGAUGCUGGUGGUGGUGGAGAGGAAGAUGACGAUGGUUCACGGUGGUUAUGACGGUGGCGGGCGGUGUUUGCUGCAGGUUUUUUUCUUCUUCCCCGUGCAGAGACACCUUCCUCGUCUGCUUCUGUUUGGUUCUUCUCCUUUUGGUCUCCGGUGGGGGUGGAGCUGCUGGUGGCUUUCAGACGGUGCGGUGGAGGUUGCUGGCCAGUGGAAUUGCUAUAGGGGUGCUGUUUUCUUUUCUCUGUUGAUCGAUACUCCUUUCUUAGGGGCGGCGUUGUAGCAGUGGUGGAGAGGAAGACCAACAGUGGUUCUCCUUUUUCCUUCCUUCUUCCUCUCUAACUUUCUUUCCCCGUCUCUCUGUUUCUGUCGUUCUGGUUCGAAAGACUUACCACCCUCUGUUUUCUCCAUCUCCCUUGUUCUCUCUUUUCCUUUCUGUCGUUCUGGUUUUACCCCUCCUGUUUUCUCCUCAGUACUGUCUCCUCCUCCCUCCCUUUUCUCCCCUGCGUUCGGUUCUUCUUCUGGCUUUUAUAGCCAGAGGACAAGAGUGUUUUUGGUAAGCCAGCGUGCAUUACGGUGACAAGGGUUGUCAGCCGCGAUACGCUCCCUUCUUGAUUUGGAAACGCCUCCAUUAUCGCUGCCAACAUCUCCUUCCUUUAUUAUCACAGAAUACCAACUGUUGCAGACGGUGAAAUGAUGGAAACGACGCCACUUGGGUUUCUUUUGAUUCGGCCAUUGAAUGUUUUGCAGUUUUGUAAUCAAAUCCCCGACAAAAUUGUAAUUGGAUCCCUUAAUGUUAGCGCCUUUUCUAGUUUGGUCCUUGGUCUCAGAAUGUUUCAAUUAAGUCCCUAAUUGGCCAUCAAACUUCAAUAACUACGCAAUUAAACCCCUGAUUUGGCCAAAUCAACUCUUUUAAAAUUAUAAUUGGACCCUAGAACUUUAAUUUCAUCCAAUAAAAGCCUAAAUUGACUUAAAAAUCUAUUUUUCUUCCAAUCAAACCCUCCAUAAAUUCAAUUAAAUCUUAGAUAAAAUUUAAUUGAGUCCAUAAACAUCUGAUUUUAGACUUUUUUUCUCAACUUGAAUUUUUUUUGUCAACAAGGCUCUUAUAAUGUCAAAUUUCAAUUCUUGUAUUUCUGAACCUCUUCAACCAAUUCCUAGCCAUUUUAUGGGAGUUCCAACAUCCUUUUCUCACUCCUAUUUUUUUUAUUCCUUCCAAAUAUAUUUUUAUAUGUAUUUUUUUGUAUUUUUUUGUGGGGAACCUAAAAAUAGGUAACAAUAGAUGCGCCCUCUUUACAAUGCUUACGAAGCAAAACAUCAUCAAUGUCUUGCAUAGUAAGCUUGUAAAGAAAAAGAAAAAGAAAAUGAUCUCAUUAUCUUGGGCGACCUGCCCAUUUUUGAAGAAAAUUGGUCUACUUUCAUGGGUGAUCUACCCACACACACUCACUAGUCUAUUUUCACGGGCGACCUACCCACACAUUCACAUUGGUCUAUUUUCAGGGGCGACUAGCCCACACACUCACACGGUCUAUUUUCAUGGGCGAUCUGCCCUCAAAUCACAGUGGUCUAUUUUCACGGGCGACCUGCCCACACAUGAUCAUCCUGGUCUAUUUUUAAGGGCGACCGGCCCAUACACUCACACUGGUCUAUUUUCAUGGGCGACCUGCCCACACAUGUUCAUCGUGGUCUAUUUUCAGGGGCGACCGGCCCACACACUUACACUGGUCUAUUUUCAGGGGCGACCUGCCCACACAUGUUCAUCCUGGUCUAUUUUCAAGGGCGACCGGCCCAUACACUCAUACUAGUCUAUUUUCAGGGGCGACCUGCCCACACAUGCUCAUCCUAGUCAAUUUUCAGGGGCGACCGUCCCACACACUGGUCUAUUUUCAAGGGCGACCUGCCCACACAUGCUCAUCCUGGUCUAUUUUCAAGGGCGACCGGCCCACACCCUCCCACUGGUCUAUUUUUAGGAGUGACCUGCCCACACUUCAUUCUGGUCUAUUUUCAGGGGCGACUUGCCCACACAUGUUCAUCGUGGUCUAUUUUCAGGGGCGACCGGCCCACACACUCACACGGUAUAUUUUCAUGGGCGACCUGCCCUCACACUCACAUUGGUCUAUUUUCAUGGGCGACCUACCCACAAAUAUUCAUCCUGGUCUAUUUUCAAGGGCGACCGUCCUACACACUCACACUAGUCUAUUUUCACGGGCGACCUGCCCACAUAUACUCACUUUGGUCUAUUUUCAAAGGCGACUUGCCCUUUUGAUUGGGUUUACCUAAGAUCCCAUCUAGCAAUCUAGAACUAAAAUCUGUGUUCUUCCUGUUGGCAAUGUUAGAAUUGGCAAAAUCUGUGUCCCUCACACUCACAUUGGUCUUUUUGUUUUUUCUUUUUUUUUUAAAUUUCCUAAUGGUAGGGUUCUUCUCAUUUUUCUUUCCGUUCCAAGGUCACAACAAUGAUUCUCUUUUAUUAUCAGCUCAAUAAUUUUUUUUUCUCUCUCUCUCUUUUUCCUUUUUUUUGUUUUUUUUUUAGGAUUUUCCUGUAACAAAUAAAAAUAUGUGUGCAAUGCUUUGAGGUUAGAUGACAUGCAUGCAUCCUUACCUGAUUUGAAAUAUAGGCCCCCCCCUCUUCGAUGUUUCAUCGUCAUAAGGUGCCUUUGUUUGCUAACCAAAACCUUCUUUGCUCUUUCCAUGUACUGGCCCGUUCAUGUGCUAGUCAUCCACUCCACUGUAAAUGCAACGCCUAUCCUAGGUUGUCUUCGAUGAUUACUGGUUUCACUGUUUAUCAAGCUUGACAAUGCCCCCUAAAUGUGGUGUUGCUUAAUUCAUCAUAAAAGAGCUUAACAAAUCAUUUCAUCUUCUGGAUUUUUUCGAGAAUCGUUCUUUGAUUAGCUGUGUGCAUCCUACCAGCACUCAUCAAUAGGUUUUCUAGUGUCGUCCCCAUCUUAGAUUGCUAAUCAGCCAUCGAGUUACCUCCAGUAUAAUCUGAAUUAUCUUUCUUUGAACUCCAUUGUCCUCAGUUCACCAAUUCAUCGUUUAAUCAUUUUUUUAUUGCCCCCUAGCUGAUCUGAAUACUGCUUGUUUUUCCUUUUCAGGGUCCACUGUAUUGCCCCAGCUGUUCAACUUUUCAAGAAGUGUCGAGAAGUAUUGAUGUCACUUCUGUCAAGAUUUUGCAAACCUGAUCGGUGCUCUUUUUGUUUGACAAUCUUUCUUGUUCGGGAAUCAACUCUCAUAUUUCAAAGAUCAUGCCUAUUUCAAAGUCUAAUUGUUGAAAUUAAAUCAGAGAGAUGUCAGUAUUUUUUUUUUGAAAUUCAAGCUUCUUUGGUCAAAAACCCAACACGCGUCAUUCAAUACAUGUAGUCCUUUGAUUAUCUUGUAUUUUGAAAAUAGAAAUUGACCCGUUGAGGGAUUAAAAUGGCUUUUUUCCAUGGUUCUUUGUGCUAAUUUUAAUCUCUGAUCUUCGGUAUAUCUUUUGAUAGUAUGUGAUGAGGUGACCUUUUUGUGAAUUUCGAAAACAAGAUGCUAAAGUCAGACCUCAAGCUUAUCAAGAAAUUUUAUCAGCAUGCAUAAUAACAAGUAGCUUAAUCCAUGAAGCCACGACCCUCAUAGAAAAACUCUUCAAGCUUUGAGAGCGCCAUUUAUCGGUUCAAAUUGCUUACUUGAUCAAAAAGAGCUUUUUAAAAGUACGUAAUGUAGGCUAUGGUUUAUGGCUAUGAAAGAAAGGAAUUUUUCAGGCUCAAAAGGUGUUUGAGGGUUUCAAAAACCUAGGAUCAACAUCAAUUAUUCAUUAUUUCUCUUUAUCUUAUUGUCUUUGUAGAGAAAGCGACAUAUGACCUUAUUAACCUUAAGUAUCAGAAUUCUCUUAACAUAUGUCAUAAUGCAAAUCCAACUUUUUCUUUGAUGAAUAACCAAUCUCAAUCAUCUGAUAACAUCAAGAGGUUUAUCAUGGAUGCCAAAAGUCAUGUUUGUAGCCUAGAUUUUUUUUUUGUAUCGACUUUUAACAUUUGUUGUGAAACUUCUUUUGUCUUUCCUAAACUUAAUAGACAUUUUAUCUUUGACCUGCCUUUAAGUAUAGGCAAUUUUCUUCUUCUUUUUUGUUUUUUUUGUUUUUUUUUUCAUGGCUUUCACAUAGCCUUUCUCAUAUUUUUUUUUAACAUGCCCCCAGUCUAGGUCUUUUUUCUUUUAGCUCUCUCUUAAAUGUUGGACUUUUGUUCUAACUCUUCCCUUUCACUUUUGUCUUCUCUUAUUUGCCCCUAGUGUGGGGUGUGAUCCUCGUCGGGGUUUCUUUUGAAAAGAAUAUUCUAUCAGGCUCAAAAUGGGAUUGCAAAUGAUAUAUUUCCAGUAUUGUGAAAGGAUAAAACAAAGAUGGCCUUUUUCUCAUUUCAAGCAAGGACGGUGUGAACCGAUAAAUUUUGACCUCGUCCAAUGUAAUGAUUUGGACUUGCAAGAACCUUGAUUUGCGAGUCCAUAACUACUGAAUCCAUUACAUAUCAUUAUGCAUACUGCUAAAACUUUGCUACAUGGUGGGUGAUUCAGUUUCAUGUGUGAGCUCAAAAUUUGUUUGGUCACCCCGUAUCAUUUUAACAAGCAUCGAGUCAUUUCUAAAAUCAAAAUACUUUUAAUCUUUCUAAGUUGAUUAGCCUUAAUUGCAUGUUGGAGUUCGAUCAAAAUAUUUUGUCAAAAAUGAAAUGCUAAACAUCUCCUGACUUCAGAACAGCAAAGAGACAAAUAAAAGACUUGUUUCGUUAAAGAAUGAGAUGUGAUCCCAAAACAAAAUGCAAAAUGACAAAAUUCCAUAACAAUAUAAUUGACAAUUCAUCGCCAUUCUUGGACCAGCUUUCUUCGCAAGCAUUUUCAAUCACUUGUCAUUCUGAAGAUGUUCGGGGGACAAUAUAGCCAAUGACAUCACCUUUCACAAACUCAACUUGGCUCUUGCUCAUCCACCUCCAGAGUCAUCUCUCAUCAUUGUUCUAGAAUCCAUGACAGAACCUUUAAUCUUUCCUCUCUUUAUAGCCUUUUCAAUUCUUUCAGCAAUCCUCAGAACUUUAUGGAAAUGUUGAGCCGAGCUUCCUAUUAAAUGCGCAUAGUAAGGGGAUUGAAAGGUGUUGGCAAACAACAUCAUCAUUUCUGUAUUUAUCAGUGGAGGUUAAACAUAUGUUGCCUUAUCUCGCCAUCUUUGCACGUAUGCCCUCACAGACUCUUGGUUUUCUUUCUCUAUAGACAUUAAGAUGGUUCUGUCAGGAGCAAUUUCAAGAUUGAACUUGUACUGCUUAAGAAAAGCCUUCACCAAAUCUUUCCAUUUCUUAACUUUAGCAUUGUCCAACCUCAUAUACCAGCUUAGGGCAAAUCCCGUCAGACUAUCUUGGAAAAAAUAGAUCAACAGCUUAUCAUCAUAAAUCACCUCAACCAUUUUAUUGCAGUAAGAUCGAAAGUGAGUGUUUGGACAUUCCAAUCCAGUGUAUUUGAUGAACUCUGGUAUCCUAAAAUUCUUUGGUACUAUGAUGUUUGGUACCAAACACACUUCAGCUGCUCGCAUGGGAUCAAACCAAUCAUUACCCCCAACUACUCUUAAUCUUUUUUCCAAAGCAGACAACUUGUCAUAGUUCACAAAAUCAAUGGAUCUAUUACCAGGGGGUCCAUCUGCUGUUAAAUCCAUGGUGAUGGGAGCUUGACUUGACGGGAUAGGGGCGAUAGGCACAAAAUGUUGAUCUGCUGUUGAAUCUGCCCCCAAGUUUUGAGAUGUCCCUGGGACGUGGAUUGAUGGUGUUUUCACAUGAGGUUGUGCAAAAAUCCCCUUUUCAUUUUUAGAGCUUAGCACUUAUUCAAGCAAAUCUGUAAGUUUAGCUACUUCACCUUUGAUGCUCUCAAUUUCAUUUUGAUAAUGGGCCUCCAAUUGAGCUCUUUCUUCAUUAUCCAUCUUUCAGGUGUAGCAAAUCUUGGAUGGGGGACCUAUGUUUCAACCUGACGGUAUGUAUGAUAAAUGUAUGAGUAUGUUUCUUAUAUGAUGAGCUCGCCCUUCCAGAGUUGACACAUGGUCGUAACCCUAAGAAUUUUGAUUUUUACGCCACAACGGAAAUUUUUUAAGUAACGGCCAUUGUGUCAACCACAAGUCUUGAGUUCAAGAUGCUUCAGGAAGGGUUUACUUUAAUGCAAAACAAAAACUAAAACACACAACCUAAGAAUAGGUUAUAUUCAUUAAGUGAGACAAAAGGUUGGUUGACUAUCUAGUCUCAAAAGGGUCUCAUAUCUGCCUAGUGACGAUCUUCGUAAAGACAGUGUGGCGGCGUUGCAAGGAACAGUUAAGGCACGUAUGCCCACCAUUACCAAGCAGGCACUCAGAUAUGAGUUGGGAGUUUCACGCAUCUGAACCCUGACCAAUAGUCAUAAGGCAGAUCGCUAAUUCCCCACCUAACUUAGAAGCUUGUGUGUGCUUUCCAAAAAUUAAUGUAUGUGAUGCAUGAGACAGUUCUAUACAAUGUAUAAACAUAUAUGUACAGAAAUUAAAGCAUGUAAAAAUAAAAUAAGCUUAUUAACAGAAAACACGCAAACUAAACAAAACACAGUUAUCAGACAAAAACAAAGCUUAGUCCACAAGAUUCCCAGUGGAGUCGCCAUUAUGUCACACGUGUGCGGCGUCACGGCGAAAACAUCCACCCUCGAAUUCUAUCUUAUGUGGCAAAUGUGGAGAGACAAGGAAUUCUUGUCUUUUAUUAGUGAAAAUUGGAAUGGGAGUCGCCACCUAGUAUUUUGGUCACUAGGAACCCUCACUGGUCUUAGAGAUCAGGUACGGGGACUGAUUACGUAAAAGGAAGGUAUUAGCACCCCAAAUACACCCUACCUAAGGUAAGUUGCAUUGUUUUAUUGUCUGAUAAAAUCUAAGGUCUUGUCGUGCUUUCUAGUUGUUGGUCCAUCUAGGGUUUAAGAAAACUCAUCUUUGGUAAGGAGAUCCUUAUCUUAUCGGGUAAAACCUAACCGGUCUAAUGCCAACAAAAAAAAAUUUAAUAUCCGGAACAUGUCUUACGUAUAAGAUCAUAACCCCAUAUAUUAAAAGAAAACAAAAUAAAUUUUUUUGAAAAUUUUGAAAUAUUGGCCUAGUUCUCGUGACUUUAAUAAAUUGGUUAUUAAAGCCAAAAUGCAUGCUAAUACAUAUUUUUUGAAAUUUUCUUUGUUGUAUGAAAAUACAAUAUGAUUUUUUAGUUUUUGAGAGACUUGGCCGUAUACAUGAAAACAAAACAUUCUAUUUUUUUUAUUUUUUUAUUUUUUAAUGUCUUGAUGAAAACCGGGUAUUUUAAUACUGGAUUUGUAUCUUUCCAAUAUAAAAAUACAAAACGGUAUUGAUCAAAAUGCAGUAAAAAAAUUUGCGGAAAAUCACAUUUUUUUUAAAAUAAUUUUUGAAGAAUUUAAUUUUUUUUUGGGCUGGGCCCAGCUCGGCCCAUAUGGCUGGGCUGGACCCAGCAGGCCUAACCGGGUCACUGGCCCAAGCCAGUGACCCGGCUGGGAAAACAAAAGGCACGCUUACGCGUGCAUGCUUGUGCAAUUCAAGUAGUCACUGUUCAAGUGAAUUAUAAUUCACUUGAACAGUGAAAAUGCAAAAAAUGGAAUUGCAUGCACAGAGAUGAAGAGAACAAACCUGGUGGUGGAAACAAUGUCGACGACGAUGGUAAUGGCGUACGCUCACAGUGAUGCUGGUGGCGAUGGAGAGGAAGAUGACGAUGGUUCAUAGUGGUUAUGACGGUGGCGGGCGGUGUUUGCUGCAGUUUGUUUUCUUCUUCCCUGUGCAAAGACACCUUCCUCGUCUACUUCUGUUUGGUUCUUCUCCUUUUGGUCUGUAGUGGGGGUGGAGCUACUGGUGGCUUUCAAACGGUGCGGUGGAGGUUGUUGGCCGGUGGAAUUGCUAUGGGGGUGCUGUUUUCUUUUCUCUGUUGAUCGAUACUCCUUUCUCAGUGGCGGCGUUGUAGCAGUGGUGGAGAGGAAGACCAACGGUGGUUCUCCUUUUUCCUUCCUUCUUCCUCUGUAACUUUCUUUCCUCGUCUCUCUGUUUCUGUUGUUCUGGUUCGAAAGACUUACCACCCUAUGUUUUCUCCUUCUCCCUUGUUCUCUCUUUUCCUUUCUGUCGUUCUGGUUUUACCCCUCCUGUUUUCUCCUCAAUACUGUCUCCUCCUCCCUCCCUUUUCUCCCCUGCGUUCGGUUCUUCUUCUGGCUUUUAUAGCCAGAGGACGAGAGUGUUUUUGGUAAGACAGCGUGCAUCACGGUGGCGAGGGUUGUCAGCCGCGAUACGCUCCCUUCUUGAUUUGGAAACGCCUCCAUUAUCGCUGCCAACGUCUCCUUCCUUUAUUAUCACAGAAUACCAGUUGUUGCAAAUGGUGAAAUGGUGGAAACGGCGCCACUUGGGUUUCUUUUGAUUCGGCCAUUGAAUGUUUUGCAGUUUUGUAAUCAAAUCCCCGACAAAAUUGUAAUUGGAUCCUUUAAUGUUAACGCCUUUUCUAGUUUGGUCCUUGGUCUCGGAUUGUUUCAAUUAAAUCCCUAAUUAGCCAUCAAACUUCAAUAACUAUGCAAUUAAGCCCCUGAUUUGGCCAAAUCAACUCUUUUAAAAUUAUAAUUGGACCCUAGAACUUUAAUUUCAUCCUAUAAAAGCCUAAAUUGACUUAAAAAUCUAUUUUUCUUGCAAUCAAACCCUCCAUAAAUUCAAUUAAACCUUAGAUAAAAUUUAAUUGAGUCCAUAAACAUCUGAUUUUAGACUUUUUUUUCUCAACUUGAAUUUUCUUUGUCAACAGAGCUCUUAUAAUGUUAAAUUUCAAUUCUUGUAUUUCUGAACCUCUUCAACCAAUUCCUAGCCAUUUUAUGGGAGUUCCAGCAUCCUUUUCUCACUCCUAUUUUUUUUUUAUAUGUAUUUUUUUGUAUUUGUUUUUAAUUUUUUUGUGGGGAACCUAAAAAUGGGUAACAACAACCGGUAUCUUUAAUAACAACUUUCAACACCAUUCUACUAAUUGUUUUCCUUACCAUAUCUCUAGAUAGUCCUUUUAUAAGUGGAUCCGCUAAAUUAUUUACAGAUUUCACAUAGACAAUGAUGAUUACCCUAUUUGUAAUCAACUCUCAAAGAUAUCCAUGUUUAAUGCUUAUAUGUCUUCACUUACCAUUGUAAACGUUAUUGUAAGCUCAAGACAUAAUUGCUUCAUUAUCGUAAUAUAAAGAAAUAACUAACAUAGGUUGUGGCCACAACUUAAUAUCUAACAACAUGUUUCUUAGGCGUUUUCUUCUUAACCUUUAAUAGUCAUAUCAAUAAAUCUUGAUUUCAUGGUAGAAUGAGAUAUGCAUGUUUGUUUCUUAGAUGGCCAAUAUAUUGCUCCUUCUUCAAGUGAGAAAAUUCAUCCUGAUAUGGACCUAUUAUCACUCGAACUAAUUAUCCAACUUGCAUCACAAUAUCCUUCUAACACAGCUAGAAAAUCAUAAUAAAACAAGCCUAAAUUGAUUGUUCUUUUUAGAUAACCAAAUACUCUUGCCUUCUAAUAAUCCGUAUUUGGCUUACAUGUAUAUUUUGAUAACUUGCAUAUAACAAAGCUAUAUAUGGUCUUAUACAAUGCAUAACAUACAUAAAACUUUCAAUGAAACUAACAUAUUCUAGUUGUGCUACCUUUUUUCAAAAUAAUCAUUUAACUUCAUAUUAGAGUCAAAUAGGGUAUUAGCUUCUUUUAUAUUGAGAUGCUUAAACUUAUCAAGCAUUUUCUCGAUAUAAUAUAAUUGAUUAAGUGCAUAUCUACUACUAUGUUUCUUAACUUUGAUACCUAAAAUUGUAUUCACUUCACUAAGAUCUUUCAUUUUAAAGAUGAAAGUGAGAUAUCUUUUGAUUUCAACUAUUUCAAUCAUAAUGGUGCUAAAGAUUAACGUGUUAUCCAUGUAAAGACAAAUAAUCACACCAAAAUCUUUUGUAAAUUUGAAAUACAUACAUUUAUCGGCAUCAUUGUAAUUAAAAUCAUUCAACAAAAUUACUUUGUCAAAUUUCUCAUGCUAUUGUUUUGGAACUUAGGCCCCGUUUGUUUGCUGAAAGUAGUUUUCUUUUGAAAAGUGAAUUCGAGGAAAGUGUAUUAUUUUCUGAUAUUUGGUAGUAUAAUGGAAAAUAAGUUGGAAAACACUUUCCAGUGUUUGGUUAUAUCAUGGAAAAUGAGCUGGAAAAUAACUUAUUAAUGUUUUAUUUUUUUCAAGUUUAUUAAAAUAAUGAAGAACAAAUCUUACAAAUUAAAAAGUUGAAUGAGAAUGAAAUUGAAAAAAAAUAUAAUUUCAUAAAUUAUCUCAAAUAAAAUAAAUAAUAAUCAAAAUAAUUGAGAUUAAAUCUAACAAAUAAAAAAAAUUGAAAGAUGAAGAAAUUAAAAUAAUAAUAAUUACCAUUUCAUAAAUUAUUUCAAAUAAAAUAAGUAACAAUUAAAAGAAUGAGGACCAAAUUUGAUAGAUAAAAAAUUUCAAUUAAAAAAUGAUAAGGAAAAAGCAAAUAACAAUUAUAAAAAUGAGGACCAAAAUUAAUAUAAAAAUUAAAUUCUAAGGGAUGAAAUUGAAAAAAAAAUAUUCAAAACAAAAUAUAUAUAACAAUCAAAAGUUUGAGGACCAAAUUUGAUAUAAUCAGUAAAUAAUAUGACUUUUCUAAAAAAUUUUACAACUUCUGGAAAGUGUUUUUCGCCCAAAAUAAAAGGAAAACACUUUCCUGUAAACCAAGCCAAAUUUUUCUUUGACUGGAAAGUGUUUUCCGUUGACUAACUUUUCUAAUGACAAACAAACACAGGAAAGUUUGGAAAGUGGUUUCUAGAAAACCAUUUUCCAUGAAACAAACGCCCCCUUACUUUAAAACAUAUAAAGACUUUAUCAAUUUAUAUACCUUUUUAUCAUUUCCAUGAAGUAUAAAACUCUCAGAUUGCUUCAUAUACACUUACUCAUUUAAAUCUCCAUUUAAGAAAGUCAUCUUAACAUCCAUGUGAUGAACAUACAAUUUAUAAAUUAAUCUUAAUGCAAAUAAAACUCUAAUGUAUGUAAUUAUUGCCACUGAAGAAUAAGUGUUAAAAUAAUCAACAUCCUUCUUUUGAGUAAAACCUUUGGCCACUAAUCUUGCCUUAAAAGUUUGUAAAGAACCAUUAAUAUUGUAUUUUUUUUCUAAACAUCCAUUUGCAUCCUAUUGGCUUAGAACCUGAAUGUAAUCUACUAGGACCCAAGUAUUAUAAGACAAUAUUGAAUACGUUUUAUCAUGUACAGUUUAUUUCUAAAAGAUAACGUCUCUAGAAGAUACAGCUUCACAAAAUAUUUUUGGAUCAUCUUUCACAUUUAGGAUCAUAAAUGUCUUUUUCAAUACUAUGUUUCUAUCACUUUUCACUAAAAAUACAAUUAAAUCAAUAAAAAUAAAAUAUAUCUAUGUUUUUUUUCUAAUUUUUUGACUCUUUCUUGGUUCACAUGAACCUAUUACUUUUAGGUUUUUAUAUUUUUUUAUUAAAAAUUAAGUUAGUGGUCAUUAUUUUUAAAUCUAAUUUUUGUGUAUUUAAAUUAAAUAUAAAUUUAUUUUCAAUAAAUUCAAGAGGCACAUAUUCAACUAUCAUAUUAGUUUAUUACAAAAGCCACGGUAGGGGAUACUGAAGUCUGAAAGCCACGAGGGCUUCCUAAACAGUAUCGUCGCAUCGGGAUUGGAAAUCGAGAGAGGAACCAGAGCUGAACAAAAAGUUUAGCAGAAGGCUCAUUAGAAUGUCUAGUACACUUCUUCUCGUAGCCAGCCCUUCUCUGUAGGGACGAAUUGAAAGGGAGUGUAACAUUUCAAUUUUGGGUGGGCCCUUUUAGAGAAUUGACUUGAAAAUUUAUUCCGAACUACAGGGGGGUUUGAAAAUUCUGUAAAUCUUGGGGACCCAGCGACCUCACACACACAUGAUAGGUGAUGGGUUUUUCCCCCCUAUAAUGCAUUAGUCAUAUGUUCUUCAUAGUUUAUUAUUUUUUUGUAUAUAUAAUAAAUGAGUGUAUUAAUUAAAAGAUAAUUUUUAUUGCCCCAUGAUGGUCUUGCAUCAAGUGCUUAACAGUAGCGCAUAUAUAUAUAUAUAUAUAUAUAUAUAUAUAUAUAUAUAUAUAUAUAUAUAUAUAUAUAAUGUGCCUCAUAGCAAAUCAAUUGACAACUAAUUGUGUUUAAAUCUGAGUCACAUCAUUAAUUACAGAUUAAUCACCGGACCAAGUUCAUGGCAUGUACCGUGUAGGACCUAAUUGGGUUUCUUUUUCUUUGUCAGAUAACGAGGGAAAUAUAUGGUCAUGAUUUAUUUUGUUUUUUUUUAUUAAUUAUUUCCAGCCUAUCUUUUCAUAGGAGUCCAAAAUCUCUGUCGUAAAAUGGUAAAUUAAUCAAAGUGGAUAGAAAUUUGAAAAACUCCAUCCGUACUUGUUAAUUUGGGGCCAAUCCAUAGUCAUAGCUCCCAAGUCCAAGUUGAGCACAGAUUCCUUUUUAAGUUGAUUUUUUCUCUAAAGAAAAGUACAGAGACCGAUUCGCACAUGCACAUGCUAUAUAUAGAUGGAAAAAUUCUACAUCCCCACUAGGAAGUUAAAUGUCUACCAGAAAGACAAAAAUAACCAAUGAUUACAAGAAUUUCAAUUAAAAUGCUGUUUUUUUCCUUUUAUUAUUAGAAUUUUUUCUUAUUAUCGUAUAAUUAAUAUAUAUAUAUAUAUAUGUUCACUUGUGAUUCUCAUGAGCCGGUACAUGUUGUAUAAAAUCACAUAUAUCAUCGAUGAAAUUAAAAAAAAAUAAGAUAUAUAAAAAAAAUUACGAUAAUGUUUUAGGAUAGAUUUCAUAACGAAGGAUACAAUUAUGAAUGCAAUUAAUAAUUUGGUCACGAUGGAUAUGGAUGAUUAUAAAAUAUGAUUGGACAAGAGAAAGAAAGAAAGCACAGUUUAAAAUAAAUAAAAUAGGGAAGAGAAAGAAGAGUCGCCGGUGGAGUGGUGGACUUUCUCCAAGACCACAAAUGUGAUCUUGCAACACACGACCACCAGACAAAUGAUUCAAUGUUCAAAGUUUGAAACUGGCUGGUGACACAUGCAAGUGAUAGGAUUGGCUGGCAAGCUACGAGCUGUAGUUUUUUAUAUGGGAUAAUAAUUGUUUUUUAAAAUAUAUUUUGUUUAAAAAUAUAUUAAAAUAAUAUAUUUUUUUAUUUAUUAAAUUUAUUUUUGAUAUUGAUUUAUUAAAAUAAUUUAAAAAUAUAAAAAAAUUUAAUUUUAAAUAAAAAACAAAUUAACCAACUUGUAUUUACGCUAAAAAAGAUUCUAUGUUUCCAGAAGAAGAUGUCGUGGGCAAAUAAGCGUGCGCUAUUUCUGAUGUUUAUCCAUUUCUUUUAUAAGAAAAAAUAAAAGGAGAAAAUCAGAGACUUCGUAGUCAAGAAAAGGGUUGCAUAGUCAAUCAAAGGGUGUGGGCGGCCGUGUAACUACGCAAGUUUCAAAGCAGAUAGAAUUAUAACAUAUUAAUUUAUUUUCUAAGAGCGUGUUUGGAACUGUUGGGCCGUGUUUUUUUUUUAAAUUAAUUUAUUUAUUAUUUAUUUAUAUAUUUUUAAUUAUUUUAAUGUGAUAAUAUUAAAAAUAUUUUUUUAAAAACAAAAAAUUAUUAUUUUAAUAUUUUUUUAAAUAAAAAAUAUAUUACGCUGCAAUCACAACUAUAUUUUUAAAUAUUUUACAUGAUAAAAACAAGUUUUAAAAUAAUAAUUAAAAAGUAAAUUUCAAAACUUAUUUGUGAUGAAACAAAGAAACAAAUUUCAAGAGUUGAUAUUAUUAGCAAAUUAUAUUUACCAAGAAUAAUAACAAAGUUCAUGUUUAAUACAGGAAGAUAAUUAAGGUAACAACUAGAUAGCUAGUGGUUUUGCCAAAUAAACUACCCCAUAUAUAAGACCUAAUUAAUUGUUUUUGUAAAUUUUAUUAUUAUAUAUAUAUAUAUAUAUAUAUAUAUAUAUAUAUAAUUAAUUGUUAGUGCUAGAUGGAAGAGAGAAUCAGAUUUAAUAAUAGAGAAUUAAUUAUAUAAAAAACUAUUUUUCUAGUAAAAAAAAGGUGUUAUGUAUAUAAAAACAUAGUUGUGUGUGUGUAUUAAUUUUAUUGGUCUAUAAAUAUAUUAUUUUAAUUGAAAAAUUAAAUUUAAAAUUCAACCUGCUCAAGCUAGAUAUUUUGAGUCAAAAAGUCACGGAAGAGACCCGAUAGACAUGAAAAUGUUUUAUAAAUAUGCAUAGAAGUUGAGAUAGCGACAUGUAACCACUAGUUUCAUUGCAAGAAUAUUUGUCAAUUAAAUUAAUCCAACUCAUGAAUAACCCAAAUGAGUUAUUAUAAUUUCAAUCCAGAAUCACACAAUUAUUUAAUUACAUUUAUACAUUUACCCCAGGAAAAGAAGUGAUUAAUGAAAUCCAUUCCACAUCGUGCGAUACUUUUUUUUCUACAACAAGACCUCGCUCGAUUGCUUACUAGAUCGCCCGAUCCUAAUAUAUAUCUUCCAAGGCUCUUUUUUUUUUUUUUUUUUUCAGAAAGUCUUCGAUGGAGAUGCUGUGACGUCGUCUUGAGAUGACCGGAUUGCGACACAGAGCAUGUAUGAGAAAUGAUUUUAUCAUUUCGGAACAUUCUGGUAUAUCUAUAAAUAUGUACACAAAUUAAGAAGGUCGAAUAAACAAACAGAGAUCAUUUUUCUUUUUUAUUGUCCUUCUCGUUUGUCCUAAGAAAUGGCUAGCUGCUCCAAGAUCCUCACCAAGACAGAUACUGAGAAGAGACUGUCAGUGCCUUCCAAGUUUCUCAAGUCUCUCCCACCAUUCAAAGGCGGCCAUGCGGUGUUUUUUCAAGCUAAAGAGGAGAGAGGCAAAGUCUGGACUUUUCAGUGCUCCACUCGCAAGAAAGGGCCGUAUCAGAAGCCAGUUCUUUCCAGGGGUUGGCUUGCAUUUGCGAGGAAGAAGAAACUUGAAGUGGGUGACAAGAUCGAGUUUUACAAGGCUAGAGAUCAAGAAACUGAAAAACCCUUUUAUGGAGUUCGAGUUGAAAGAGAAAUCAAGAUACUCGGUGCUGUUAUUGGCUGUAUGAACCCUUAAUGGGUCUCUGAGGAGCAUAUAACUGUAGUGUCCCGCCCCAUGGUUGUCAGCAAUUAAACCUUUUUCUAAUUUUAUUUCCCAUGAAUCUUAGGUUGCCCAGCUUUCGUCCUGUCCAGACCCACGCUUCCCAUCUCCUUUUUGAGACACGUGCAAAUAUAGUAUUUUUUUUUAUCAAGGAAAAUUGACUGCACGUUUCAGGUUGUCUUGGCAGCAAAAUAUAUAUUUCUUUCCAGGAAAAUCGCUCAAUAUAUUAAUGUACUUCUUCCUUUCUUUCCUUUGGUAAAUGUACUUGUUAUAGUUAAAAUUGUAAUAUUUUGACAGACUAUCACAUUUUUAGAACCAACCACGUCAACCUCAAGUUCACUUUCCGGAUCAACCUCUAAUUUUAUAUAUCUAGUUAAAAUAUAGUUUAAUUUAAAAAAAUUAAAAAAAAAUUAUUUAAUUUUUUUAAAAAAAUAAUGCCAUUUCAAAUUUACUUUGAUCUCCAAAGUUAACUAACCUAUUGUAAACUGUAAAUUGGGUCAAAAACUAUACCAUAUGUAAUAACUUUACAAACUACAAUGAUGACCAUUAAAUACACGGCGUCAUAACACUUUAUAAUUGAAGUGAUCAAUGUUGGAUUGACCAAGUCUGCCUUUUUUGUUUUUUUAAUGAGUCCAAGGAGAUGAUGAAAUUAUAAUAGACUAACAAACAUAGUGAAGGAAAAUUUAUAUAUAUAUAUAUAUAUAAAAAACAUAAUUAGUGGAAUUUUUACAUUGCUUGAUGAUGAGUCCCAAAAUACAAGAUGCUUUGAAAUAAAAUUGAUGUGUUGGAUAAUUAGUUAAUCUUAUAAUUCAAGCAAUUUGAUUUGUUCUCCUAAACCAAUGUGUCUUUCAGCUUAAUAUGAAAAGCUAAGGUGGUUGGUAGUAACAAAUGAUACUUAGUAAGCCAAGGUGGCUGGUAGCCGUGGUAGUAGUAGAUGGCUUCUGGUAAGUCAAAGUGAUUGGUAGCUCGUGACUGUUUUUGCGGGGCAACGUCGGGUUGACGUGUUUUUUAUGCCUCAUGAGAGGUAUUGUAGUUGGGAAGGAAAUGAUUUUUGAUUUAAUCAUAAAAUUAUUAUUAAGGUUCAAGAGUCGCCACCUAGUAUUAUGGUUAUUAAGAACCCUAUGGUAUGCGAGAGUUUGGGUAAAACACUGAUUGUGCAAGGGAAAGACGCAUCAUCCCCAGUGCAACCUACCUGAGAUAGGAUGCAUUGCUGUUUGAUUGUUUUUCUAUGUCAUAUUUUUAUUCGUUGGUCUCGUCUAAAGUUCAAGGCAAAUCUCUCUUCGUGGAAAAAUCUCUACCUUAUUAAGUUUAAUCCUAACCAUUCUAAAAUCUGAAUUUUAGUAUCGCAUUUAUUUUGAACUUAGUAUUUUUAAUACUUGAUGAUAUACUCUGCCAUGUAAUUUUAUACCUCCAAAUAUUAAAGUCUACAUCUAAACUCUAAUAAAAAAUGACCAAAAUGAACGGUGAAAGAUUUUUGACAUUUUAGCCAAAUCCUAACGAAUAAUCAUAAACUAGUUAUGAUAUCUAUUUUUUGCAUUUUAAAAAUAUGAGAAAGAUACAAUUUUUGUUUUUUUUUAUGAAAAUAUUCUUGGAAAAAUUUUAGGAUUUGGACAUAUACAUAAAAACAAAAAAACAUUAAAGAGGAAAUUAAUUUGAAUUUUUUUUUAGAAUCGUUUAACAGAAAACCGAGUGUUUUAAUAUCGGAUCUGUAUCUUAUAGUGUAAAUAUACAGUCCGAUGUUAUGCAAAAUUGGUAAAAAUACAUGUGAAAGAAUCAUAAUCUUUUGAAAGGAUUUUUUAAUUUUUUUAUAUAUAAUAAAUUAUCAUUAUAUUAUUAUAAUUAUAUUAUUAUUAAAUAUAUUGGCCUGGGUUUGACCCAACUAUAUAGGCCAAGCCCAUCCUGGUUUGGUCGAGAUCGACCCAAAAAGGGGGUUGAGCCGAUGUCUACCAACAAAUCUUCUCUUUUUUUUGGACUAGGAAGGACUUGGCCCAACCAUCUAGGCUGGGCUGAGACAGGUCCACCCCAGCACAACUCAGUCAUUGGCCCAACCCAGUGACUGGGUUGCAUGAACAAGGCAUGAAUUAUAUUUCACGUUCCACUGUUCAAAAACAGUGGAACCUGAAGAAAAAGAGGAGGAGGAGGAGGAGGAUGAGGAUGAGAAGGAGCUGCUGGUCUGGGAGGUCAACACGAAGCUGAUGAAAGUCAUUCAUAGAGGAGCUAGCAUGACGGUUCACUGUUGUCGGUGUUGGAGAAAGAAGAAAAACUGGUGGAGGAGAAAGAAAAGUUAGCGUAGUGAUUCCUAAUGUGGAGAUGACUUGUGCUGGCGGCUUGUGGGGAAAAUGGUGGUGGACAAGCAGGAGGUGAUGGCGGUUAGUGGCUGGAACGGCGGAGAAAGGGAAAGAAAAUAAUGGCAGAAAAACUGGUAGGGAAGCUGAUUUUUCGCCAACAUUGGACCCAAAUUUCUUGAUCCUCAGUCCAUGAAAUCCAUCACUAUUUAUAGGGGUUGCAAGAGCGCAAUCUUUUUUUCAUUUAGGAAAAAAUUUCGACCCUUGAUUCAUCUGGGAAAGAUUUCAACCGUUGGCUCAAAGUAGACAUUAUGAAUUGUUAAAUUUAACAGUUGAAGGUUUCCUGAGUUGGCCUCUUUAAGCCAGCGUCAUGGCUUGUUGUGGUGUCAAUCGGCCAGAACAGACCAUACCCGAGUGUAGAGAAAUGUUAGGUGAUCAUUUUGGUGCAUAUGUUGUUAAAUUUGGUGGAGAUUAGAGGCAUUAAAUGCACUUACAAAGUAGCUCUCCCGAACUAUCAUUUCAGAGAAAAUUGAAGAAGAAGAUGAACAAUAACCAAAACAGCGCCGUUUUGAUAAAGUUCAAUGUGGUCCUUCAAUUUCUUAUUUCUCUCAAUUACAUCCAUAAUUGGCUUCAAAUUUUUAAUUUUGUGCAUUUCAGCCCCUAACAAGCUUCAAGUUCAACCCCAGAUCUUGAUGCCUUUUUCAUUUUGGUCCUUGGUCUUGGAUUUCAUUAAUUUAGCCCCUAAUUGACCAUUAAACUUUAAAUUUUUUUCAAUUUCACCCCUGAAUUCAUUCAAUUGGGUCCCUAUAGUUCGAUGUCUUUUGCUGAUUGGUCUUUGGCUGUGAAAUUUUUUAAUUUAACCCCUAAUUGACCCUAAAACUCUGAUGUUUUUGUGAUUUAGCCCUUGAUUUCAAUCAAUUGACUAGGUAAAAAUCAAAUUUGAUAUCCUAAAAUUCCAAUUUUCAUAAUUAAGCCCAAAUUGGGGUUCCACACUUAAUUUUUCACCAAUUAAACUUUUAAUAAAAUUAAUUUGACUUAUUUAAAGAAUAAUUAAGUCCUUGCACCUGAUUGAAUUCUUCAAUUAGACCCAAAUUAAUUCAUAAACAUAAUUAAACUUUAAAUUGACCUAUUAAAAAUCUAAUUAUGUCUUUAAACAUAUUUUUUAUGCAGAUUCGUCUAAUAAUCAUUUAAUUUAACCUUGAAUCUACAUUAUUUCUUCUGUCUUGGGUAUAAUGGGGUACAAGUAGACUUCAAAUUUCAUCCAAAAUUAUAGCUCAAUUUUUAUGUUUUUUUUAGAAUCCUUAUCGACCUGUUUUCUUCAUGUUGCCAGCCUUUAUUUUAUUUUUUAUUUUGGAAGAAAAAAUUGAGUUUAAGGAAUAAUCUAGAAAUGUGUUAUGACACUUGUAAAAAGGUUUUAUUUGAUGGAUAUGGAAACUUUCUGAUGGUAAAAUCAGUAACUUUAUAGAGAGAAAAGGUGUAAUGAUAUUUUAGAGAGAUAUAUUAUGAAAAUAUAUAUGCUGAAAAUGUUAAGAAUAAAGAGAUUGUGAACCUUUGGUUUAAAUGAUUCAUGAUGUAUUUAUAGCCUAUGAGUCUUGUCCUUUUGUAGAGAGAAAAUGUUGAAGUGUAAUUUUACCCUUAUGAUAUUUUGAGUUGUAUUCUACUCAAAAUAAUACGUACAUGAUUAAUGUAAAAUAUUGAGGGACUUGUAUGGAGUCUUAGAAAAAUUCUCAAGGGAGUGUUGGGCUCGACCAAGGUGCUCGAACCUAUUAGAUAUGAAAAAUAGGUCCAGACACGCUGUUUGGACGAAAAUAUGUUGGACUUAGGCGUGAUGGCUUGAGUUUAUAAGGGUGCUGAGGUGUAUACCUAGCACCCUUGAUGUUAGGAGUGACAUCAUGCCUAGUUGGGUGUGUCAUGCCUUACAUGGGUGUAUGCCUUGUAUGGGAAGUUGAGCGUGUGACCAUGCUCCCUGCCCAUAGGUGCACGCCUUGCAUGGGCUCGGGAUUUUGCCCAAGCCCAUGCCCCUGAGAGCUGAGCUCGAGCAAGGUGCCUGAGUCCAAUGUCAUUGAGUGUUUUUUUAUAGCUUUUUCCCCGCCUUUAGAGGGGUUUCUUGGGCCCAUUUUAUUUGGGUUUAUCAGAAACCCUCUAAAUCUUUGUGAUAUUGAUCUACAAAGACUUAUAAAAAAAUCUGGUUACCAUGACGAGUUCGUUAAAUUUUUUUCAUAUGAGAAGAGGGGUGAAAACCUCAAGGUUAUUAAAAAAGAACUCGUGUGUAGAGGCAUGCAUUGUAUGGAAGAAAUUUAUAAGUAUGUAUAGGAGAAUCAUGGAGGAUCUCAUACAUAGAAAAAAUUCUAUGAGAGUAAACUGAGAUAUAUAGGACUCCAUACUUAGAAAAUUUUUCUAAGAGGUUAGGGAAAACCUAUGGAGAAGAAAUCCAUACUUAAAUUUUUUUCUAAAGGGCUAGUGGAAAACCAAGGAGGGUGAGUUUAUAUUUAGAAAAAUUUCUAAAGGGCAAAGGGAAUUCCAUAAAGGUUGUUCCCUGUAAUAAUAUGAAGCCUAAAAGCCUUGUACUAAUCCAAGAUCAUGCUAGAGAGGGGGGGCUUAUGGCCUUCUAGUCGAUGGUAUGAGGCUGGGAAGCCUUAACUAAGAAGAGAUCACACUAGAGUGGGAGAUCUGUGGCCUUUUUUGCAAUGAUAUAGGGCUUAGAAACCCCUCUACUAAAGAGUGGUUGCACUAGAGUGGGAGGCAUGUGGCUUCCCUAGCAAUGACGUGAGGCUUGGAAGCCCUCGAUUGGAGAAAUGUUUCACUGAAGAGUAGGAGGUUUGAAGCCUCUAUGGUGAUGGCAUAAGGGCUUGGGAGUCCCCCCAUUAGAGAGUAUGUUAAUUGCAUUCCUUAGCAUUGUCAUAUGGCACAGAGGAGCCCCUCACUAGAGAGUGGUUAUUUUAUGAGUGUGGGUGGCCUUCCCAACGAUGUAAUGGGGCAUGAGAGCCCCUAAUAGAGAGAGAUUGUACCUAAGAGUGAGAAAUCCAAGAUCAUCCCUCAAGAUAAUAUAAAGCCUGUAAAGCCCACUAAAAAGGCAUACUAGUCCAAACUGUAUUGGAAAGGCGGGAGAUCCAGGAUCAAUCCCUGGUGAAUUGGUAAGAGGCGUUUUGGCAUCACCUGGAGAAUAUGUCAGUCUGAGACUGUACUGGAGAAUAGGGGAUCUAUGAUCAACCUCCAGCGAGUUAGUGAGAGACUCUUAGGCAUCACAUGGAGAAUGUGUCAAUCCGAGACUAGAGAUUUAUAGAUAGAAAAUGCAUAUCAAAGAUACAAUAUUUUUAUUUCAAAAAUAAACUUACAUUCCCUCGUAGGAUUAUGCAUCUUAAGGUGAUCUAAGUGCCAAGUAUGGUGUAGAUUUUACCAAACAUGUCAUGGAAUUGAUAGGUGUUCGCUUUGGCUGCCCUAAUAACCUUAAAUGGGUGAUCUUAUUUUGAUUUAAGAGGGAAGUAAAUCCUUAGAAUACACCAAGCACUCAUGAGCUGGUCCCUUUUGGUUCUUCUAUAAGCUUUCAUUUCUACUAGGAGAAUGAUUUUGCUUGGAAGAUCCAUAUUAAUUGUCCAUAUAAUAACAAAGGGGCCCAUGUUAUAGCAAAUCAGCUUCCUCUACAUAUAUAUAAUUUUUCAUGUUUUGCUUCACCUUGAGCAAGCUUUUGUCUAGUAAGGCAUGAAGUUUGCCCCAGAUAACAUGUUUCUUUACCGCUCUUAUCAAGACUUCUAAAGCUAUUAGCUCAAGAAAUUCUUCCACCUUAAGCAUUUCCUCAUUGUACCUCUUCAAAUAUAUCCAUGUAGACUUGCACUCUAGCUUAACGCAAAGAUCGUUGAACCUUUCAAUGAAGCUUGGCUCCAAAUUAUUAUACCAUGCACAGAUAGACCCCUAGAAAGUUGGGGAAGGAUUUUUCACAUUGAGUCACUACUAACUCUGAGAUACCGUGCACAUUUUGUUCAUGCUCUCUCAGGUCAGUCAAGCCAUCAUAAUUAGUGAGGCUUAUUUUUAUGGAAAUGUAAUUUUUAAGGAGUGAAGUGUUCAAUACUCAUUUGGAAAAGAAAGAACCCCUCUACUAAUGGAGGUUGUAAUCAUUAUCUUAUGUAUACUUAUAUACAUUCCUUCAUUUAAUCCUUUUUCUAUUAGGUUCUUGGGAGACCAGGGAAUUUGGCAUUAUACAAUUGUUAUAAGUAAUUGGUGUCCAUCUAAUAGUAGCUAGGGUAAGGACAUUCAGAGUACUAGCUCUGUACAUGGGUAUAAAAAUGGUUAUAGUAAUUGGUGUCCAUCUAAUAGUAGCUAGGGUGAGGACAUUCAGAGUACUAGCUCUAUACGUGGGUAUUGCAAUGACACAAGUGACCUUUUGAGGGACUCUCAAUAUUGUCAUUAUGUUUAGUCUUUUUUUAGUAGUAUAAUCAUCUACAAAUGUCUGGUGCAGUCAGUAGCUAUGGUGUUGGUGUGUUAUGUGUUAUCAAGGGUGUCAAGACUUGUCAGAGUAACAAUGUCUGAUUUUCAUCUUGGGAUGCCAACACAGUACGAGUAAGAAGGUGCACAUAAAUAGUGAGUUAUUGAAGGUCCGGUUGAGUAGAAGUGUCUGUGGUAACAUCUAGAUUUAUUUUGCUUCUUGACCCAGGUGUGUCUUGGUUGUGUGUCAUGAAAUAGCCUGGAAAUGUCAAAAACAAGUUUUAAAAACUGAUGGUUUUUUUAUCAGCUUCCCACAUAUUACGCCAAUUGAUGAGUCCCAAAAUCUAAAAUGCUUUGGAAUAAGGUUGAUGUAUUUGAUAAUUAAUUAAUCUCUUAGUUCAAGUAAUUUGAGUCUUUCUUCCUAACCAAAGUGUUUAGUAGCUUGAUAUGAAAAGUCUAGGUGGUUGAUAGUAGCAUCGUCUGCUAGUAGUAGGUAGUGCCUUGAUAAGCCAAUAUGGCAAAUAGUUGUGACAGUAGCAGGUGGUUCCUAGUAAGCCAAGGUAAUUGGUGGUCGGUACAUCUAAAAGGUUUUCUUUGAUGAACAUUGAGACUCUCUAGUGAUAAAGUCAAUAACUUCAUGUAGACUCGCCAUCUUGUUGAUAUUUUUUUAAUUGAGGUUUUAUCUUUGUUGUUUUUUUCCUUUUCGGUAGGGUUAGUCCCGACCUGAUGGCUAUGAUCACGGACUUUGAUUGUUAAUACGAAUUAACUUUUAUUUUUUAAAAUCCUUUUAUAAAAUUGAUUAAUUUUAGUUUUAUCUUUCAACAUUUGAUUUUUUUAAUUGGUUUUUGUGCUUUUCUUUUCACUUUGCUUUAUGUGGGAAAACGUUUUUUUAUAUCUAAAAACAUGUUGGAAAAGCUUGUUUGUUUAUUUUUUUAUUAAAAAAGUUAUUUGACCAUGAUAAAACGAGGGUCAAAUAUAGCAUUCUUACUAGUUUUUGCAAGCAUUCCUUCAAAUGUUUACAUGGAGGUUUCUUCGAUAAAGAUUUGGUCAACUCCAAAGACCAUUUCAUUUGGUUCCGCUGAUGGUUGUUUAAUUUGUACAUGCAAUCUACCCUGGCUUAUGCGUUUAUUUUUCUAGUAUUUUUUUGGGAGGUUGGGUUUUCUUUUAUUUUCUUUUUUUGUUUUAUGAAAAAAAUUGUUAGUUUGUCGUAUCUUUAAUUAGCUUUGUAAGAGUCUUCCUUCUAACAUGGGCUCUUAAAUGUGUGAGUUAAAUAUGAUGGUAGAACCUUACUGGUAUAUUAAUUGAGGAAUCAUUCUAGUGGUAGUGGAUCAUAAAUUAUCAUAAAUGUUAGAGCACAGUGGAGUUCAGAUUGACUUGGAAAAUAAUCUUGGGUUAUUUGAUUAUAAAUUAUUAUUGGGUUAAUUAUUUUUAUUAAAAUAAUAUUAUUUUAGUAAAAAAAUAAAAACGUUAUUGGAAUUAGCACAAGUCAGUUUGAAUUGGAUUUAAUUUAAUUAAAUCAAUUAAAUUACUAAAAAAUUAGAUAAGUUAAUAACAUUUCACCGUAUCAAAGUCAAAUUACUAAAAAAUUAGUUAAGUUAAUAACUUUUCACCAUAUCAAUGUUUUUUAUAAUUGAACUUAAAAAAUAGCUAUAAGUUUUUUAGUCAACUUACAUGAUCAGGUUUAAUAAUUAUAUUAAUCACAAUUAUAGUCAGCAGUCUAAUAGUUAUCCAUUUUAACUUAAUCUUAAUACACACACUAAUUGUUUGAUACGUACUUUGUAUGUUUGUUUUUUAACUAGUUUAAAAUCUUUUUUUUUUUUACUUUUUAGUAGGUUUUUAUUUAUUUAUUUAUAAUCCGAGGGCGUUCUAACAACAGCAUCAAUAUUAAUUACCACCAUUGAGUAAUUAUUAUUGUAUGCAAUCCUUAACCAAAAAGUUAAGCACAAGGCUAGGUCUUGUUUCCUGGUUCCAGAGGGUGUCUGCACAAUAAGAACUACAACAGCAGUUUCACUUUUAAUAGUAAAUGAAGAGAUAUUUUAUUAUGGAUUAUAAUAGUAAUUUUUUAAAAAAAAAUUUAUCUUUUUAUAUUUAUUUAAUUGUUUGUUUUUUUUUUCUUCUUCUUCUUCUUGACAACUAAACUAUACAAUUUUUUUUCCCGUCAAAUCAGAUAUUUUUGUUAUACUUAAGGCUCUUUGGUAUGACAUGAUCGCCAGACUUAAGAGCCUAUAAAAAAUUAAAAAAAUUAAUUAAAAUUUCUCUUUAGAAUACUUCAAUAAUAGUUUAAAUAUUUUUUUUUAUAAAAAAUAAAAAUAAUUUAUAAAAAAAUUAAUUAGGAUUUCUAUUUAAAAUUAAUACUUCAAAUAUAGUUUAAAUGUUUUUUUAUAAAAAAUAAAAAAAUUAUAAAAAUAAAUAAUUAGAAUUUCUAUUUAUGAUGCUUUAAGGAUAAUUUAAAUGUUUUUUUAUAAAAAAUUAAAAGAAUAUAAAAAAAUUAAUGAGAAUUUUUGUUUAAAAUACUUUAAAGAUAGUUUAAAUAUAUUUUUUUUCAAUGCUCUUAAGUCUGACAUGACCGCUAAAUUCUAAUUUUUUAAAUUUGAUAUGGUUGUCAAAUCCAAAAAAAAAAACUUAAAGCAUUCUUUAUGAUUUUAAUAUAUUUUUAACUUUUAAUAAAAAAAAAAUAUUUACCCACGCAGAACAAUAUACUAGUCAACAUUGAAAGUUUGAAACUCGGUAAUAGUAACGUAUAAGUGACAGUUCAUAUUGGCAGAGAAAAUAAAAGACUCCAUUUUCUAGAUGAAAAUGUUCUGGACAAAUAAAUUUCGGCUACUUUUCUUUUUUCAAAACAAAAAAUAAAAAGUCAAAACCAGAUAUUUCACCAAGGAGAGGGAAGGGUCGUGCCCCUAAUUAAAAUGGAGUGCUUUUAAGUUUCACACUUGUUAUUUUUAAAAGUAUUUUUAUAAAAUAUAUUUAAAUAAUAUAUUUUUUAUUUUUUAAAAUUUAUUUUUAAUAUCAAUAUUAAGAAAUCUAAAAAAAUUCUAUUAUUUUUUAAAAUCCAUACAAUUAUUUUAAUUUUAAUUAUUUUUUUAUAAUUAGAAUAUUAUACACAAACGAGGAGAGGAAAUUAUAUUGCGCACAUGCAAAUUGCGUACGUAUAUUGUAUUCAUUUUCACAAAUACAUCGCACGAUACUUUUUGUUGUUUAGCUACACAUCGCUCGAUUUCACAAAUUUCUUUUUGGGUCUUUUACAAAAGGUAGUCUAUCCCUAUAUGGGACUGUACUCAAAUUAUUACAGCAUGAGAUGAUGGAAAAAGCUGAUAGACGACGGAUGAUUAAUGUCCUUUUUGGAAACUUUUUGUCUCUCUCUCUUUCUCUACACACACACACACAUACAGACACAGACACACACGCCCAGAGAAGAAGCUGGCAUUAACAAAUAGAAAAAACUUUCCAUUAUCCUUCUUGUUUGUCCUAACUCCUAAGAAAUGGCCAUCUUCUCCAAGAUCCUCACCAAGACAGAUGCUGAGAAGAGACUGUCAGUGCCUAUCAAGUUUCUCAAGUCUCUCCCGCCAUUCAAAAGCGGCCAUGCGGUAGAUUUUCAAGCUAAAGAUGAGAGGGGAAAGGUCUGGACUUUUCAAUGCUCCACUCGCAAGAAAGGACGGUACAAGAAGCCAGUUCUUUCCAAGGGUUGGCUUGCAUUUGCAAACAAGAAGAAACUUAAAGUGGGUGACAAGAUCGUGUUUUACAAGGGUAGACAUCAAGAAACUGAAAAACCCUUUUAUGGAGUUCGAGUUGAAAGAGAAAUCAAGAUACUCGGUGCUGUUAUUGGCUAUAUGAACCCUUAAUGGGUCUCUAAGGAGUAUAUAACUGUAGCGUCCCGCCCCAUGGUUGCCAGCAAUUAAACCCUCUUCCAAUUUUAUUUUCCCAUGAAAUCUGGGCUGCCAUGCUUGCGUCCUGUUCAGACCUACCUUUUCCCAUCUCCUUUUUGAGACACAUCCAAACAUAGAUCUGAAGGCACCCCUGGACAACAUACCUGCUCAUGUUUCAGGUUGUCUCGUCCGGAAAAAGAUAAAUUUCUUUCAAGAAAAGUCGUUGUUUAAUAUAUAGUAUUAAUGUACAUUUGUUUUUUCUUUUCCGUUGCCAAAUGUACUUGUUAUUUGUUAAAAUUGCAAUAUUUUGACAAGCUACAAUGAUACGAGCAAAUGCACGUCCGGCGGCACCCAGUAUAAUUGACUCUACCUGCUUUUUUUUUUUUUUUAAUCACUAUGGACCGGAAGUUCUAAGUGUAUGUGUAUGUUGGGUACUCUGCUAGUGUCUGCAGUUACGAUUUAAAAAAAAAAUAUAGGUUUUAAAAAAAUAAUUUUAGUUGUGAUUUUAUAAAAAAGGGUUUUAAAAAUAUAUAUUUAGUUAAAAUUAUUGUGAAGAUUGAUUUUUAUAUGCAAAAUAAAUGAAAAAAUUUUAAAAAUAUAUAUUAUUUUUGUCUUUAUAUAUUAUUUUUAUUUACAAAUUGGUCUAUAUUCAGAUUAUUUUGUCCUUGUCCUUUAUAUAAUUUACAAUUGAAUCUUUAUAAUAAAAACUUUUUACAGUCAAGUUAGACUACUCUUCAUCGCGUAAUUAUUCAUUACAUGGUUUUUUAUGUGAUAUUUGUAAUGUAAUGAAUCAUUAUAUAUAAUUGUAAUAUAUAGUCCAUUACAUUAUAAUUUUGAAAAUUAUAAAAUCAAACACAAGAAAAUAAUAGAUCAUUACAUUAUAUAGUUCAUUAUAUCCAACCAAUCAUGUAGUAAAUUCUUAAUUUUUUUGUGAGAAAUCUAGCAUCCUCUUUCCCAUCAGAAUAUUGCAAUUAAUAUUAAUUAAUAAAGUGUUAAAUACAUAUUUGAUAAUGAUAAACACACAAAAGGAUAUUCAAAAAAGAUUGAGAGAUACUUAUAUUAUUAAAAUAUUAAAAAAAAACCCGUUAUAAUAAAACCAAAAACUAUUAAAAUAAUGUAGCUUGCUUGUUGAGUUGAAAAGCAUGUAAAAUAAAUUUAACCUAAAAAACAGAAGCAGCAUCUUAGUGAAACGGACAGGCCACGCGUGAAGCCUAUCCAGCGGGGGUGCCACAUGGGCUGAUGUCAUCGCUUGCAUCAGACUUGUGAUCUCACACUGUACAGUGUACUACCUUGCCGACAGCAAUAAACACAAGAGUAUCUCCGUACCAUACAAGUGGGAGCUGCCUUUUGUUCCUAAUAAAUGCACCUCAUGCUUUUUCAUUAAAAAAAAAAAAAACCAAGUAAAAUUAUCCUCAAACAAAUGGAGGCAUUUUUAAAAAUAUUAGGAAAAAAAAUUAAAAUUGAUUAAUACAUAAACUAACUAAAAUAUAUAUUAUUACACUUUCAAUAACAAUUUUUAGGCAAAUAUAAAAGAAAUUCAUAAACUUUGAUUGAAUGCCCAAACAAUUUUAGUUUGAAUGAGGUUCCUAGGGUUUAAGAAAUAUUAAUCUGAGUCCCUCUAUUCACGGGUUCCAUUCAAAUUUAAAUUUUAUUUUAAAAACAAACGUUGUUUUCGAGGGAAAUUAGUAUUUUUGUUGUUAAAUAUAAUGUAAUUAAAGAUCAAAAUAUCGUUUCUAAAUAAGCUGAUUAUUUUCUUAAUUUUUAGUUAUUCUUUAAAUCAUAAAUAGUUAUUUUGGGAUAAAUGUUGAAAAUUAUUCUAUAUGGGACACCACUAUGUAGAUUGUAGAGGAUCUCAAAUGAAAGAUCCAAGCGCGAGCCGAAAGUAAGGUAGACGAUAAAGUAUUUAGAAACACUUUUAUAAAAGAGUUGGAAGAGGUCGGGAGUCGGCGACAUUUAGCAUUAAAAAAAAAGGGUUCAAAGCAUGCAAUCAGUGUACUAGAUUGGUUUCUGCGUCCAUGGCCGGGUCAACUUUUCCUAUAUAUAUAUAUAUAUAUUCAAGGGACACUAAAGUUUUAUAUAUAUAUUCAAGGGACACUAAAGUUUUUUAAAAAUAAAAAAAGAUUUGAAUUUCAGGUUAUUUAGAGUUAAAUAAAUUUUAUUAAUUUAAUAAUAUGAUUAAAAAAAUUAACAGUAAAUAAAAUGAAUAAAAGAAUUACAAUAAUUAACUAUAAAAAAAUGAGUUAGUAAUAUCAUACUCGAUAGAAGAAAAAAAAACUCAUUAAAGACUCGUUGUUAGUUUGUCGUGAACACCACUCUACCACCAAGACAUUUCAAACGAGAAAAUUGAAUUUAACAAACUAGAGUUAGGUAUAUAACUAGAGUUGAACUUGUUAUCAUUCUAAUUUAAAAAAAAAAAAAAGCUUGAUUUUUGUUUUUUUAUAAAGUAGAUAAGCAAUUUUAGUUUUCUUAGAAAAUGAAAAUGUCUAAGCUGCCAUUGGAUGUCAGUUAAUGUUUAUUUAUUUAGAAAUAACAAUCAUUAAAAAUUCAGCAUUGAUUUACGUAUAGUCAUGUAGUUAGAAAUUGAUAUACUAUUAAGGAAAUAUAUUAUUAGCAUUUCAAGUGUUUUUAGAGUUUCUAUGAUCAAAAUAAAGUGUCAUAAGAUAUUAAGGUGUAUAGAUUAUGAGUGAUUUAAGAAGUUUACAUUAUUCUUUAAUGUUUUGAAAAUAAAAAAUAGUGAAAAAAAAAGGAUAAACUUCCUUUUCUUUACUAAGGUUUGUUGAUAUUUACAAAUUAGUAAUUUAGUAUGGAGUUAUGCUAUAGUGAUAAUAUUGUAUUAAAAUAAAAUAGUCAAUCAAGAAACUUUAUUUUAUAUUAUUUUCUUUGGCAGAUGUACAUGGUAAAUUGUAAUGCUUGCAACAUUCGAGAAACUACAGUGAUAGCAAGCAAAAGCAAGUGCGGCGCCCUCUAUAAUUAAAAUGGUUGAUUUUCUAUUUAACAAGACUCUGUUUUUUUUACUUUAUUGCUGCAUUAUAGAGUUUGAAAUUGCGAUAAUAAUUAGUUUUUUAAAUAAUUUUUAUAAAAAUAUAUUAAAAUAAUAUUUUUAAUUUUUAAUUUUAUCACAUCAAAAUAAUAAUUUAAAAUCAUUAAUCAUCAAAUAUGCCAUGAGGCUUUCGGGGGCGGCCAUUUAUGGGGUGAUGUUGAAGCCUAGGUGCCUCCCGGGUAGUAAAAUAUUAGACUCUACUUUCCUGGAAGCAAAUCCAAUAAGUUUUGCAAAAUUAAUUGAAACAGAAAUUUGAAUCGAGAAAACUAAAUUUAAUGAACUAGAGCUGGGUAUUUAGCUAGAGUUAGGGUUCAUAUCCAUCCAAAUAAAUAUACCAAUAACGUACUUAUAGUGCUAAUUAUGGACAUUCUUUUCUAAGCACUUGCUAAAUUUCCCCAUUAGUUGGAAUCAAGAAUAUUAAGUUCUUUGAAAGGUAGAGGAGACGGGUUUCAUAUGCUUUUGGAAAAACAAGAUAAUUAAAUAAAGAGAAAACACAGGAAUACUUGGGACAGCACUUGAGCAGGGGAUCUCAGACGAGAGAUCCAAGCGCAGGCCGAAGGUAAGGUAGACGAUGAUAGUUGGCUGGCUCAUCCCAAAGGAAUGCAAAAGAAUGGCUUUAUGGAGAUAAUAAUUUCUGUGAUUUAAUUUCUUAACAAAUUCCUUGAGAUUAGCAAGAGAAAAAUAACGCUUUCUGAAGUAAUCACCACAAGAAUAACCUCUGAUCAUGGAUUUAUGGUGCUGUUAAUCUACUUCACAACGAUCAAAUGACAUGGCUAACAUUUUUGACACACAAGAAUAAACCUACCGUGAUCUUGUUUCUAAAAUGAAGAAUAUGGAAAACCAAUUUUUGAUAGUUUUAAAAAACGAGUAAUUAUAUAUGAACAUGUUUUCUAUGAAUUUUCUGUUUCUCCAGGAAAUGGUCGAUGAUUCCCCAGGAGCAUUCACCACCAUGUUUUAAAACUAACCCCUGGUUUCUUAUGCCUUGCCUGGCUUUUUCCAUUUUUUUCUCAAUAUAUAUAUCUGUGUGUGUGUGGAGCGUAAGCCCAAAGAUUAAAGAAAAGAAAAAAGGCCGGGAUCUUAAUCCAAAUAAAAGAAGCUCAAAUCAGACUAAGCCCAAAAGUUGAUGUGAGACCCCAAGCUAAAAGCCACGGGACCUUCCCACAGGCUGAAACUAUAGUCAGAGUAUUGUAAUAAUAUUAUAGAAGAGGGUUUUUUUUUACUGUUAAUAUACUACUCAUCGUUUCACAUUUCACUAUACACAUUAUAUUUCAUAGCUUUCCUUUCUUAGUCCCUAAAACUUUGGCCUUCUUGCAUUUUGGUCACUGAACUUUAUUUAUUUUCAAUCACUUCCUUGCAAGUUAUAUUGACAUGAUUUUGUUUAUUGUUAUCUGCUUUGAUUUGCAUAUUCUCGCGUGUCCAAUGUUUCCAAUACAUCGAUAAGUAUUCUGACAUUGAAUUAGACACUAAUUUUACAAAAAAAAAAAAAAACCUUAUAUUCUUAAAACUAAAAUUGAAAGAUCAAAUAUUAAAAUUCAAAAUUAGAUGUUUAAGGACUUAAUUGGAAUUUUUCAAGGUUUAAUUGAAUUUAUUGAGAGCUUAAUUGCAAAAAAAAAAUUGAUUUUUGAAGUUAAUUUAAGCUUUAAUUAGAAAGAAUUAAAGUCUAGGAGUCAAAUUGAAAUUUUUAAGAGUUAAUUUGGUCAAAUUAUGGGUUUAAUUGCAUAAAUAUUGAAGUUUGAUAGACAAUUAGGGACUUGAUUAAAGAAAUUCAAAUUCAAUUACCAAAAUAAAAAAGGUGUGUUAAUGCAAGGGUUGAAAUUGACUAAAUCAAAGCCAAAUUAAAAAAAUUAAAAAUUUAUUGGUCAAUUAAAGGUUGAAAUGUACAAAUUUAGAACAAAAAGACUAAAAUGAAAAUAACAAUUAAAUUUGGGGCUAACAAUUGAGUUUGGUAAGGAUGAAAUUGCAUGAAAUUAAAAGUCUAGAGGCAAUUACAUAUACAAUUAAAAGAAAUUGGAAGAACAUGGACUCAAUUGAAUUUUUUCAAAUCCCAAAUUAAAAAUCCAAAAUGACGUGUCAUUUAAACUUAAUGAAAAUAAGGUGAAUGACACGACGUUUGUCAGCUUGCACUUCUAUUUGAACAGUUUUGGCUAAUCGAGUUGAUAACUUUAAACAAAUAAAUAUGGAGUUACAGACCUUCAAAUUGAAUAAGGUUGGAUCCAAAUGAAAGAUGUGCACCAUCUCUAUAAACUUCAAGUGAUCUUAGGCGAUGAUGUCGUCAAAAUUGCUCUAACAAGACCUCGAAAGUAGGCAACCUAGUCAGCCCCAACAAUGCAACCAUCAUGCAAAAAAUAAUUUGGUUUUCGUAUGUUCACAUAGAAAGGCUUCUCAAUUGGUUGUAUCAAGGGUUUACAACACUUUUCUCAAGACCAAGAGGUCAAAAAUAGAUUUAAUACCUUUUAAAACCCUGUAAAUAUCCCCCUUAAGAUUAAAAAAAAAAUGAAAAGAAAAGAUAAGGAAAUGAAGAGAAAUAUCAAUAAGAAACAUGAGUGUAGAGGUUCAGAAGCCUAAACAAAAGUUUUCUUAAGUUUUGUAAGUUUGCGAAAGGCAAACUUUUCCAAAAAAAACCAAGAGAGAGUUGUUGUUCCAUUGCAAACCCAAAAAUAGAUCCUUUAUGACAUACUUUUGUUGUUUUUAUUUAUUUAUUUAUUUUUGUUUACAAUUAUUUUAACAAGCAUAGAAAAGAGGUUUGGAAUGUUUAACAAAUAAUGUUGCAUUCACUUCUUUGUUGUUGUGUUGUUUUAUUUAAUUAUGUUCUUUUGAAGUCUUUUUAUGUUUUUGAUAUAUUAAAGUUCUUAUUUAAGUUUUUUAUAUAUAUAUAAUGUUGUUUUAGUUUUUAUUUAGCUUAAACUAUGCAUGUUAAAGAUAAGGUGUUUAUGUUGGGUUUGCUAAGCCUAUUUAUGCACAAAAUGAGUUCAGAAAAGCAAUUUUGAAUCCAUAUUACAUAAACAUGAAUGAUGUUUUAGGGUGGUAGUUUUUGGAUUUGGUACCUCAUGCUUAAUUUUGAUAUUUUUUGUUAGUUUAUUUUUUUAUUUAAACAUGUUUGUAUAUGGUAUUGUGACUUGUUAGGAUAAAAUAAAAACAUGUUUUAAAAGAAAAAAAAUGCUCAUUUCUGGGCUUAGUGGUGGCUGGGCAUGACUGGGUCUUUUCUCUAGGUUUAUAGGCAAUGUUUUUCGUGUUCUUAGAAAGAAAAUUGCAUUAACCCUUUGAUUUGUACCAAUCUUGGUCCAUUUCUUUAUACAAAACCUUUCCUUAUGUAUGAUUAACCAAUAAUCUAGUAUUUAUUUGCAUCAAUAACAUGAUUUUAAUGGUUUUUAAUCCUAGAGUUUUGAUUUAGAACCGAAACUCAUUUUGACAAAAUCGUGAUGUUUAAGAGAUAAUCGAAGUAAAUAGAUGCUAAAUUAUUGAUUCUUGCAUGAUUUUCAACAUUUAUGAGCCUUUUUUAUACCAAAUUUGGUAUGUUUUGGGUUCCAUAUUGCUAAUAGAGUUUAUUAUGUUUUUUAUUUAGUUUUAUUUUUGGGUUGUUUUCAAGUCAAACAAUGAUUUUUUUGUUCGGUUUAUAGUUGAACCAAAAAUCUCAGAUCAGCCUAAUCGGGUUAGGUCAAAACAAAAUUAGAUCAAAUGGUUUAAUACCCUGUUUGGUUUGCUUUUUUUUUUUGUUAAGGGUUUUUGGGUUUAAGAAUGAGUUUGAAAAACACCUUUUAAAUUAUUUUUAGUAAUUUUAUUACAAAGAAAAAAUAAGUUUUUAUCGAACAAAGCUCUGAGCUGAAAUUAUAAUUUCCGUAAAGUAUUUUUUUAUUUAGAAUUUGAGUUGACGCAAGUAGUGAAGGGGACUGUCCAAUAAUUGAGGAAAUUGAAUUGUCAUGCAUGACUUGAAUAAAUCACAUGAUAGAUGCCCGAAGAAAUUGCUGCCUGUUAUAAGAUAUGUCUUAACACAGUUAUAAACACAAAAAGAUAAAACACCAAAAAGCUAAGAUGCAUGAUGACAUGUCUCGUACAGGGCCUUAUCGUGCGAUUUCGCACGAUGUGUAUUGUCUUUCAUGUUGUUUUAUUCAUCAAACUAAAACUUUGCCAAUAAAUUCUACAUUUCCAAUUCUAUAAUGGAACAAUUUACUAUAAUCAAAUGGGGUCCAUUUUUAUAUCUAAAUUAGAUUUAAAAUAUAUUGUUUUGGAUUUAUUUAUUUAUUUUAAUUUUAACUAAAUUUCAAAAUUUUAUUUGAUUUAUGUUUUAUUAACUUGGCCGGUUUUCUUUAUUUUUUUCAGAAUAAAUUAAUAGAUUUCAUAUUAUCGACAUUCAAAAUUUAUACAAUCAAAGUUUAUAAAUAGAGAGAGUUUAGGGAUAUAAUUUAGAACUUAAGAAACCCUUAUCUCAUAUAUAUUCUCCGUCAUGUAACUUUGUAAAAUCAACCCAUUUUGUGUAAUAGGGGUUGUGAUGUGACUCCAGGCCUCUCUUCUCAUUAUAUAUUUUUUUUGAUAAUAUAUAUUUUUUUAAUUUAAGAUACCUGGGAUAUGAAACUAGAGUGAGUGGGACUUGUUGGCCAACAAGUGUGAGUUGACUCGGAUGCAGCGGCUUCACUAAGAUACAUGGGAAUCGCGCGAUGCGGGGUUCUUUUUCAGCUGUGUCGUGCGAUGUUUUUCCAAGAGGUAUUCCAUGUUUGUUGACAGAAGAAAAUCAAAGCUUCUAGAACUGUCAAAGGAGAAUUAGAGUUCAACAUGUCAAGACAUGAAUGUGCGUGAGUGAUGAGAUAAAUAUUAUAUUUUAAAGUAUUACACACACACACACACACACACACACUAGUUACAUAAACGACAACACAUCACUUGCUUUUCUAUAAAAAGAAAAAAAUUGGCUUGACCCGGUCAGCAUCUAAUUAGUAAGAGAAAUGCCAAUUAAUCUAAGUUUUUGUCAUUAAACUAUGUACUAGUUAUAGAUAAUAUGCGUUUGAAAGCUAAAUGGUUGUAUUUAGUCACUAAUUAUUUAUACAAUGAUAGUUGGACGGCGCAAAGAAUCCAAGGUCAUUCUUUUCAUGUCUCCGAAAAUGGAGAAAAUAUGAAGGAUGUCAAGGAGACCAAAAUUUGGAAAAAGUAUUAUGAUAAUUUAUGUAUUUUUGUCUAUCAUAUAGAUAAAAAAAAAUUAUUUAGUUAAUUAAAUAAUUUAUGCGCGUUUUAAAUUUUAAUUUUAUACAAAUUAAAAUAAUAUAUUUUUUAUUUAUUUUAUAGGUAAAAAUUUAAUGAACAAUAAUUUUAAUUAAACAUAUAUUUUUUAAAAAACUACAAUUAAUAUUUUUUUAAAAAAAUUAAAAGCAAAAACUACGGUAAAAUCAGAUACACACUUAACUGCUUAAAAGACACUACCGGGAAAAAAUUAAUUACAAUAAAUUGAGUAAUUGAUUUUUGGUUCAGAGUCCAAGCCGUUGCCUUAACAUGUUGGAGAUCGCACGAUGUGGUUUGGACUUUGGAGGUCGCGCGAUGUGGGAAUCGAACGAUGUGGUUCGGAGGUCGCGCGAUGUGGGAAUCGAACGAUGUGGUUCGGAGGUCGCGCGAUGUGGUUUUUGUUUUUCAGCUGUAUCGUGCGAUAUUUUCCCAAGAGAUAUUCCGUGUUUGAAUAUCCAAAAGAAAAUCGAAGCCUUUAGAAGUGUGAAAGGAAAUUAGAGUUCAAACAUGUUAAGAUAUGAACUAGAUCAUUCACCUGUGUCAUGUUGUGUUGUGUAUUGAAUUAAUUUUUUUAAAAUUUAAUUUUUUUAAAAUAUUAUUAAUGUUUAUUUUAAUAAAAAAAUAAUUUAAAUUGGGUUAACAUGAUAUAACUUGAUUGACUUUGCAUAUGUUUAAAAGCAACUCAUACAACUCGUAAAAAUAUAGUUUAAUUAAAUUUUUUUCAACAUGAUAUUUUUUUUAAUAUUAAGACAAUAAUAUAUUAGAUUGAUUUGGAUCAACCUAGAUUAACAUGUCAGAUUCGUGACCCGAGUUAUGAAACUAUAAUAACUUUAUAGAAAGCAAAUUAAAAUAAAUUAUAAAACAUAAUUAUCAAUUAACUCAAUGCUAGAUGAUGAAAUAAUUUUUAAAAAAAUCAAUUUAAAAAGGACUUAAAAAAGGGACCCUAAUUAACCUGUCAAACCCUUUACCCGAGUCAUAAGACCGAGAUAACCUCAUAUAAAGCAAAUAAAAACAAAUUACAAAUUUCAAUCCCCAAUCGGCCAAAUAUUAAAGGAUGAGAUUAAAAAAAAUCAGUUUAAAAAAGAACAUAUAUAAGAAACAACUUAAGUCAAUCCGUUAAACCCAUGACCACCGUAUCAGAUUAAGAUAACCUUAUAGAAUGAAAAUUUUUAAAAUUAACCUGAUUUAACCCUGAUUAACCUUCAAAAUUCAUGACUUUGAUCAUAAGAUUAAAAUAACCUAAUACAUAGUAAAUCAAAAUAAAUUAUGAAGCAAUAUUAACAAUUGUCUAUGUUGGAUCUAAUGUUCAACGAUAAAUUUAUAAAACAAUUAAUUAAAAAAUUGAUAAAAAAUGAGUCAAGUCAACCCAAGUUAACCCGUUAAGCACUAUCUUCGGGUUAUGAAACCGGAAUAACCUAAUAAAAAGUAAACCAAAACAAAUCAAGAAGCCUAAUUUCCAAUUAAACACAAUAUUAAAUGACAAAUUUGGUAAAAAAUCCAAUAAGAAAAGAAAAGAAAAUGAGUCAAUUGAGUCAAUCCGCUAAAAUAACGACUCAGGUCAUGAGAUGAUGAUAACCCAAUAAAAAACAAAUCUGUUGUUAAAGGACCAGUGACCUAAGUCAUAAGAUCAAGAUAACCCGUAGAAAAAAAUAAAAAAAUGAAUCAAUUUAACUAGGAUUAAAAUGUCAAAACCCACAAUCUUGAUCAUGAGAUUAAGAUAUAUCUUCAUAGGAAGUAAAUCAAAACAGAUUAUGAAGCUCAAUUCUCAACCAAUCUAAUGUUAAAAGAUGAAAUUGGAAGAAAAAAAUCACUUUAAAAUGAUAUAAAAAAUAACUUAAGUCAAUUUUAGUUAACCCAAUAAGCACUAUUCUCGGGUCAUGAGGCUAAAAUAACAUAAUAGAAAGUAAACAAAACAAAUUAUAAAAUCUUAAUCUCAAUUAACUUAAUAUUAAAAAAAAAUUAAUUAAAAAAAACCUUAAUCAAUUGGGUGAACCCACGAUUCAUGUUAUGAGAGUGGUAACUCGUUAAGAGAAAAAUCUAAUAUUAAAGGAUAAAAUUAAAAAAACAAAUUGAUAGAAAAAAAUAAAAAAAGAAUAUAAAAGGAAAAAGAAAAGAAAAUUACUAUUCUAUUCAAAUAAAUAGUGAUGUGUGUUUAAAAAGCCAUCUUCUUUUAAUUUAUUGUUAAUGUGUGUGAGUUUGAGUGUGUUUGUGUGAAAUAAAUCUCACAUUUAUCAAAGAAUGAAAAUGGGAAGCAUAUUACGUAUAUAAGGAUUAACCCGAUCGAUAGCUUAGCUUUUUUUUGUUUAAUUGAAUGUGAUGUUUUUUAUUAUUAUUAAUUGGAGAGUAUAUAUUUGAUGGAUUUUAUGUUUUAAUCAAAAUUCAAUAUUAUUUUUAAAAGAUUAAAAGUAUAAACUGAGAUAAAUUAAGAAGAAUAAUUCAUGGUUUAAUAUCAGAAAAGCACAUUUCUCGAGCAUGCAUGAUCUUUAUAUAAAUAUAAUUUUUGUGUUGCUCAUUUGUUUUACACAAGGGUCAAGGUGUGCAUAUACUUUCAUUAAAUUAACUUCAACCAUGAAUUAUAUUAAUUUAAUAUAUAGCAUUAUAUGCAUUUUUCUGCUUAAAUUUUAAGAAUAACCAUUUACUGCUUAAAUUUUAAGAAUAACCAUUUAAACUUCAAGAUUCUAUUUCAUAUAUAUAUAUAUAUAAUUUGUGGAUUUUUCUCUUUAUUUUCCAGGUUAUUUUAGAUUAUGUUUUUUGUUUUCCGAACUUAGAUCAGUUUAGUUAAUAUUUAAACAAACUUGUAGUUUAUUUUUAGAUUAGAUUAAUGUUAAUGAUAUUAAGAAAUGAUCACAUCAUAGUUACAAUUUAGAGUCUGAGUGAGAAAAUUAAUUUUAUAUCAUAAUUUGCCAUCUCUUUAUUACUCCACGUUAUUGACUUCAAGGAACAAGGAUGCAAUCGCGCGAUGAGCUUUGUUUUUUUAUACUUUCCAUGGCCCAUCGGCCGGGAGGGGGGGUGAGUGGAGGGGUCGCACGACUCGCUAGCUCAUACGAGAAAUCAUGUUAGCUUUAUGAGUAGCUAGGUAACAAAAGGACAAGACAAUGAAAGAAAAGCCAAUAUUCCUUUUAGGGAUAUAUUAUUCGAACCCUAUAAAUAAGUAAAAGGAAAGCUCCCACAAGCAAAGAAGAAACCCAUUUCAUUUGCUUUGCUUUUGCUUGUCCUAGAAAAUGGCAGAGUUCGAGAAGAUCCUCAGAGAGACUGAUACUAAGAAGAGGCUGUCAGUUCCUAUCAGGUUUCUCAGGUCUCUUCCACCUUUCAAAGGCAGCCAUGCCGUCACGUUUGAAGCUACUGACGAGAAAGGCAAAGCUUGGACCUUUCAAUGCUCCAUCCGCAAGACAGGACAGUACCCGAAGCCAGUCCUCACAAGAGGUUGGGUUGCAUUCGUUAAGAGCAAGAAGCUACACGUUGGUGACACGGUCAGGUUUAUUAAACGUAAGAACAGAGCUACUGCAGCAAUCUCUUACAAAGUUCGUGCUGAAAAGGCAAUCAAGAUCUUUGGUGCUCCAUUUGGCCAUGCACGGAUCUAGUCCAUUUCCCUAAUUAAUAAGCUAGCAAAUAACAGUGGCGCUAUGGUCGAGGUAAUGGGUGAGAAUGGUGGGCGCCUCCAAAACAAAGAAGAAGACCAAAUCCACCCUCGGGCCCUACCACAUGCAUAUUUUUAUGGCAUUAAUGUUUUUACAAAAAUAGUAUUAUGAUUCUCCUUGCGAUAAUUUGGGACUUCACAUCUGGGUGUUGAGAUACAGUUGGUUUUUCAUAAAAAAUUGGAUCUCUAUGACAUCUCGGAGGGAUGACAUUUUUUAGGAGGCGAAUCUCGACAAUUAUAAUGAUCUUAAUUGUUAAACAAAAUCCAGAGAAUAUCCAAAAUAUGGGUAACCGGGUCACCCCUGGAGUCAAUUUUUUUAUUAAAAUAAUAUUGCCUUUUUUUUUAUUGAUCCCAUUAGUUCGAACAGGUCACUAAAAUUCCGACCACAUUGAAAUGAUUUGUCCGUAACAGUCACUUAUAAAAAAAACCAGCCCUAAUCUAUGUCUUGAAUUUUCAGAAUCAAUCAACAAAGCCAGGUAGAGUUUAACAGCUAUAAUCAUUCAUGACUAGGAAAGCCAUUAUCACAAGUGAAAUAAAGACUACAUGACAUUUAGGUUAUAAUUGGAUUGACAUGAGCAAUAAAUCUUAGAGGUGUGUGUUCGACUGGUAAUUGCCAUAGCAUCAUUUUAGGUCGGAAUGGUUCGUGGCUGCAAAUUCGAUUGAGCAUGAACGUACCAAAGCAGAAGCUGUUCCCCUGCCGAUGGUUUUAUAGUCUGUUUGGUAUCAUCUUGACUACCUCUGGCUGUCUUCUUAUUAAGGUUUAGCUAAGUUCAUACCAACCUAGCAUGAGCCCAAUUCUUCUUCUGUUGCAAAAUAUAUAUACUUGUCAAUAUUUCAGAGGGUGUGGUAAAUGAAAUUACUUUCAUAGCGCAUUUAACUCAGAAAUCUUUCAGGCUGUCUUCACUGGGUAGAAUCAUUUUUCAAAUAAGCUUUAUAACAUUGUAACAUUUGACAAGCCGCUCAGACAUCAGGCCGCACUGCCUUUUGGAAACGGUUGAUCUUCAAUUAAUCGAUUGUACAAAUAAAUUGCACGAGCAAGAACACAACAGCAAUUUUUAUCUACAGUUUGUACGCAAUUGCUAUCUACAGGUUUCAUCAACAUAUAGAUCUUGUAAAUAAAAGAGCUGAUCCAUUGACCCCGCGCAGGACUAGCAGUCUGGAGUCCGGAGUCCACAUAUGUCCCACAGACGAGCCUAGAACAAGUGACCAUAAAUUAGAAGACGCCUUUGAAAGUAAGGGUGAUGAUACAAGUUAUAAUAUCUUUGAGGCAACUAGACAUAGACCCAUAUGACUCCUUGGAAAGAGCAAACGAAUUAAUGAAUCUACAAAAGCUACGAACAAAGCAGAUAAUUGCUAACCUUUGGCCUUGAAUGAGCAUUCGGCAUCUCUAUCAAUUUGAACACACACACACACACACACAGAGAUAAUGAGUUUAUAUGCAAACAUUUAGUAGUACGAAUAGAAAUAGAAGCACAAAUUAAUUAGUAACACUAAUUGUUCCAUCUCAUACUUGUGCUCCGUAGAAAAACAGGGUACUUUCUAGGUUCACAAAGCCUCUGAUAAAUGAUCAAGAUGCAUGGUUGCGCUACUCUAUGCUCAGAACAUGAAACUGUCAAAAUUUCCAGCUAAUCACUCUAAGGCACUGGCUUGAAAGAGUCACAACCGAUGAAUCCAUCUGAAUGACAAUAGAGAACUAAGAGAUGCUAACUGUAGACACACCUGGGGCUGCUUAUAAAUGUAUUCCUCUGUAAUUCGAACUGCAGUUGAGUUAAGAACCCAUCUGAUGAUAUCCAUGGAUGGCGCCACCCGCCAUCUUGGUCCACACAGAAAUGGAUGCCUGAGGGCAUCCAAACAACUGCAAAGCAUAUCAAAAUAGUCAUAAUAUGGUUUAAAAGGUUUGGUUGCAUCUCUCUCAAAUUAAUUCAGAUUCCAUUCAAUAUGGUUAACCUCGUGUUGUCUUUACUAUUGUCUAAUAAGAGAUGAACUGAUGAAUACCUUAUUCUUUUUGAAGGUUUGGUUGCCAAUAACAAGGAUAAAAGGUUCCAACCAGCACCCCAGUUCCGAUCAAGUAUCUACAAAACGAACUUAAACAUCCUAAUAAUUCAUGUGGCUUUUACUUAUAAAAAACAAUCUUUAUAGUUAUUGUGAAAGGUGUAGCUUAAAGUAUGGUAAUUUGCAUUCGUACUACUUGGAGUCCAACAUUUCCAGAAGGAGAAUUCCUAACUCACGCAAGCAUGAAGGUACAACUUCGUAAUUAGGAUCAGUACCAACACAUGAUGAGUAGUGCAUGAUGAUACUAUAGAUUUUUUUUCAUAUUGAGCAAAUAAAGCGACUGCCAAUGCAUUCCAGUCUUCAAGAAACUGGUAGAAUUAAUGAGAAACUUGAGCUUAUCCAGAGACAUAAUGCAAGUCAACAAAAAUUCCACCAGGUUCUGGAUUGAUUAAUCCAAAAAAAAAAGGGGUGGGGGGGGGGGGGGACUAGCAUGUUGUACCUUCAUGAGGAAUGAUUUGAACUUCAUGAAAAUUAAUGGAUCCAUGAGUUCCCGCAGCACCAUUUUUGCCAUCAUAGAUCCUACACAUCUUUCAACAUGGAUGAAACAGAAUUCAGUACAUCAGUAGCUCUGCUAGCAGCGCUAACAGGAUACACUAUUUGGUCUAUUGAUCUAUUCAUACCUCAUGUCAAAUGCAAUCAUGUGUGGGAGGUGCACUAAUUCAAUGGUGCUGAUUUAUUCAUGUCUUGUUUCGUUCCUCAAUAUUUGUGCUAAUAAACCUUUCCUCAACCAUAAGUCUAGAACCACAAAAAUUUCCCAUUAUUCAAUGCUGUUGAAGAGAUACCAAACUUUCAAAGCAGAAUACCAGAAAUAAAAUUUGACUUCAAUAGAUAAACUGAAAUUGUUGUGCAUCAAGUGUUGUCAUAUCAGAAAGCACAAAUCAACAAGAGUUUUCCUCAAACGCCCUUCUCCUUAAAGAAUUUCUUUCCUUAUUCUAUAUAUAUCAAAUUUAAUUCUAAAUUCAGAGAAUCUAAAAUUAAAAAAAACAGCAUAAGAGGGGGGAAAGCUUGCAUUUACUUUAAUAUGCCUAUCCACUGGGCUUAUAUGCACAUUCUCCAGCCUCAACUCUGUAUCCGAAAGUCCAUGACUGUGCAAGUAGUUCACCUUAAGUAAGCAAAACAAACACCUUAAACUGUAGUUGUGCACAGCAAAUGGCAACUAUUUGUGCACAGAUAAUACAAUUAAGAUAUACAUACUUGAUACUCCAAUCAAGAGAUCCCUCAUCAAUAUGCGUGUUAUUCGCAGCUGCCAAUAGACAGCAGGUCCUCCAACGGUGUCAUCUCCCACCCUCCUGACAGAUUCCUCAUCCAAUGCAAGAUUGGCUUUCAAGGUAGGAAGCCAAUCUGAUUGUUGAAGCCAAUGUCUCAAAGAAAAACUACCAUGAUACUGCCAUAAAAUAAAAAGGAAGAGAUAAAUUUCACAUCCCUAAACUCACAAAUGGAAAAAUUGAAAUAUGGGAAGAACUGCUUCCACACGCAACAUGCACGGAAAUGAAGGCUUGUCCAAUAAACGGAAAAUCUCCAACAGGGGUCUCCUAGAAAGACUAACCUACCUAGCAUAAACAUCUAAAUGGCUUCAUACAACGAACAUUUAAUGCACACGCAAUAUAAAGAUCUUACACAGAAACAGAACAUACCCCAUGUACCAGAGUAAACGAACCACGGCCACUAGAAGGUGAAGUAUAACCAUAACUUGCAUCGAAUAAGAAUGGUACAUAAGUUUACGGCGAAACCAGCUUCUUCAACACCUAAAAACACUUUAACAACACGAAAGUUACACCAAUAUUCAAAACCUCAAAUACCAAAUAAAGAAAACUCCAAAACAAAGCCCCAAACCUCUACUGCUCGCAUUCCUCUACGUUUUGCUUGAGUACUGAUAAGUUUCCCAAACACAACUUUAAUGUUAUACAAAGGGCUGCAAUUCCACAUUAUACUCAUCACCUCCAAUAAUCACACAAUAUCAAAAAAUCAAAUAAGAAAAGAAAGCUAACCUAUUAGAAUCCUUCACUAUUGCUUCAAAAACCACCUCAUCCGCCUGAAAAAAACCCAAUUCAGUUAUCCAUGCCAUAAUUAGCAGUGCUAAGAACAAUCACUUUUGGACAUUAAACACUAUCCUUCCAUCUCUUUCCGAUUCCAACGGAGCCACGGCCUUACUCGGCGACGAACACCCCAGCACCGUCCCUACUUCUCUCCUAGAACAACUGCUUCUCACACCGAUGAUACUACCAUUACUACGUCGUUAAAUCAGUUUCAUCGUCGACAAAUUAUCAGAAAGAGAACAGAAUCCGACUCCAUAUAUUGCCGCCGCCGUCAAUCGAUCAAUCCGUUACAACUCUAAGAAUAUUUUUUGAUUCAGAGAGGAGUUAGUUAGCAGAAGGAAGGAGAGGAAAGGGUGAAGAAACAGAGAAGAGAGUGAGAGAUGCGUGCAGGAAUCCGUAGCCCUGGGCUUGGCUCGUGUCAACUUCUGUUUUUCCGAAUAUCUCCUACAUUUCACCUCCUGUUAUUUUUUGUGUUUUGCGUACGGUGCACACUCCUAGGUCCGCCACGUCACUUUUCGUUGUUUCCCACGUUUUUGUUUUGGAGCCAAAAAAAUAAUUCUAUUAUUAUAGACUGUUAUGCUCAAGGUUGUUAAACCGGGAAUGUCUAAUGAAUUCAGUUGAAAAAUUCGUAAUUUAUAGCUCGACUCUUUUUUAAUUUUACUCGAGAUUGAAUUGACUUUUUAGUUAUGUUAACUCUAUUAAAUAUAUAUAUAUAUAUAUAUAUAUAUAAAUAAAUGAAAAAAUUAUUCUCAUUAUCCAUAUUUUUUCAAUUUGACUCCAGUUUUUAUUUAUAAUUAUAAUUCUAGGUAAAUAUAAUUUUUAAAUUUAAAUGAAAAUAUAAAUUUUUCCUCAUGUAUAAUAUAAUACAAACACUACAAAUCUCUCUUCAAACAUAAUUUCUCUCUCCUAAGAAAACCCUAAAUUGAUUUCUCUUUUCCAAUUGAAGAACAGAUCUGGUGGAAAUUUUAUGGGCAAGGGGAAGUCAACAACCCAAAAGCUUUGAGCUAGUUAUUUGGACUUUCUUACCUCUUUGAUCUUUUAUCCAGCCAUGUGUACGGUUAAGAACUGGUUCAGGGGUGUGGUGGUGCUGGUUAAUUACCCUUUGGAUUGAAAUAAACUACGGCGAUAAUUAGAAAAAAGUUAUGUUUUGAUCGCCCUAAUCGAAAUGACUUUUUGAUAAUUUUUUUUUUUUUUUUUGAUAAGAGUGGUAGUUACUCCCUUCGAAGAGUUGUUGGGGUUCUGACAUAACAGAUAUAUCAAAAACUGUAGAAAGGCCCAUCAUAUGUCCUCCUGGUGGGGUGUUUUAGUUUGUAUUUUUUUUAUUUUUAAUGGUAAUCAGAGAUAUUAACUAAUACUUUAAAAGGUACAUACUUUUUUUCAUUUUUUUUUGUUUUUUUGUUUGUUGAUUUUUUUUGUUUUGUCUUUCUUUUUUUUUUCCCACAUUUUUUCCCUUUUUUCCUUUUUUUUGGGCUUUACAUGUUUUUUUUUUCUUUUUUUCCAAGAUUGUCUUUUUUUUUGUUUUUUAUUCUUUUUUGUUUUUUUAAAUUAUCUUUGUCGAUUUUUUUAAUAUUAAACUAGUUGAAAAUUUAAUUCUGUUGUUUUUUUUCUUUAAAACAUUAUGGAUUACUACAAUGUUUCCCUACAUGAUUUUGUUUUAUGAAUUUUUUUUUUCAAAAUAGUCUUUGUCGAUUUUGCGUCGUAGUUUUUUUCUUUAAAAUAUUGUGGAUUGUUACAAUGUUUCCCCAUAUGGUUUUUGUUUUGCUACAAUGUUUCUCCACAUGUUUUUUUUUAAAUUAUCUUUGUCAAAAAAAUUUUAAUAUUAAGUUGGUUGACAAUUACAAUUGUCGAUUUCCUCACAUGUUUUUUUUUCAAUUUUUUCUUUUUAUUUUCCAAAAUUAUCUUCUUCUUUUUUUCAUAUUUUUGUGUUUUUUUUUAAAUUGUUUUUGUUGAUUUUAUUUUUUUAAUAUGGAGCUGGUUGAAAAUUUAACUUUGUAGUUUUUUCUCUUUAAAACACUAUGGAUUGCUACAGUGUUUCCCCACAUGGUUUUUUUUUUCUUUUUUUUAUGAUUUUUGUUUGUUUUUUUUUUCUAGAAUUGUCUUUGUCAAUUUUAUUUUUUUUAUAUUAAGCUGGUUGAGAAUUUAGUUUCGUAGUUUUUUUCUUUAAAACACCGUGGAUUGCUACAGUGUUCCCCCACAUGAUUUUUUUUUGUUAUGCUUUUUUUUAAAAUUAUCUUUAUCGAUUUUAUUAUUUUUAAUAUUGAGCUGGUUGAGAAUUAUAACUGUAGAUUUCCUCAUGAAACACUAUAGAUUGCUACAGUGUUUCCUGCAUGGUUUUUUUUCCUUUCAGUUUUUUUUGUUAUGAUUUUUUUCAAAAUUUUCUUUGUUCAUUUUAUUUUUUAAAUAUUAAUCUAGUUAAGAAUUUAACUUUAUAGUUUUUUCCUUAAAAACAUUGUAAAUUGCAAUAGUUUUUCUCCAUAUAUUUUUUUUAUUUUUUCCACAAACCCACAAAAACGCACAAGCAUGCCACAAGCCCGCGACAUCGCGCGGGUAUGACAUCUAGUUAAUAAACUAGUUUUUGAAGAAUAGUCAAUGGUUUUUUUAUCAGUUUUCAUCGGCAACGUCAAUUAACAAGAGUAGCUUAGAAAUAAGGUUUAUGUGUUGAAUAAUCAGUUAAUCUCUUGAUUCUAUCGAGUUGAUUAUUUCUCAGUAAAGGUGGCUAAUAACCAAUACCUAGUGCCUGGUAAGCCAAAGUGGUUGGUGAUUGAUACCUAUAAUAGGUCUUUUUUUGUAAAUUUACCGACUCUCUAAUGCUUAAGUAUUUGUUUUUAGAGAAAAUGUCAAUAUCUAUUAGAGAGAUAGAAUCUGAAAAUAUAUAUGCUAAAAAUUCUAUCAACUUGAAAAGAUUGAUUCUUUUCUUCUAAAAAAUCAAUAGGCCUUUAUAUAGUCCAUGAUUCUUAUUUUUUUUAUCGAGGAGAGGACCCCAAAGUCCUCCUUUUCUGAUAGUAUUAAAAUAUCUUUUAUGUAUUCAAGAGGAAAAAAAAUCUCUAACUCAUCACACAAAAAAGAUCUUUGACUUAUCACAGGAAAAAAGAUCUCUGACUCAUCAAAUCUUGUGGUUCAAUAUGGAGCAUGAUAAGAUUAUUAGAGCCACAUGUAUUUAGGUUCAAUGCUUGGUUGGUUCCAAUGAUGUUGAAUCUUGUGUUCGUCAGAUCCAUGUAUGUUUAGGCUCAACACUUAGUUGAACUCAAAGGUGUUGAGUCUGGUAGCUCUCUAGACCGAUUUAUACAUAUUUGGGCUCAGCGCUUGACUAAACCUAAGGAUGCUAAGUCAAGUAGCUAGCUAGACUCAUCUAUAUUUAGGCUCAAAAGGAUGUUGGGUCUGGUAGCUCGGUAGAUUAAUAUAUGUUUGGGCUCAGUACUUGACUGAACCUAAAAAUGCUAAAUCUGGUAGCUCACCACACCGACCUAUAUAUUUGGGUUCAGUGCUUGGUUAAACCCAAAAAUACUGGGUCAGGUAGCUCAUCAGACCCAUCUAUCUAUAUAUGAGCUCAAAAAGAUGCUGGGUCUGGUAGCUCGCCAGAUUUAUACAUGCUUGAACUCAAUGUUUGAUUAAAUUUAAAAAUACUAAAUUUAGUAAUUUACUAAACUCAUAUAUACUUAAACUCAGUAAUUAGCUAUACUUAAUGACAUUAGGAUAUCACCUUACCUUUAUUUCCUUAAUUUGAACAUGGUUUUUAGAUAAAUAACAUGCUGAUCUAUCACUGCAUCGAAUAACUUUGUAAAAUCAAAACAUUUUAUGUAACUUAAUUACAUAAACAACAACAUUUCACUUGCUUUUUUAUAUAAAAAGCAAAAAUUGGCUCGACCUGCUUAGCAUCUAUUAGUGCAAGAAAUGGCAAUCCAUCUAAAUUUUUAUCAUUAAACUAUGUACUAGUUAUGCGUAUGAAAGUUGUGUGUGUUAAAAGACCAAUAAUGAUACGGGUUGCGGUUUUUUUUUUUUUAAAAUAGUUGUGAUUUUAUAUAUAUAUAUACUGUAAGAUGAAUUUUUAUAUGUAAAGAAAUUUGAAACAAAAUUAUACAUGGGCAAUAGUAUAAAAAAAAACUAUUAACCUAAUCAAAUAAUCUUUUUCUUUAUAAUUAAAAAAAAAAAGAGCUAUCACAACAUAUCUUCAAUACUCAAGACACCACCGGGAGAAACCUCAUGAAGUAAAUUGCGUGAUUGAUUUUUGGUUAAAAUUCCAUGUUUUAUUAGUUUUUUUAUUUAUUUAAUGGUCACAUCAAUUCAGACUUCAGAGUCUUGACAACGUAGGGAUUGCCUCGCUUGUAGCUAGCAAUAGACAUGGAUUUGUUUUUCUUUUUUUCUUAUCAUUCUUCUUUAUAUCUUUUUUUUAUCGGAAUAUAUAUAACAUUCUGGACUUAAUGGAAAUAUUUUUUUUUUAAUUUAACAUGAGUAUCAGCUUGCGUGUACUUUGACUAAUCCUACAUACCCUAAAAUUAUCGACUAUAUAAAUCUAUAAUGAUCAUUAUAUAAACAAUUAUAAAAUUAAAAAUUAAAAAUACAAAAAAAACAAAUAUUUUAAUUUCAAAUUUUUAUCACAAAUAUCAUGUAGAUGGUUUUAAUGUCAACAUUCUUGACUGGCUACUAGCUAGCAUUUUUUUUUUCGUCCUUGCCAUCUACCGAGAUCGCACGAUUAAUAUUAUAUAUAUAUAUAACAGUAUACGCGCUAUCGCGCGAUAUCGCGUGGUGGAUAAAUCAUGCUAGCUUUUUACGUAGCAACCUUUACUUUAAUUGAAGUGGAGGUAGGUCCUGGUGGUUCCUUAUAAAUACGGAAAUGGAAAGCUCCCACAAACAAGAAGAAACUCAUUUCAUUUGCUUUGCUUUUGCUUUUGCUUGUCCUCGAAAAUGGAAAACUUCUGGAAGAUCCUCAGAAAGACUGAUGCUAAGAAGAGGCUGUCAGUUCCUAUCAGCUUUCUCAGGUCUCUUCCACCUUUCAAACUAGGCAGCCAUGCCGUCACGUUUGAAGCUACAGACGAGAAAGGCGAAGCUUGGGCCUUUCAAUGCUCCAUCCGCAAGAGAGGACAGUACCCGAAGCCAGUCCUCACAAGAGGUUGGGUUGCAUUCGUUAAGAGCAAGAAGCUACAAGUUGGUGACAAGGUCAGGUUUAUGAAACAUAAGAACCGAGCUACUGCAGCAAUCUCUUACAAAGUUCGUGUUGAAAAGGAAAUCAAGGUCUUUGGUGCUAUAUUUGGCUAUGCACGGAUCUAAUCCAUUUCCCUAAUUAAUAGCUCUGUAAGUCAAGCUAGCAAAUAAUAGUGAAUGAAUUGGAGCCAUGUUUCCCUCUUAGGGGACAUGUUAGAUUUCUAAGUUGGGUGAGUUUCAAGUUUCUUGAAUUCUCAUAUAUUUGUGCUGCUUCUGCAAUUAGUAUGUUUAACUUUGAAAAGCCAUCCCAUCUGCUAAGGUCUCUCAAGAUGUUUCCUUCUGCACCUUUCUUUCAAGAAUAUGGAAUUAGUACUGAUCUCUGAAUAACGCAAUAAGUAGCUCGCGAGGCCACUUCUCAUGCAAGGGUACGUAGUAGUAGUAAUGUGGUAUAUGUGGUUGCGCUCUUGCAUAUGAAAUGAGAAUUAUUUUGCAUAUUCGGCAUCUUGACGAAAGAAAGUAACGAUGUUGGCUUAAAUCCGUUGCGUGAUUGGCUCUAUAAGAGGUAUUAUUUCAUGUUUAAAAUUAUGAUAUCAAAGUGGGGGUUUGAUAAAAUCAUAGAGCAUUAAUUGGUGACGAGGAGGCUUGUUGGUUCGAUCAGGGAAUCCUCGUCACAAAACUAUAAAAAUGGCACUCGUGCGGUUCGUUUCUUUAUUGGCUUACAAUGGCGCUAUGGUCACGGUGAUGGUGAGAAUGGUGGCCGCCUACAAAACGAAGAACAAGACCAAAUCCACCCUGGGCCCUACCACAUGCAUAUUUUUAUGACAUUAAAGUUUUUACAAAAAUAGUCUUAUGAUUCUCGUUGCGAUAAUCUGAUACUUCGCAUCUGGGUGAUGAGAUGCUGUCAAUUUUUUCAUUAAAAUAAUGUUGCUUUUAUUUAUUUAUUAUUGAUCCGAUUAGUUCCAACAGGUCACUAAAAUUCCGGUCACAUUGAAAUGAUUUGUCCGUAAUAAUAUUCAAUAAAAAAAAAAACCCAGCCCUAAUCUAUGCCUUGAAUUUUCCGAAUUAAUCAACAAAGCCAGGUAGAGUUUAACAGCUAUAAUCAUUCAUGACAAAGAAAGCCAUUAUCACAAGUGAAAUAAAGACUACAUGACAUUUAGGUUAUAAUUGGAUUGACAUGAGCAAUAAAUCUUAAAGGUGUGUGUUCGACUGGUAAUAUAUAGCCAUAGCAUCAUUUUAGGUCGGAAUGGUUCGUGGCUGCAAAAUCGAUUGAGCAUGAACGUACCAAAGCAGAAUUCAGCUGUUCCCCUGCUGAUGGUUUUAUAGUCUGUUUGGUAUCAUCUUCACUACCUCUGGCUGUCUUCUUAUUAAGUUUUAGCCACAUUAAGGGUAGAAUCAUUUUUCAAAUAAAGCUUUAUAACAUUGCAACAUUUGACAAGCCACUCAGACAUCAGGCCGCACUGCAUUUGGAAAAGGUUGAUCUUCUUCGAUUAAUCGACUGUACAAAUUACACGAGCAAGAGCACAACAGCUAAUUACACUCCCAACAGCAAUUUCUAUCUACAGUACUUGCGCGCAAUGGCUAUAUACUGGUUUCAUCAACACAUAGAUCUUGUAAAUAAGAGAGCUGAUUCACUGACCCCGCGCAGGACUAGCAGUCUGGAGUCCACAUAUGUUCCGCAGGCGAGCCUAGACAAAUCAAACAUCUCAGGAGGAACUUGCACGCAAAGUUCUUGAACUAUACUGCUUGGUGUAACAUCAUUUUGAUUAAGGUUGUCCCCGAGACUCAUUGUCACCUCAAUGUCAGCUGAAACAAGUUUGGCCACUGGAAGGCUCGAUGGAAACUCCUUAUACGGGACAAGUUUCCUCCAUUUUUUAGCUGACAAUUUCUGGGCUAAAGAAUCUUGAUUGUUUGGUUGCCCAAAGGAUAACUUCUCCGAUGUCUUUUCCUCCUUAAGAUACAACCGUCUCCCAGAUGUCAACCGGAACAAAGAGUUUACUUCCAAUUUUCCAGUUAUACCACUUUUGUCAUGAGGCCAGUCUCGACCAUUCAUGACCAUGAAGCCAAUGUCCGAUGUGAAGGAAAUACUAGUAUUUAAUUUUGAUGCUCUAUUUAUAGCUAGAUAAACGUCACCAAUCAGGACAAGAGCAGAAGGCUGACGAAGGGUCAAUCCUAUUUGUCUCCCAGUACAGUAUAAUAGACGCAGUUUUCCUGGAAGCAACUCCAACCAGUUCUGCACAUUGAAGUAGAGCAGAAAUUUCAAUAUUGAGUAACCCUUGAGAAUAAUCAAUCAAUAAAACGUUUCAUGUUCUACCAGAAGGAAGAAUCCAAAGAAUAUUGGCUGAUGAAGAAGUACAACAGCUAAAGAACCAAAUAAGUUUCUUUUUCUUUAUAUUGUAUCAAUGCAUUUAGCAGUUAGACCAUUUCACAUAAAGUGUUCACGUAACAAAACGAGAGAGUAAAUGGCAAAGAACAAGUGACCAUAAAUUAGAAGAAGCCUUUGACAGUAAGGGUGAUGAUACAAGUUAUAAUAUCUUUGAGGCAACCAGACAUAGAUCCAUAUGACUCUUUGGAGAGAGCAAAAGAAUUAAUGAAUCUACAAAAGCUACGAACAAAGCAGAUAAUUGCUAACCUUUGGCCUUGAAUGAGCAUUCAGCAUCUCCAUCAAUUCGAUAAAACAGGAAAGCCUAUUACGCUAUCACAACAAAAUUCACCCGUCAGUUUACAUUGCCAAUGUAAUGUCACUGCGAGCUAUAAACCAACACCAGAUAUAUAAUGAGUUUACAUGCAAACAUUUAGUAGUUCACAUAGAAAUAGAAGCACAAUAAGAUAUCUUUCAAGUAACAGGAAAUUAAAGUACGGUAAUUUGCAUUCGUACUACUUACUUGGAGUCCAACAUUUCCAGAUGGAGAAUUCCUACUGAGGAUUUGCAAUAAAAACUCACGCAAGCAUGAAGGUACAACUUUGUAAAUAGGAUCUGUACCAACACAUGAUGAGUAGUGCAUGAUGAUACUAUAGGAUAUUUUUUCAUAUUGAACAAAUAAAGCGACUGCCAAUGCAUUCCAGUCUUCAAGAAACUGGUAGAAAUUAAUGAAGAGAAACUUGAGCUUAUUCAGAGACGUAAUGCAAGUCAACAAAAAUUCCACCAGGUUCUGGAUUGAUUAAUCCAAAAAAAAAAGGGGUAGGGGGGUGGGACUAGCAUGUUGUACCUUCAUGAGGAAUGAUUUGAACUUCAUGAAAAUUAAUGGAUCCAUGAGUUCCCGCAGCACCAUUUUUGCCAUCAUAGAUCCUACACAUCUUUUCAACAUGGAUGAAACAGAAUUCAGUACAUCAGUAGCUCUGCUAGCAGCGCUAACUGGAUACACUAUUAGGUCUGUCUAUCUAUUCAUACCUCAUGUCAAAUGCAAUCAUGUGUGGGAGGUGCACUAAUUCAAUGGUGCUGAUUUAUUCAUGUCUUGUUUCAUUCCUCAAUAUUUGUGCUAAUAAACCUUUCCUCAACCAUAAGUCUAGAACCACCAAAAUUUCCCAUUAUUCAAUGCUGUUGAAGAGGUACCAAACUUUCAAAGCAGAAUACCAGAAAUAAAAUUUGACUUCAAUAGAUAAACUGAAAUUGUUGUGCAUCAAGUGUUGUCAUAUCAGAAAGCAUAAAUCAACAAGAGUUUUCCUCAAACGCCCUUUUCCUUAAAGAAUUUCUUUCCUUAUUCUAUAUAUAUCAAAUUUAAUUCUAAAUUCAGAGAAUCUAAAAUUAAAAAAACAGCAUAAGAGGGGGGAAAGCUUGCAUUUACUUUAAUAUGCCUAUCCACAGGGCUUAUAUGCACAUUCUCCAGCCUCAACUCUAUAUCCGAAAGUCCAUGACUGUGCAAGUAGUUCACCUUAAGUAAGCAAAACAAACACCUUACACUGUAGUUGUGCACAACAAAUGGCAACUAUUUGUGCACAGAUAAUACAAUAAUACAAUUAAGAUAUACAUACUCCAAUCAAGAGAUCCCUCAUCAAUGUGUGUUAUUUGCAACUGCCGAGAGACAGCAGGUCCUCCAAUGGUGUCAUCUCCCACCCUCCUGACAGAUUCCUCAUCCAAUGGAAGAUUGGCUUCCAAGGUAGGAAGCCAAUCUGAUUGUUGAAGCCAAUGUUUCAAAGAAAAACUGUGUUAUUUGCAACUGACGAGAGACAGCAGGUCCUCCAACGGUGUCAUCUCCCACCCUCCUGACAGAUUCCUCAUCCAAUGCAAGAUUGGCUUCCAAGGUAGGAAGCCGAUCUGAUUGUUGAAGCCAAUGUCUCAAAGAAAAACUACCAUGAUACUGCCAUAAAAUAAAAAGGAAGAGAUAAACUUUCACAUCCCUAAACUCACAAAUGGAAAAAUUGAAACAUGGGAAGAACGUCCUAGAAACAGAAUAUAAAAUCUCCAACAGGGCUUCACACAGCGAAACAUUUAAUGCAUACGCAAUAUCUAAACCUUACACAGAAACAGAACAUACCCCAUGUGCCAGAGUAAACGAACCACGGCCACUAGAAGGUGAAGAAAUAUAACCAUGAAAUUGCAUCGAAUAAGAAUGGUAAAUAAGUUUACGGCGAACCAGCUUCUUCAACACCUAAAAACACUUUAACAACACCAAAGUUACACCAAUAUUCAAAACCUCAAAUACCAAAUAAAGAAAACUCCAAAACAAAGCCCCAAACCGCUAUUGCUCGCAUUCCUCUACGUUUUGCUUGAGUACUGACAAGUUUCCUAAGCACAACUUUAAUGUUAUCCAAAGGGCUGCAAUUCCACAUUAUACUCAUCACCUCCAAUAAUCACACAAUAUCAAAAAAUCGAAUAAGAAAAGAAAGCUAACCUAUUAGAAUCCUUCACUAUUGCUUCAAAAACCACCUCAUCCGCCUAAAAAAACCCCAAUUCAGUUAUCCAUGCCAUAAUUAGCAGUGCUAAGAACAAUCAUUUUUGGACAUUAAGCACUAUCCUUAGUGAUAAUAACCGAAAAUCACAACGAAAUUAACAAUAUUUAACAGAUAAAGAUUAAAAAAAAAAAUUGAAGUAGACUUUUCUGGCUUACCCGGCCACCAAGGCCAAUACUGACACGAUCAAGCACCUUAAAAUCAGACAUCUUGAACCUCAUAACAUUUCCUCCUCCUCCUCAAUCACACAUCUCCUUCCAUCUCCUUCCGAUUCCAACGGAGUCACGGCCUUACUCGGCGACGAACACCCCAGCACCGUCCCUACUUCUCUCCUAGAACAACUGCUUCUCGCACCGAUGAUACUACCAUUACUACGUCGUUUAGUCAGUUUCAUCGUCGACAAAUUAUCAGAAAAAGAACAGAAUCCGACUCCAUAUAUUGCGGCCGCCGUCGUUGUCGCCGCCGUCAAUCGAUCAAUCCGUUAGAACUCUAAGAACAUUUUUUGAUUCAGAGACGAGUUAGUUAGCAGAAGGAAUGAGAGGAAAGUGUGAAGAAAUAGAGAAGAGAGUGAGAGAUGCGUGAAGGAAUCCGGAGCCCUGGGCUAGCCUCGUGUCAGCUUUUGUUUUUCCGAAUAUCUCCUAAAUUUCACCUCCUGUUAUUUUUUAUGUUUUGCGUACCCUGCACACUCCUAUCUCCGCCACGCCACUUUUCGUUGUUUCCCAAAGAAUUAUUAUUAAUUAUUAAUUAACAAUACCAAAGUUUUAAGACCCGGCUCGGUGGCCGGCCCGGUCCAAAGCUCGGGUUCUGGGUUUUGGCCGGGUCUCCGGGUUUGGCCAGGUCGGCCGGGUCAAUUCUUUAAAAAAAAAAAAUCAAGUAAAAAAAAAACAAAAGUCAACGGGUUUGUCACCGGGUCUUGACCGGGUCAGCCGGGUCACACCGGGUUUUUCCUUCCCCUGUUUUUUCGUCAACCCGGCCCGGUUCCAGCCCCGGGUCGGCCGGGUCCCGGGUCGACCCACCGGGCCGGGCCAGGUUUCAAAACUAUGAACAAUACUCUAAAUAAUGUCCAAACCACUAUUUCCCAACACCAAAAUCAUUUUAGAUUACAACAAUAAUUUAUAUUUUUUAUAAUUUUUUUUAUCCAUUUUUCAUUUUUUUUUUACUUUUUUUUUACACUUUUUAUUUUUUUUAUUUUUUUUCCCCAAAAUUAUUUUUGUCAAUUUUAGUUUUUUAAUAUUGAGUUGGUUAAAAAUUUUGCUUUGUAAUUUUUUUCCUUUAAAAUACUAUGGAUUGCUACGGUGUUUUUCCACAUGGUUUUUCUAUUUUAUUUUUUUAUUUUUAAAAUUAUAUUUGUCGAUUUUACUUUUUUAAUAUUAAGCUGAUUAAGAAUUUAGUUUUGUAAUUUUUUUCUUUAAAACAUUGUUGAUUGCUACAGUUUUUUUUCACAUGGUUUUUUUUAUUUGUUUUUUUAUGAUUUUCUCCAAAAUUAUCUUUUUUAAUUUUAUUUUUUAAUAUUGAGCUGGUUAAAAAUUACAGUUACAAUAUAUAAGGGAAGCACUGUAGCUUUCCUCGCAAAUUACUGUGGAUUGCUACAAUGUUUUUUCCCACAUAGUUUUUUUUUGUUUUUUUUUAAAUUAUCUUUGUUAAUUUUAUUUUUUGAUAUUAAGCUGGUUAUGAAUUACAAUUAAGUAAUAAGCUAAAGGGUGUAGGGAAUUCACUGUUCACCCACGCCCAAUGCAUUGUGGAUUACAAUAGUAAUCCACAGUGCAUUCCUCUCUUUUUUUUCAUCUUUUUUUUUUCAAAUUUCCCCCUUUUUUUCCAAAAUGACUUUUCUUUUUUUUUUUUCCAACUUUUUGCUUUUUUUUUGUUUAUUUUUUUCAAAAUUAUCUUUGUCGAUUUUACUUUUUUAAUAUUGAGCUGGUUAAAAAUUUUGCUUUGUAAUGUUUUUCCUUUAAAAUACUGCGAAUUGCUACGGUGCUUUUUCACAUGGUAUUUCUAUUUUAUUUUUUGAUUUUUUAUAAUUAUAUUUGUUGAUUUUAUUUUUUUCAAUAUUGAGCUGAUUGAUAAUUUAGUUUUGUAAUUUUUUUCUUUAAAACAUUGUUGAUUGCUUACAGUGUUUCUCCGCAUGAUUUUUUUUUGUUUUGUUUUUUGAUGAUUUUAUCCGAAAUUAACUUUUUUUGAUUUUAUUUUUUAAUAUUGGACUGGUUAAAAAUUACAGUUACAAUAUGUGAGAAAAACACUGUAACUUUCCUCGCAAAUUACUGUGAAUUGCCAUAGUGUUUUUUCGCACAAGGUUUUUUUCCAGUUUCUUUUAUGUUUUCUUUUUUUGUAAUAUUUUUUUCCAAAAUUAUCUUUGUCAAUUUUAUUUUUUUAAUAUUGAGCUGGUUAGAAUUUAACUUUGUAAUAAAGCUUAAUCAUGUGGAGAAAGCAUUGUACCUUUUCUCACAAAACACUAUGAAUUGCUAGAGUGUCUCUCAACAUAGUUUUUUUUUUCUUAUGAUUUUUUCAAAAUUAUCUUUGUUCAUUUUAUUUUUUUAAUAUUGAGCUGGUUGAGAAUUAUAAUUACAAGUCAUUACAAAUAAGGCUAAAUCAUGUGGGGAAGCAUUGUAGCUUUCAUCACAAAACAUUGUGAAUUGCUACAAUGUUUCCAACAUGGUUUUUUUGUUAUUUUUUUUCUAAAAUUGUAUUUGUCGAUUUUAUUUUUUUAAUAUUGAGCUUAUUGAGAAUUUAUCUUUGUAAUUUUUUUCUUUAAAACACUGUGAAUUGUUGCAGUGUUUCCAACAUGAUAUUUUUUUAUUUUUUCCAAAAUUAUUUUUGUCGAUUUUUUUUAAUAUUGAGCUGGUUAAAAAUUAUAAUUACAAUAAAGCUAAAUCAUAUCGGGAAAGCGUUGUAGCUUUUCUCACAAAACACUGUGAAUUGCUACAGUAUCUCUCUAAAUGGUUUUUUUAUGAUUUUUUUCUAAAAUAGUCUUUGUUGAAUUUAUUGGAGAAAACACUAUAGUUUUCCUCACAAAACAUUGUCAAUUGCUACAACGUUUUUCCUCAUGGGUUUUUUUUCCUUCCAAAAUUAUCUUUGUUGUUUUUUUUUUUAAUAUUAAGUUGGUAGAGAAUUUAGCUUUGUAAUUUGUUUUCUUUUUAUUAACAGAAAAGCUAAAAAAUACGGCGAAAACAAUCAUUUUGUUCAGUCUCUAAGUUUUUGAUUACCAAAACAACUUUUUUUUCCCAUCAUGAAAUAUUGGCUUCAUCAUACCUUUAUUUUUAUUACUUAUCUAGCGCUGGUUCACAAUUAUAACACUAUCAAGUACAUUUGUUUUAUAAAGCCGCGGCAGCGCGCGGGCAUGCCAUCUCGUCAAUACUCUAAAUGGUGUGGGGGAAUCACUGUUCCCCCACACCCAAAAUAACUAUGGAUUACAACAGUAAUCCACAGUGCAUCCAUCAUUUUCUUUUUCUUUUUGCAUUUUUUCAUUUUGUUUUCCAACUUUUCCAUUUUUUUUCAACUUUCCUCUGUUUUUUAUUUUUGCAUUUAUUUUUUCUUUUUUUUUCCAAAAUUAUUUUUGUUGAUUUUACUUUUUAAAUAUUGAGCUGGUUAAAAAUUUUGCUUUGUAAUUUUUUUCCUUUAAAAUACUGUUGAUUCCUUUAAAUUUUGCUUUCUAUUUUAUUUUUUUAUUUUUCAAAAUUAUAUUUGUCAAUUUUUUUUAAUAUUGAGCUGAUUAAGAAUUUAGUUUUGUAAUUUUUUUUAAAAAAAACAUUGUUGAUUGCUACAGUGUUUCUCCGCACGGUUUUUUUUUGGAUUUUCUCCGAAAUUAUCUUUUUUUAUUUUAUUUUUUAAUAUUGAGUUGGUUAAAAAUUACAGUUACAAUAUGUGAGGAAAGCACUGUAACUUUCGUCGCAAAUUACUGUGGAUUGCUACACUAUUUUUUCCCACAUGGUUUUUUUUUGUUUCGUUAUGUUUUUCCCUAAAAUUAUCUUUGUCAAUUUUAUUUUUUAAAUAUUAAGUUGGUUAAGAAUUGCAAUUACAAGUAAAUACAAGUUUUUCCUCACAAAACACUAUAGAUUGAUAUAGUUUUUCCUCACAUGGUUUUUUUUUCCAUUUUCUUUUGUGUUUUUUUUUUGUAAUAUGUUUUUUCAAAAUUAUCUUCGUCGAUUUUUUUUCAUAUUGAGUUGGUUAGAAUUUAACUUUGUAAUAAAGCUUAAUCAUGUGGGGAAAGCAUUGUGGAUUUCCUCACAAAAUAUUGUGGAUUACUAUAGUGUCUCUCCACAUGAUUGUUUUUUCUUAUAAUUUUUUUCAAAUUAUCUUUGUCAAUUUGAUUUUUUUUAAUAUUGAGUUGUUUGAAAAUUACAAUUACAAGUCAUUACAAAUAAGACUAAAUCAUGCGGGGAAGCAUUGUAGCUUUCAUCACAAAACACUGUGAAUUGCUAUAGUGUUUCCAACAUGAUUUUUUUCCCUUUCGUUUGGUGUUUUUUUGUUAUUUUUUUCUAAAAUUGUCUCUGUCGAUUUUUUUUAAUAUUGAGCUAAUUAAAAAUUUAGCUUUGUAAUUUUUUCUUCUUUAAAACACUUUGAAUUGUUACAGUGUUUUCCCAUAUGAUUUUUUUAUUAUUUUUUUAAAAUUAUCUUUGUCGAUUUUUUUUUAAUAUUGAAUUGGUUAAGAAUUAUAAUUACUGUGGCACAUCACCCGCGCGGCUUUGGCGGGUGAUUUUCAUUCGUUUCGUUGAUUUGAUUCGUUGGGAGUCGCCACCUAGUAUUUAAUUGAGGAGUACUAGGAAACCCGGGUGUACUGGUCUUGUCAGAUAUUCACGGGUAAGGGACUUGUUGUGGUUAGGGAAGGUAUUAGCACCCCUAGCGCACCCUACCUGAGGUAAGCUGCUUCGCGAUUUGAUGUAAUUUAAAAUUUUUGAAAGUUGUCUUGCUAAUGAAUUAAAAAUAGAAGAAAAGUUCUCCUCGGUAAGGAGAUCCUUAUCUUAUCGGAUAAAAAAACCAUAUUGCUCUAGCAUCAAUAAAAACAAAACAAAUUUUUCUGUUUAAUAUCAAGAAUGCAUCUUACGUAUAAGAUUAAAAUCCUCAAUACCAAAAAAAAAAUAUUUUUUGAUAUUUGUUUUUUGAAAUAUAAACCAAAUUCAAUGCAAACUAAAACAUUUAAUUUUUUUAUUUCUUUUUAAUUUUAUCAUAACAACACAUACAUAAAAAUAAUAACAAAACACCCACUCAAAUACUUUACUUUUACUAUGUCUAAGCACACACCCAUUACAUAAUUACAAAUCAAUCAAAAUUUAAAAUAAACAAAUAGUACAUUAAACAAAACAAAAAAAAUACAAAAUAGCCCCAAAACAAUCUGGGAUAACAGGGAAAGCCUUCUGCACCACCAAAACAGCAGCAGUGCGUCUCCUCCACGCGCCACCGUCACUGGCGGCGCGUGGGUUCACGUGCCGCCGCAAAAAAAAACAGGCAGCAGGGGAGAUCCAAAGCGGCUUCUCCCUUCUUCCUCACCGACAGUGACUGCUACCUCUACCUGCAACAAGAAACACAAAAAAAAGGCCACAAACAGUUGAUUUUAGCUUUUUCUUUCUUUGUUUUUCAGAUCUGCAUUUCUCAUUUCUCCUUCUUCGGACCUACUUCUUGCGGGUCAGUUUGUUAUGGGUUUCGUCUUCUUCUCCUUUGCUUCGGGUGGCAGGUCUGGCGAUUGUAGAGGGGGGCAGCGGCGUUGAUGAUCUCCACUCCUGUUGGUUGUCGCGGCGGUUGGGUUUGCUGCUAGAGGAAGAAGGCGUUGCUGCACGAGGAGAGGGAUGUCGUGUCCGGUCCGUCAUUGAGGUCAAAAGUGAGGGAAUAGUCGAGGUCUGUAAGAUACUGAAUCUCCAAGUGAUGGCAGCGCUGUUGUGGCUGUUGGGUGGAGGAUUUGGGUCUGUGGGGGCUGUGAGGGGUUGUCUUGUGGCCGGCUGGUUCUCUGUGGGGGGCUGGUUGAGAGAGGAGAGGCUGGGAGAGGGAAGGUGAAUAUGGUCGGGGGGAGCGGCCACGAAAGAAGCAAAAUCGAGAACUAGUGGGGGGCAGCGGUUGCUCUUUUUGUUUUUUCAAGUGGGGAGCGCUGCCGUUUGGUUAGAGGUAGGUUUAGGUUUUUAGGGUUAGGGUUUUUUUUGUAUUAUCUUUCAAAUGUGCAAAAUUGGCCCCUCUUUUGUGUGUGUUGAAGACCAGUAUUUAUAGGUAAAAAUGUUGUUAGGUCUCAAACUUGGUCCCUCAACUUCUUUUUUUGUAAAUUUUGAUCUUUCUUAUUUUUUU
rnacentral:lncRNA from 1 species